CGCAACGGGUAAAAUUACCCGCAACGGGCGGGUUUUGGCGGGUGGGUUUGUGCGGGUUUACGGGUUUGCGGGUACAAUUGCCAUCCCUAGACACACCAGACCCAUGAUACUUCUCAAUAACAAUAGUUAUAGAUAACAGAAUCUCAGCACAUCCCAAGUUUCACAACACAUCCACAAACUUAAACCGCAAACAAAGCACCAUAUCAUUGCAGGAUACAUAAACACAAUUCAGCUACACUUCCUAUUCCAAACUUGGCUAUAUCGCCGUUAAUGUUUAAUUCUCAUUCAUGAAUGUAUCAACCAAAUUAACUAUCAUAACUGAUUCAAGUAAUAACAAUACAUGGUCUUCAAUUAAAACUCGCAAUCCUGUUGAAAAUUCUAACAUGUCAAUUUUUUAUUUUAGCCACAUAGUCAUGUAAUUAAAUGGCUACCCAUACACCCACUGCAUUAAUUAUUAAAGGAAGCAAUUAAGCCAUUAGUACAUUAAAUCUAAGCAAAACAACUUAUAAGGACCCAAAAAAAGGAAAAAAAAAAAAGAGAAAAAAAUUACAUGAUCAAGCAAGAAAAACAACCUGAUUUUUCAGUUUUGAGUAACAAAAUCACUCAAUUGCAUAUAAACACCUACCUUGAUUCUGCAACAACAGCUCCUAGUUCUCCAAAGUCUUCUCUUCUUCUCUAACUUGGCUUCCUGUUGGUAAUACAAAAAUUAACCAACCAUACUGCCAAUAAUUUAAGAAUCCCAAAUUUAACAUAGUCCUAAACUUGCUGCGAGUUGCAGCAGCAAAAAGGAAACAAUUAAGAAAAGUAAGUGAAAAAAAAAAUCCAUUAAUAAAAGUAACAAGAUUUGAAAACUGAACCAUGCAUGCACAGAAACUUACCUACACCAGGUCUAAACAAUUAGAGUUAUGAGAAAAUCCAGCCAAACUCAUGUUGGUUUCCCAGAAAUUUCAUACUUGCUGUUGUUCUCAGCUCCUUUAAAUGCACAACUAUUCUCUCUAACACCCAAUUGCUCACUUUCCCUCCAUUUCUUUAUCUUCCUCUUCUCUCUUAUUUUAUUGGUAAAUUAUCAGCCAUAUACUCUUAAAUAACAUCCGUAUCAAACGUGUGUGAAUAUUUUUCAAGUGUAUCACUCGUAUACCCUAAAUUGACAAAAUACUUCUGCCGUCCACUAAUCCGUUAACUUCCGUUUGCAAGCGCUGACAUCAUAAGGGUAAUUUAGUCUUUUAAGAUUGACAAAACUUUGAUUAAAAAAACGAAAUGUCAUCGCAUUUACUAGUAAAAAAUGACAUGUCAUAUGAUAUAUAUUAAUAAAAAUGACAUGUCAUCCCAUUUAUUAGAUAAUUGUUAAUAAUUGCUAAAAAAAAAUUACUUUACAACUGAAUCUACUCCUCCAAAAUUUAACCUAAAUUUUUUAAAAUCUACUCCUCCAAGCUCCAACUGGAAAUUUUUAUGGUAUAAUAUGUAUAAUUGUAAAUAAUAUGUUGUUAAUAAUUUUUUAUGGUAUAAUAUGAAUAUUUUUUAUGGAUAAUUGGUAAUAAUAUGUACCAUUAAUAAUUCAUUUUUUUAAUAAAAAAAUAUAUUGUUAAUAACAAAAUAAAAAAAAAUUAUGUAUUGAAAAUUUACGUUAAUUUUUGGGGUAAAUUUAUAUUUUUAUCUCAUUUUGAGUUUCAAGAGCAAAAUAGUCAAUUUGCCAUAAUUCUGUUAACUUUCUAAUGGAAGUUAACGGAUUGGUGGACGGUAGAAGUGUUUUGUCAACUUAGGGUAUACGAAUGAUACACUUGAAAAGUAUUCACAUACGUUUGAUACAGUUGUCAUUUAAAGGUAUAUGACUGGUAAUUUCCUUUAUUUAUUUAUUUUUUUCUCGUUCUCUCUCUGUUAUUCCGAGGUAUCCACUUUAUUGAGUAGAAUGCCUUCCGCUGUGGGUUAUCAACCCACCUUUAGUACCAAAAUGGGUUCUUCACAAUAAAGAAUUCCCUUCUCCCUCUUUUUUUUAUUAUUAUUCUUAUUAUUAUUACCCGAACAUUGAUUUUGUUUGUUACAGGAACUUAACCAAAGAAUAAAGACACCUUAUAAAUUGGUUGUGGGCUGGGCUUAGUUAUUGAUUAAAAAAAAAGGAAAUUAUCAGGUAUAUACCUUUAAAUGACACCCGUAUCAAACGUGCUACAAUACUUUUUAAGUGUAUCACUCGUAUACCCUAAGUUGACAAAAUACUUCUGCCGUCCACUAAUCCAUUAACUUCCGUUAGAAAGUUAACAGAAUUGUGGCAAAUUGACUAUUUCGCCCUUAAAACUCAAAAUGAGAUAAAAAUAUAAAUUUACCCCAAAGAUUAACGUAAAUUUUCAAUACACAAUUUUUUUUAUUUUGUUAUUAACAAUACAAUUUUUAUUAAAAAAAUAUGGAUUAUUAAUGGUACAUAUUAUUAACAAUUAUCUGUAAAAAAAUCCAUAUUUUACCUAAAAACUUAUUAACAACAUAUUAUUUACAAUUAUACAUAUUAUACCAUAAAAAAUUUCAGUUGGAGCUUGGAGGAAUAGAUCUUCAAAAAUUUAGGUUAAAUUUUGGAGGAGUAUAUUCGGUUGUAAAGUAGCUUUUUUUUUAAAGUAAUUAUUAACAAUUAUCCAAUAAAUGGGAUGACAUGUCAUUUUUAUCAAUAUAUAUCAUAUGACGUGCCAUGUUUUACUAGGUAAAUGAGAUGACAUAUUUUUUUAAAAAGACUAUAUUACCCUUAUGAUGUCAGCGCUUGCAAACAACAGUUAACGGAUUGGUGGACGGUAAAAGUGUUUUGUCAAGUUAGGGUAUACGAGUAAUACACUUGAAAAGUGUCGUAGCACGUUUGAUACUGGUGUCAUUUAAGGGUAUAUGGCUGAUAAUUUCUUAAAAAAAAAACAACAAAGGAAGUUUAGAGCAAUUAAAACAAUGACAAUAAUAAUAAAAUAACAUAUAUAAUUAUAAAUAAGUAGAUAAAUUAAACUUAGGAUAAAUUUGGGGUGUUACAAUAACUCCCCAAGCCACCACUGUAUUUAACUGAUAGACAAGAAUAAAAGAAAAAAAAAGAAUUAAAAAAGUUGAUAUAAGGAACCCUGUGGUCAAAUGUUAAAUCUGACUUCUUCGAACGAGUUAAAGGCCAGCAAUGAAAAUUUCACGUAAAAGCAACCGGUAUACUUGUAAAAUAGCUUAAAUUAGAAGUUUUCUCACUCGUUCAGGAGAGACACCAACAAUAUCCAAAACUUUCAAAUACAACUUAAGUUACACUAAAUCAUAAUCAUUUCAUUCUUUAUCUAAAUAUCUAAAUAUGUUUACGAGGGGAAGAUGCCAACAAUCUUCAGCUAAUCCUCUUGAACACACCCUUUUCUCCUUUGUUGACAAAUAAGAUUACUGUGGGGAUCUCAUAAUCGGGCUUUGAUCUCAAUUGAGUUUAUAAGCCUUUGUCAGUUGGGCUGAAUCCAAUUGGGAUUUUUAGAUUUAUAGAAAUCCAUGGUCUAAUUCAACCUAAGAACUAGUUCAAAAAUAAGAAAUUCCUCAAGUUUACAUUGUUAGCCUAGUCACUGUUCUCCUCCGAUGUGAGAUGAAGUAUCCUCAACAAGAUUCCCAUUGUGCGGCGCAGUUCGGAGAUGAUACAUGUAAUGGUAGGCAAUCUGUGGGGUUGAAUCCAAUUUGGUCACCGCCAUCUUCAAGCUGGUUCAAAUUGAAUAUCAUUGAUGCUGCAAUGAAUGAUGAAUCAAACGGGUGGGGAUAGCAGGACUUAGGCGGCCACAGGAUUCUGGGCCUAUUCAUUUCUCGGGCCGUCUUCGUAAUGGACCUUUUGGUCUUCUUAAUUAGGCCCGGGCUUGCUGUAAUCCCUCAAAGCAAAUGUUUUUGGCAGCUUGGGUCCUGCGUUUCAAAUAUGCAAGUCAUGUUUUGUUAAUCAAUUGUCAACUGUACCAUUUACUCUGAAAUAAAUUGAAAUUUCAUUUUCACAUAGAGAGAUUUCAGUAAAGUAGUACAUCCUCCAAACACACAUCAACAUCAAAAUUGAUUAAAUUAUUAUAUUUUCAAAUUAUGAGAGGAAGAAAAAAUUGUUUAUAGAUGCAAUGUAUAUUCAUUCUUUGCUAAAUCCACAGGUAAUUAAAAGUUUCAAAUAUAUAUAUACACGUAAUUGCCUAAAGUCCACCAAGCUUCUAAUUUAAUCAACUCAAAAUAAAGUUUUCACAACAGUCACAUUUUUUAUAAAUUGGGAUAUUAGCCCCUUUAUUCUUCGAAAGCUUAUUGUUGGAAUUGGUUGCUGAGUUUCCAAUUAUCAAUUGAACUGUAGUCAUUAACACACACCCACAUAUGCUGAUGGUACAGUCAGAUCGAAUCUGUUAUAAACUAAUUAAAUUACAAUAUGUUUCUUUUACCAGCUGUAUGAUUGACUGUUAAUUAAUGACCAGAGAAGAAAUUAUAAGUACUCCUCCAAAAGCUAAGAUUAAUGGAUCAAAACAACUUCAGAUAUUUCCCAAUAAGCCACUAAAUCAGGAUCAAAUUCACAAGUCAGUAUUCCUCAAGAUUUUUCCAUUUCAUGAACUAACAGGUCUGCCGUUACUGGAUUAAAAGCUAAUAAAAAUUAAUUCCUUAGCAUGCAUUCUAAAUCAUCCUUAAAUUUUAUAUGUUCGGUUCCAGCUGCAGGCAUAACUUCGGCUGAAGUACAGAAAAAAAAUAAAAUAAAAAUUAGAAAAGAAAGAGUAAAAAUGAAAAAGAAAGAAAAUAUCGAUCAAAACGUACGACUCUUUGACCAAACAAGUCAACUGUCACAUGCACACGGGGCCCAUUUUUGAAAACUUUUUUCUACUUGUCUGUAUACAAGUUUGCAAGCUUGAUGUAGGCAAUGAGACUAAAGGCAAGUGAGUUGCAAAGAGCCCUGAAGAGGUGAAGGCGGUGAGGUCAGGUUUUUUAUUUUAAAUUUAUGAAAGUCAAAUAUUAAUUUAUAAAGCCGAACGGGUAUCAUAUACGGGGUCCAGCUACCGGGCCCCCAGGACACCGUGCCUCCUUCAUUUGUCAUUAUCUAGUCCAGCCGUUAGAUUAUAAAGAGUGUUAUCCAACGGUUGAGAUUUUAGUCACGAACAAUGUGUGAAGCGGGCAAUUGCCCAAACCCAUUUGAGGUACAAGAGUAGUUUUAGGGAUCUGUAAAUCCUUAACCGUAUUUGGCCUGACGUGAGCGAUUUCCCUAAAGCAACCACCAGUUUCGUAAUUGUGUGUGACUAUAGCUGCUGCAGCGACGCUGAAUUAAAUUUUCGAAGACGAUUGUGGUGACUUGUGGAUUUGUUGUGGUCGUAUUGAAGAAAUGGAUAGGAUUGCGUAAACCAUCAUUAAAGGUUAGUGAAAUUUUAAUGUGAGAUUUGUGACGUGAAUCAUUUGUAGCUGAUAAUAUAGUUGGUGCGAAAUUAGAUUUCAUUGGUGCGAAAUUAGAUUUCAUAUGGAUAAUGGGAAGAUAUGAGAGUGCAGGGCGUAAAUUUUUAAAUUAAAUUUCUGGAAAUUUUAUGAACAGUGUAGUAAUAUAAAGGAGUUUAUUAUUAUUAUUUUUAUGUUAAUAAACACGUGUAUUGAAAUUGUACGAGGGAGGGAUUUCGGCAACAGAAAUUCAGGCUAGUGGCAGCUGAACCUGAAAUAAUUGAGUUGAAUAUUGUUGCUGCGAAUAAUGUGGUGGGAAGUUAGAUUUCCUAUAGAGAAGUAGAAAAUAGUGGAGUAAAGGAGAAAAAAUAUUGAAAAUGAUUUAGGGAUUAUACUCUAACAGCUGAACACGGCCCAUUUAAAGUUGUAUGAUUGAUGAGAAACUUGUGGUUUGCUCUAUGUGUUUGCCAUAUUUCCUUUUCUUUAUCUUCAGACUGACUAUGCCUUCGGCUGCAACUUUGUAGAAGCAUCUACGAAGUGACAAGUCAGAUGUGAAUCACACAGAAAUUUUGAAAAUGAUAUCAUAAUUUCUUGUGCUUGUAUAAUAACAAUGGGACUAAUUAGUUUAGAUGUUUUGUAUGUUUUUAAGUUAAUGUAAUAAAAAUUGAAUGUAUGUCUGGCAAUUCAACAGUAAGGGGGAAGUUAGUAAGUUGUACUAUGAACAUGUGUGGAAAGUACAAACAGGAAAAGUGAAAUUGCAGCAAGUAAUAAAAUGAAGUUAAGUGCAAGCAUUUAGAUGGUGAUGCAAGGGAAAUGGUACAUGUUUACAGCUCGUUGUACAUAUGUUUCAUUGACUGUAUGCUAAUGUAACAAAUAGCUGAUCAAUUAACAAUUGCCCAUGUCAUAACAGUUUCAGUACAAUCCAUAUUUGGCCGAAACUCUUACCGCUGGACAUGACUUCUUGCGAGUACUAUUAAGCAGCAAUGAUGACGACUCCAUAAGUAAGUUUGUCACACAGUUAUUCAUAAUUGCAUUUUCACUUACUCUUUUUGCUAUUUGAAAUUGCAGGCCUGUAAAGGUGACCGUGUCCCAACAUGCAUGAUCCCUAAUGCUGCCAUGUGCUCGCCCUUCCACAUCUGUCCAUGUUAUCUUUUUUCCUAUGAUUGAAGCCGAAGCUUAUCUAUUUCUUACAUUCAAACCGAUGCUGUCAAAGGAACUCCACCAACUAGGAUGAAAUACAAGUAUGCAACCCAAGAGGGGGGGUGAAUUGGGAUUCUAAAAAAUUAUUCAAUUUAUUAAAGAAAAUCUUAAUGCAAUUAUAAAUCAAAUUCAAAACAAUAAAUUCAAUCAUGCACAAUAUUAAAAGAGUAAGGGAAGAAAAAACAAACACAAGGAUUUUUACGUGGUUCGGCAAUCCCCGCCUACGUUCACGCCUCCAAACUCACCCGCUUGAGGAUUUCACUAUCCAAGCCUCCAAGGCUUCAAAUGCUUACAUUUGACUUCCAAGGUAUCAAUGAACCUUUACAACAAGAGAUUAUCCCCAAUCUCUUAACCCAAGUGUAUCCCAACACUUACAAUCACUCAAAAUAAAAGAUUAUAAAUUGUUUUGCCUCUCACAAUAUAUAAGAUUACACAAUGAUGCUUAAUAUGUGAAUAGAUGAAGCAAGAAUAUGUUCUAAGCUCUAUGAAGAUUGUAUUCUCGAAUAUUAGCUCAAAUGGUCGUGUUGUGAUUAAUCAUCUUUGAAUUUGAAUGAGCUUAUUUAUAUUUGGAGCCGAAAAUCUAGUCGUUACAAACUGUCGGACAGAAAACGGUUCGCCGUUAACCAUAAACGGUUAACCGUUUAGGCUGGUCAAAGUUACCGUUGGGCCAGAUUUCAAAUAAUCGGUUUGCCGUUUAGGAUUGCCCUUUCGCCGUUAACUUCCAGAGACCUGCAAAAUGAGUAUUUGUUAUCCGUUUACGCUAAACGGUUAAGGACUUGCGUGAAGUGGCUUCUCUGGAAAUUAUCGGUUAACCGUUUGAUAUAAACGGUUCGCCGUUUGUCUCCAGUAACCUGCAAAACAAAUUUAGCCUUAUCAGUUUUCGUUAAUCAGUGCCAGAGGAGGACAACCUUCAAUUUUGGACGUUAUCGGUUAACCGUUUAAAAUAAACGGUUCACCGUUAGGUUCCAGUAGCCUUCCCAUCUUGGGUGUUUUCUGUUAAGCAUAAACGGUUAGAGCUUAGGUAAUAUGUUGCUCUCUGGUUCUAAUCGGUUAACCGUUUAAAAUUAACGGUGAACCGUUUAUAACCAGAAUUGCAUUUUAAACCAGUUUUUGCAGAGAAUCUUUUUCUAAUUUUAAAGUCCAUCUUUUAUGAAGCAUGAAUGGAAUGAUUACUAAGGCUCUCGUUUAUUAAGAAAUAGCUCCAAUACUUUUAUCAAAAAAUCAUUUAAAAUUUGUUAGCAUCAAAAUCAAUAUUAUUAAUAUAUUUAUGUUAACAAUCUCCCCCUUUUUGAUGAUGACAAAUUCUAAUCAAUGUUUAGCUCCCCCUUAAUAUGUGCUCCCCCUAAAUGUAUGGCCAAAUUGAGAAAUGUGAAUAAAUUGCCCCAUUUUAAAUCCAUCUUAAAAACAAAUAUCUCCCCAUUUAAAAUUAAAAAAAAAUCUUAAAAACUUAAAAACCAUCUUAAAAACUGUAAUUAUCUCCCCCUUCAUCAUCAAAAGGAAAAAGGAAAUAAGAAAUACGCAAAUCCAUGAAAGAAAGUGCCCGGUUUUGGCAAGCGAAAAAAAAUUUUGGCAGAGUUUCCCCUUAAAAAUGAGUAAAACCAUAAAUACAAAAUGAGAUAAAACACUUCCAAAAUUAGAUCAACAUUAACUUCUGCGUUCAACAAGCCAACAACUCCAUGAACAAGACAAAAUAACACUUCAAUAUCCACAAAUAUACCAACACUCCAAUAUCCACAAAUAAACCAUUUCUACAAUAUCCAACCAAUUAGGCAAUCACAAAGCAUCAAUAAGCUAAUCAUCAAGAACAUCACACACAUAUGCAUCAAAAUCAAAAUAAUAAUAAAAAUGCUAGCAACCAGAAUGUAAAAUGUAUGUGCGAAGACAAAGCUCAGAAACUACGGAGGCGGAGAAGAUGUGCUCCCUGGAUCAUAGCCGAAAUAGCCGAGAAUAGUGCGCUGUCCAGCGAUAAGCUCCAUCUGCUGAUCAAGGCUCUGCCGCUGGAAUAUCUGAAAGUCAGAACGCAGCUGCUGGUGGUCACGGGAAAGAGUGUCCAACCGAUCAAGAAUCAGCUGCUGGCGCUUCGAAAUCCGCUGAACAUCAGAGAUCAGCUGCUGCACUGCGUCUGAAGCAGGGGGCUGAACUGGAGCUGGAGGCGGCAUAGAGGCAGAUGGCUGCUCGGGAACAGCAGAAGGCUCAGGAGCAGUAGGCGGCUCGGAAGAGGAGGGAAUAUCAGCAUCCAUCGCACGCUCCUCAGAGUCUGAGUCAGCUGGAGGCUGAGGAACAAAACGGCGACGCGGAGGAUGAGGAUGAGCGCCUAGUCUAAAGUCAGGAAGCUGGUCGGGACGAUAGACAUCAUUGAGCAUCCGAUCGUCCUCUGGAGCAAUCAAGGUAUCCCGGUUUUUGGAGUUGCUUGUCUUUAUCCACACUCCAUUCUUUCUAGAGAAUCCGAUACUGGUUACUGCCUCGGAACCAAUCCGUCGAGUCUCCAUAUGUCCAGUAUCAAGAAGUGGCACCUCAAAGCGUCGCAGUAUUUUAGUGAUGAUACUGCCGUAGGGAAGCAAGCGGUGGUUGACCACUGGAGUACUCAGCAUAUGUCGCACAAUAAUAUACCCGAGGUUAAUGGGACGGUCUGUAAGAAGGCUAUCCAAUAAGGCGACGUCUAACCUCGUAACCUCAUCCGAGUGACCCUUCCUAGGAGUCACUAUGUGCUGUAGAAUAGAGUGAAGAAUACGAACUUGGAGCGGUAAAAGUUGAGACCGAAAUGGAAGCUGACAGAUAUCAUCCGAUAAGUCUCGACGACGACAUAUAUUACGGACGCCGUGAGUAUGAGAAAAAGUAUCAAAGGAGAGGGUUUUCCUAGAAGUGUAGAUGUCAAUCCCCUCACAAGAGAUACCUAGAAAGUCAGCUAAGUCCGCAUCAUCAAAUUCUAUGGGUACACGGCCGACUUGAGUGACUAUCCUAUUUGGACGAGUAUUGGAGAUUUCCAUGUUCGAAUAAAAGACUCGCACUAAGUUUGGAUAAACUCGGUCAUCAAAAUCAAUGCCAGACUCCCAAGGCCGAAGCAUAUCCCGAAUACUUCUACCACAUACAACCAAAUUAUGGAAAUCAUCAAUGUCAACAAAGAAGGAGUCAAGUACCUUUCGACCAUUGAAGCGUUCUUCGAAUCGCUUGGCCAAGGAAGGAGUGGGGAAGUGAAUCCUUGCAAAUUCCGAGACGUCCCGAGGUGGUAUGAGAUUCCUUGGAGGCACAGAUUUACGUCUGAGAUUUCUCCGAGGAGGUUCAGCCAUGGAAACACGUAAUGAGGAGUAGAAGAUGUGAGUAGGAUGUUUAAUUUGGUUGAAGAAAGGUGGAAAUCGGAUUAAGGACAGAGAAACCCGACUCGCGACAGUUAGGGUUUAGAUUUGGGAUUUUUGAAUUUUGGGUUCGAUUUGAAGUUUUGAAUCGGUAGAAAUGUUCUAAAGGUGAUAAGAAAUGAUUUUGAGAAUUUGAUUUGGCACGGAAAUCAAGAAAAAUGAGGAUUUGAGAACAAAGAGACCUUCGGCUGCGCAACAAUGGAGGAAACGGUGAGAGGGUAACUGGAGAAGGAGAAGAAAACCUUUAAACAGUUUAUAUACUUCGCGAAAACGGUUAACCGUUUAUUGAAACGGUUAAAGGGUAACGUCCAGAGGCUGAAGAAAGGGAAACGGUGAAAGCCUAAGCGCUUAACGGCUAAGGAGUAACUGUUAGAGGACUCUCUGUUGAAAAACGGUUCACCGAUUGUGGAAAACGGUGAAAGGGUGAACGGGCAGACACAUAAUCUCGUUUCUGGAAUUAAACGGUGAUCCGUUUAUAGGAAACGGCUAACCGUUUAUUCAAUCUGUAAUUUCGCACAUUUGAUUUAAUUUUUGGCCAGCAAAUAAUAUAUUCCAAGAUCAUUUAAUUGAUCUGAAAAUAUUUUAUGAGCCAAUUUAAUGCAUGAUUCAUGGACAUGUUUUCAACCAAUCAAUUCAUAUAAUCAAGAGUUAUUAAUGCAAAUUCAUCAUUUGUCUACCAAGCUCAAGCAUUUCAUAAAUAGUAAUCAAUCAAUUCAAUACACUCAAUAGCAUGAAUAGAGAUGUUAAUGCAAAAAUUUCAUCAUCCCAAGUUCAUGCCGAAUUUUUGAAAAUUGUUCUUCGCAAAGCGGUUUUGUGAAAAUAUCGGCAAGUUGUUUUUCCGUGGAUAUAAACUCUAAUGCAAUAUCUCCCUUUUGAACAUGAUCUCUCAAGAAAUGAUGUCUUAUUUCUAUAUGCUUGGUUCGAGAAUGUUGAAUGAGAUUCUUUGAAAGGUUUAUAGCACUAGUAUUAUCACACUUAAUAGGAAUUUGUUCAAGAUUAAUGCCAUAAUCUCUAAGUGUUUGUUUCAUCCAAAGUGCUUGUGCACAACAACUUCCGGCAGCUAUAUAUUCAGCCUCAGUAGUUGAAAGUGCAACAGAAUUUUGUUUCUUGCUAAACCAUGAAACAAGAGAGUGUCCUAGAAUAUAGCAAGUUCCACUAGUGCUCUUCCUAUCCACUUUAUAACCAGCAAAAUCCGCAUCCGAAAAAUAUGUUAAAUCUAUAUGAGUUCCCCUAGGAUACCAAAUGCCAAUAUCUAUGGUUCCACUCAAAUAACGGAAAAUUCUUUUAACAGCGAGCAAAUGAGAUUCCUUGGGACAAGACUGAAAUCUUGCACACAAACAUACACUAAACAUGAUAUCGGGUCUACUUGCAGUCAAAUAGAGUAGGGAUCCGAUCAUACCUCGAUACAUUUUGAUAUCCACUUCUUUACCUUUUUCAUCUUUGUCCAGCUUGGUUGUUGUGCUCAUUGGUGUAUUCUUGGUCUUUGAAUCAUCAAUGCCGAAUCGUUUGAGUAGAUCUUUUACGUACUUAGCUUGAUUUAUGAAAAUUCCUUCCUCGCUUUGUUUGAUUUGAAGUCCAAGGAAGUAUUUCAACUCUCCCAUCAUACUCAUCUCAAAUUCUUUGCUCAUACACAAUGAAAAUUCUUUACACAACAACUCAUUAGUAGAACCAAAAAUGAUAUCAUCAACAUAAAUUUGAACAAUAAGUAUGUCUUGGUUCUUAUGCUUAACAAAAAGAGUAGUAUCCGCUUUACCUAUAGAGAAGUCAUUUUCUAGCAAGAAAUUUUUAAGUCUAUCAUACCAUGCUCUAGGUGCUUGUUUUAAUCCAUACAAGACUUUGAGCAACUUAUACACAUGAUUUGGAAAUUUUUCAUUUUCAAAACCAGGAGGUUGUUUCACAUAAACUUCCUCCAAAAUAUAUCCAUUUAAGAAAGCACUCUUGACAUCCAUUUGAUAUAAAAUAAAAUCCUUAUGACAUGCAUAUGCUAACAACAUCCUAAUGGAUUCUAACCUUGCUACAGGUGCAAAGGUUUCAUCAAAAUCAAUUCCUUCCUCUUGGUUGUAACCUUGAGCCACUAAUCUAGCUUUGUUUCUUACAACCACACCGGAUUCAUCCAUCUUAUUUCUAAACACCCAUUUAGUACCUAUUAUAGAUUGAUGUUCAGGUUUAGGAACUAGUUCCCACACAUUGUUUCUUUCAAAUUGAUUUAACUCCUCUUGCAUUGCCAUAAUCCAAGAUUCAUCAUUUUCUGCAUCCUCAAAGGAUUUUGGUUCAAUUUGAGAGAUGAAUGUAUUAUGCUCACAAGUAUUUCUAAGUGAUGAUCUAGUUGUUAUACCUCGUGAGGGAUCUCCUAAAAUUACAUCUUUAGGGUGAGAAGAGACAUACCUCCACUCCUUGGGGAGUGUUUGAGAAGUACCUUCAUUUUGCUCCACAUUUGGUUCUUCAUGAUGUUCCUCUUGAAUUCCAUGUGGUGCAUCCUCUUGAUUGUCAUUUGAUGCUUCUUCUUCUUGUUCUUCUUCUCCUACAUCAUCAUCAACAACGACUUUCUUCGUAGAGGAGGGGUUAGACUCAUCAAAUGUGACAUGCAUAGAUUCUUCCACAACUAAAGUUCUUGUGUUAUAAACUCUAUAAGCUUUGCUUGAAUUUGAAUAACCAAGAAAAAUACCAACAUCGGAUUUUGAAUCAAAUUUACCAAGAUUGUCUUUUGUGUUCAGAACAAAACAUUUGCAUCCAAAAACUUUAAAAUAGCCAAUGUUGGGUUUUCUAUCUUUCCAAAGCUCAUAUGGAGUUUUAUUAAGAUUAGGUCUAAUCAACACCCGAUUUAAAACAUAACAACCGGUGUUGACGGCUUCGGCCCAAAAAUAUUUUGGUAAUGCAUUUUCAUUUAACAUGGUCCUAGCCAUUUCUUGAAUAGACCUAUUCUUUCUCUCAACAACUCCAUUUUGUUGUGGAGUUCUAGGUGAAGAAAAUUGAUGCUCAAUGCCUAGAUUAUUGCAAAAACUCUCAAAUGCAUGAUUUUCAAAUUCUCCUCCAUGAUCACUCCUAAUGCAUACAAUACCAUGCCCUUUUUCAUUUUGUAAUUUCUUACAAAGCACUUUAAAUGCAUCAAGAGCAUCAUCCUUAUUGGCUAAGAAUAAUACCCAUGUAUAUCUAGAAUAAUCAUCCACUAUCACAAAAGCAUAAUAUUUGCCAUUUAGACUUGCAUAUCUAGAUGGCCCAAAAAGAUCUAUGUGAAGAAAUUCAAGUGGUUUUGAAGUAGAAAUAUGGUUUUUAUUCUUGAAAGAAGUUUUAAUUUGUUUUCCAAAUUGACAAGCUUCACAAAUCUUAUCCUUUUGAAAACCAAUUUUCGGAAGACCUUUAACUAAAUCAUCUUUCGAAAUUUUUGAAAUCAAAUCCAUACUUGCAUGUCCUAACCUUCUAUGCCACAACCAACAAUCAUCAUGCAAUGCCGAAAAACAUUUAUCAAGAGUAGAUGCACAUUCUAUGUCAAUGAUAUAAACAUUACCACAUCUAUUUCCAACAAAUAAGGUUUUGCCAUCACAUGAGUUCUCAAUAACACAACUAAAUUUAUCAAAGAUAACUUUAUAACCUUUGUCACAUAAUUGACUAAUGCUAAUUAAGUUGUGUUUCAAGUUUUCAACCAAACAUACAUUCUCAAUUAGAGUUGAAGAAACUUUACCAACAUUUCCAAUUCCAAGGAUUUUUCCUUUUGAGUUGUCUCCAAAGGAUACGUCUCCACCAUUUUCAAUUUUGGUAAAGCUUGAGAACCAUGCAUAGUUUCCGGUCAUGUGCCUUGAACAACCGCUGUCCAAGUACUAUUUAUUCUUCUUCUUCUUCAAGCCCUACAAGAAAAAGUCUCAAGUUUUAGGUACCCAAAGCUUUUUGGGUCCUUGAGAGUUAGCAACGGUUCCUUUUGGAACCCAAAUGCACUUGACACCAUAAUAUGCAUUCCUUUUCACGGGACAUUUAAAUUUCAUGUGACCAUUUUGAUUACAAUAAUGACAUACAAUCUUAUGAUCAUUUGUGGAGGUAGCUUUAACAAAAUAAUUCUUAUAAUACUUUUGCUUCAAAUUUGGCUUAUAUCCAAGUCCUCAUUUAUCAAAAACACAUUUUUGUGAGUUAAGCAUAUUAUCCAACAUCUUUUGCCCAUUUGUAAAUUUCAAAACAAUUUCAUUUAAUUCAUUAUUCUUUUUCUUGAGCAAUUCGUUCUCAUUUUUCAACUCAUCUAUGUGUGAUUUCAAAUGCUCAUGUAAGAUGCUAGGUUUCUCAUUUGAUAAUGCAAUUUCAUCAUGCAAUGUUUUGUUUCCUACUUCUAGGCAUACAAUUCUUGCAUUUAGAGAUUCAUUUUCAUUUUUAAGCUUUGCCAUUUCCUUUUUAAGACAUACAUUCUUUUUACCAAUUUUCAUUAACUCAUUAUGCACAUCUUGAAAAGCAUCAUAUAAUUCAUCAUAGGUAGGAUCACUUACCUCAUUGAGAUCAUCAUCUCCUCCUAUUGCCAUGAGUGCUAGGUUUGAUACUUCUUGCGAUCCUUCUUCAUCAUUUGAUUCUUCCUCACUAUCAUCCCAAGUUGCAACCAUUGCUUUCUUCUUGAGUUUGUUGAUAAGUGGGCACUCCGAUCUUAUAUGUCCAGGCUUCUUGCAUUCAUAGCAAGUGAUUGCCUCCUUCUUCUCCCUAUAGUUCUUGAAGUUUCUGAAAUUUCUUCGCUCUCCGGUUUUCUUGAAGAAUUUUCUGAACCUCCUUGCUAGCAUGGCUAGUUCUUCAUCAUCCGGUUCACUCUCCUCAUCACUCUCAUAUUUUGAGGCUUUGAGAGCAAUGCUUUUCUUCUUCUCCUCAUGUCCUCUUUCUGCAGCUAAAUCCUCUUCAUACGAAAUAAGAGAACCAAUUAAAUCAUCAAGAGGUAAAGUAUUUAAAUCUUUGGCCUCUUCAAUAGCGGUUCUUUUGGGUCUCCAUUCUUUUGGAAGAGACCUAAUGAUUUUCUUAACUUUCUCACUAUUUGAGAAGGUUUUCCCUAAGGCACCUAGGGUGUUCACUAUGUCCGUGAAUCUAGUAUACAUAGAAUACACAUUUUCAUUUUGUUCCAUUUGGAACAACUCAUAUUGACGAGUGUAUCUACUGAUUUUAGACUCUUUCACUUGAUUUGUCCCUUCAUAGACAACUUCAAGUUUGUUCCAUAUCUCUUGUGCACUUUCACAACUAGAUACUCUAUGGAAUUCUUUCUUAUCAAGGGCACAAAACAAAGCAUUCAUAGCCUUGGAGUUUAGAGACAUCUUUCUCUUUUCUAACUCACUCCAUUGACUCGAUGGUUUAGGAAUAUCAUCUCCUACUUCAUCUUUGAACGUAGGCAUGAAUGGACCAUCACAAACAACUUCCCAAAUUUCAUAAUCUAAGGCUUGCAAAUAAAUUCUCAUUCUAGUUUUCCAAUAAGCAUAGUCAUUACCAUCGAAAAAUGGUGGUCUAGUUGUGGAUUGCCCUUCUCUAAAGGUUGAGUCAUUUAGGGUUGCCAUGGAUCUUUUACUCUAGACGAUUAAGUCUUAACAAGAGAACGAGGCUCUGAUACCAAUUGAAAUACAAGUAUGCAACCCAAGAGGGGGGGUGAAUUGGGAUUCUAAAAAAUUAUUCAAUUUAUUAAAGAAAAUCUUAAUGCAAUUAUAAAUCAAAUUCAAAGCAAUAACAAUUAAGAGAAUCACAAUAUAAAAAGAUAAGGGAAGAGGGAUUCAAACACCGAGAUUUUUACGUGGUUCGGCCAACCUCGCCUACGUCCACGCCUCCAAGCUUUCCGGGCUUGAGGAUUCCACUAAGCAAGCCUCCAAGGCUUCAAAUGCUUACACUUGACUUCCAAGGUGUCAAUGAACCUUUACAACAAGAGAUUAUCCCCAAUCUCUUAACCCAAGUGUAUCCCAACACUUACAAUCACUCAAAAUAAAAGAUUAUAAAUUGUUUUGCCUCUCACAAUAUAUAAGAUUACACAAUGAUGCUUAAUAUGUGAAUAGAUGAAGCAAGAAUAUGUUCUAAGCUCUAUGAAGAUUGUAUUCUCGAAUAUUAGCUCAAAUGGUCGUGUUGUGAUUAAUCAUCUUUGAAUUUGAAUGAGCUUAUUUAUAUUUGGAGCCGAAAAUCUAGCCGUUACAAACUGUCGGACAGAAAACGGUUCGCCGUUAACCAUAAACGGUUAACCGUUUAGGCUGGUCAAAGUUACCGUUGGGCCAGAUUUCAAAUAAUCGGUUUGCCGUUUAGGGUUGCCCUUUCGCCGUUAACUUCCAGAGACCUGCAAAAUGAGUAUUUGUUAUCCGUUUACGCUAAACGGUUAAGGACUUGCGUGAAGUGGCUUCUCUGGAAAUUAUCGGUUAACCGUUUGAUAUAAACGAUUCGCCGUUUGUCUCCAGUAACCUGCAAAACAAAUUUAGCCUUAUCAGUUUUCGUUAAUCAGUGCCAGAGGAGGACAACCUUCAAUUUUGGACGUUAUCGGUUAACCGUUUAAAAUAAACGGUUCACCGUUAGGUUCCAGUAGCCUUCCCAUCUUGGGUGUUUUCUGUUAAGCAUAAACGGUUAGAGCUUAGGUAAUAUGUUGCUCUCUGAUUCUAAUCGGUUAACCGUUUAAAAUAAACGGUGAACCGUUUAUAACCAGAAUUGCAUUUUAAACCAGUUUUUGCAGAGAAUCUUUUUCUAAUUUUAAAGUCCAUCUUUUAUGAAGCAUGAAUGGAAUGAUUACUAAGGCUCUCGUUUAUUAAGAAAUAUUCUUUCUUGUUCUAGCAAUUCUAUUUUCUGGGUUAUUAAACCAAUGUAUGUAACUAAUAUAUUUUCCCAUCCUAAAAUCAUAUGAUCUAUGCAAUCUGCUAAUUCAUGUAUUUAUAUUAAAUGCAUGUUGAUUUUGAUGGUUCAUAAUGCUUCCUUUUUGUACCAGUAUACCAGAAAUUUUAUAAAUUCAUCUAUAAAUUUCAUUUUCUUUUCUAUUAAAAUUUCACCUCCUAUUGUGUCUAUAUUUCUUUCUCUGAGUUCUUCUGUUAAUUCGAGUUCUAUAUUUCUUAUAUUAUUUUUAUCGGUUUUUAAAGCCAUUAUAAGACUUUUUAUUUCUUCUUUGUUAUACACUUUUAGUGUAUAUAAGCUAUUAACUAUUGCUUGUAUUGGAUCCAUCAUUUAAUUCUAUGUCAUUUUUUCCAAAAAUUUAACAUUUAGGAUCUAUAGUUAUGGCUCUGAUACCAUCUUGCACGUAUGUGCCAAAAAAAGUACAAAUAAAAAUUAUUAAAUAAAUAGUCAAAUAUUCUCAAUGGAGUACAAAUAAAAAUUAUUAAAUAAAUAAUCAAAUAUUCUGAAUGGUUAAACUACUUCUAUUUUCUAAAUUAUCAUAUUUAUUGUUUUUAUUCCAAAAUUAAUUAACUAGAAUAAAUAUAUAGAUAUAUAUAUAUAUGAUUAAUUAAACAAAUUAUUUAUAACCAAAAAAAGUAUGUGGCGUUGACAAAGUGAUGAGAUCCUUGGCAAUUCAGCCAAGAUAUUUAAUUCUCCUUUGGACCAAUAGCCCGCACACCUUGGUUUCCAAUCUAUAUACUUUUUUCAAUUUAUAAUUCAAUUUCUUCAUUAUCUGAAUUUACAUAUGAAGGUCCAUCCUCUCUAUUUUUAUUUUCUAUAUAUGCUAAACCUAUAUCAAUUCCUUGUUCUACUGUCAUCAUAAUUAUGUUAUGCUUUAGAUUUUCUGAUUCGAUAUAGUUUAUUAUUUUCCGUUUUAUUUCUUGUGGGAGAUCUAGUGAAAAUACUGCUAACAGAUUUUCGGUUCUAACAAGGUCUCUUUUACUUAAUAAAUAUGAAUCUUGUUUAUAUGACCCUAAAUUAAAGUCUAUUAUCAUCAUAAAGUUGUUAUAUGUUAUUUUAGUAUUAGGAUCUAUCAUGCAUUCUUUACAUUCACCUAAAUAAAAUCUAUGAUUCAUUUUACAGAAAAGAACCAAAAACUUGUUUCAUCUCAAAAAUAUGCUCUUCCUCCAUAAAUCUCCUCAUCAUUGAUCACCAACAAACUUCCACCAAAGAUAAGGUUUGAGAAUUAUUGCCUAACUUAUUCUUGUUUCCUUGCCUUCCAAUCCUUUUCCAGUGACCUGCAGCCUGUGUGUCCUUAUUCCCUCAACGGCUCCUCUGCCUCAACGGGAUCAGCGGACUAGAUCGGCCUUACUGUAUGCACUUUGAUUGUUUGGCUUAGAAAUGUUGAAUAACUAUAGGUUUCUCUUUCCUUUCUAUGGGGUUAUUUGUUUUCUUGAUCAGUGAUGUUUUGAUUUAGGAAUUAAAGCUGUAGAGUUUAGUUUUUCAUUUUUCAGAGGAUUUUCAAGUUUUGGAAGAACUGAAUUUUUUGUGAAUAAUUAGCUCUGAGAGCCUUCUUCUUUUUCUUUCUUUAUUUAUAUCCGAAGUAAUCUUCGGUUUGAUUACAUUUUUGCCCUUAGAUUAUUAGGCACUUACAUCACUGCUUACAUCACUACUUAACUUUUUAUUACAUUUUUGCCCUUGUGUUAUUGGGCACUUACAUCACUGCUUACAUCACUGAAUUAUAUCUUAUCUUGGGUAUCUUUUUUAUUUUGUCUGCCACAUCUUGUCUGCCACAUCUCGGGUAUCUAUUUUGUCUGCCACAUCUUGUCUUUGUUGGUCUAUUGCUUUCUAUCGCUUUCUAUUGCUUGCCAGUCUGUUUUAUCUCCAUGAGUUGGUAAACCUGCUCCAUGGUUUUGCUGCUACUGGGAAAUCGCAUAGUACUUAUCUCGUUGAUGAAAUCUAGUAACAGGUUCGAUGGUGUAUUCCCAUCUUCAGAAGUGAUGAGGAUGUAAUUUUGGAAUUUUAUAAUAGUCCUAAAAUUUCUCUUAUACAAGUCCUUUGCUAUGCUCCAUAUGGCCUUAAUCCCUCUGGCUCUUCGUGUUCUAAUCCAAGGUUCAUUUAUGUGAGGAACAUUGGUGUAUUCUGUUCCUACUUUGACUUUGAAAUUUUUUGUGAGGUGGCCUACAGAUAUCAUGUAAAAGGCUUGAUACUCAACAUUCUGAUAAUAUUCUGGGCUUAUGGUGUAGAAUUUUAGGUAUAUGGGUCUUUUUUGGGCAAAUCUUGAGACUUCUUUAACUAAUAAGUCAUCAAGGCUGGCUAUUUCUUGAAGGUUUAUAUCUGGAUAUAUUAGGUCUAAAUACCCAUAUUUUGCUAUUUUCCCAACAAGGAGUGGAUCUGCUCCUUUUGUAACAAUCAUUCUGGGGUACAUAUUUUUUCCUGGUGCUUUAAAAAUUGUAUUAUUGUGAGAACAAGUAGAGUAUACCCAUGAAGAGAAUUGUUUAUACUCUUCUUCUUUUGGAUUUAGGGGUUUUUCCUCUUCUUCUGUAUAAGGAUUGUUUAUUUGGAUAAACUUUUUUGGAAGGUCUGAUUUUGGUGACUUAAUUUCUAUGGAUAUGGUUUUAUUUGGAGUUGGGUCAGAGAUUGGUUUAUCUCCUCCGAAAGGUCCACCACUGCUUCCUAUAUUUAUCGAGCUAAUGUUUAUUGGGCUUGUGUUUAUAGAGAGUGUCUUUGUUAGGUCGUCUAUGUAUGACUCUAACAAAUUUACUCCAACAAAUUUACUCAUUUCUCAUGGGCUUCAGAAGCCUCUUUUAAAUAGUUUAUUGCAUCAAUUAUAUCAGAUGCUUCAGUCUUGAGCCUUUGAAUUUCGGCUUCUAUUUUGCCAAGGAUUCUAUUUACUUCGGGAUUCAUUCUCCAAAUUCUAUGUUCCUGCUUAAAAAGUCUGCAAGGAAAUUGUUAGUUCCUUUAAUAUGUAUUAUCUUAAAAUUAUAAUAAGAUAGGUAAGCUUGCCAUCUAUGCAAUCUUCUGUAUUGGGGUUCAUUUGGUAAAAUUCUAGUGAUAAGAGAACUUACUUGAGAAUUAUCUGUUUCUACAAUGAACUGUUUUUGAAGUAAAAAUAAUGAAAAUUUUUUAAUUCCUUUAUAUAUUGCAAGGAGUUCUUUUUCAUGAACUGGAUAAUUUGUUUGUGCCUGGUUAAAAGUUCCACUGGUAUAUCGACAAAUUUCAUUUAUAUCAGUUUUAAGAAUUGCUCCCCAAUAUAAGUCAGAUGCAUUUGUCUGUAUUAUUAGUUUAUCUUUUUCGUUUGGUAAUCUUAAAGCUGGUAGAUUUUUAUAUUCUUGUUUUAAAUUUUUUACGGUUUCUGUAUGUUCCUCAUUCCAUCCUUUAGUAUUGUUUUUUCUUAAUAAUUUUUUAAGUAUAUUUCUCUUUUUCGCUAGAUCUUUUAUAAAUCCUUCUGCAUAAUUUAAGCAUCCCAAAAAUUUUUGUAUUUGUUGUUUAUUUUCUAAUCUAUCUGGGAACUCAGUUAUUUUUCUUCCUAUAUGGCUCUGAAGCCUGAUUCCUUGUUUAUCAAGAAUCAUUCCUAAAAAUUCUAUUUUUCUAUGUUCUAUAACUGCUUUUUUACUCGAUAAAACUAUUCCUUCUUUUAUACAUAUAUUAACAAAUUCCUUUAAAUGACUUUUAUGUUCUUCUAAUGUUUCUGAUGCUAUCAAUAUGUCAUCAACAUAGACUAUAAUAUAAUUGUAAUUUCUAAAUAUUUUAUCCAUUCUACUCUGAAAGAUUUGAGGGGCAUUUUUUAAUCCAAAAGGCAUUACUAGCCAUUCAUAAUGUCCUUGUGGGGUACUAAAAGCUGUAUAAGGAAUACUAUUUUCUUCCAUUUUUAUCUGCCAAAAUCCUGAUUUACAGUCAAAUUUUGAAUAAUAUGUUUUAUUUUUGACAAGAUUUAUUAAUACUUCUUUGUUAGGGAGAAAAUACCCAUCAAAUUUUGUGUACUUAUUUAGUUAUUUGUAAUUUAUUACCAUUCUUGUCUUUCCUCUAACCUGUUCUGCUCUUUUUCGAACCAUAAAGGCUGGACUGUUAUGAGGGCUAUUACUGCUCCUAAUGAGUUUUAAAUUUAAUAGUUCUUUUAUUUGGGUUUUAAAUUCUUCUCUAUCCUCUUCUGUAUACAUCAUGGGUUUUAAUCUUAUUAUCCUAUUUUCAAUUAACUCUAUUUUUGCCUUAGGAUGAUCUGGUUUCCAUAAUGCUAAUGGUUUUUUUUAUAAACUUGUUCAAGUUGUGACUUUAUUGUUUCUAAUUGUAUAUUGUAACUCUGUCCUUUCUGUAUUAAAUAAUGUUUUACUUAUCACCACGCUGGGCUGGCUGAACUCUAUAAGGUUUGAACUCACGAGGAACACGAAGUAUAUGGUUACAAGGAGUCUUGAGAGUAAUCAUAUAUGGAGUUUGUUGGUAAUAUACAAAUUGUUGGAGGAAAUCAUUUCCUAAAAGAAUAUCACAAUCCAUAUGAUUAUACUGAAAGACUUGGGAAAUACGAACUAUUUUACUUCCUAAUAAGAUUUCAAAAUUUAAGAUAGAUUGAUUUACUUGUUGUUUAUCUCCUGUGAUACCGACAAUUUUUAAGUGUCCAUUGUAUUCCCAUUUAUUGGAUAAAAAGGAUUUCAUAAUAGUUAUUUCGCUACAUGUGUCUAUUAAAGCACAAGUAUCGAUAGCUUGUUCUGUGAUAUGUAUUUGUAUAUAGACAGACAUAGGAUAUUUUAUAUAAACUUGUCUUAACAUGUUGCACAAACUAUUUUUUGGCCUUGUAUUAGGAAAGUUAUUUUAUUUGGUUCAAUCUUAUAAUAUUCUAAAUCAUUUAAAAAACUAUUUCCUAGAAUUAUAUGUUUUUCUGGAUCUGUAGUCAUAAAUGAAUCUAUAUAACAAGGUACUAUGAUUCUAAGUCCUUCUAUUAUUACAGGAACUUUGACUUCUUGUUUGCAUAUAUGUCUAUUUCCGUUAAAAUCAGUAUAUUCAUACGGGAUUUCUCUUUCUCUUACUAAAAGUCCUUUAUUUUUAGUGUGAUUCAUAUAAUUAUAACUUGUACCUGUAUCUAAUAGUAUAGGUAUCUUUGGAGUAUAGUCUAUUCUAUUAAAGUAUUGUCCAAGUAUUUUUACUACAUUAUUUGCUGAUACUGAUUUAAUUAAUUGUUUAUCAAUGCUUAAUCUUCUAGAGGAACUUCCUCUUAUCAAGGUUCUUCCUUUAAAGCUUAUAGGGAUAAUGGAGUUUUCAUUAUUAUUAUCUAGGAAUUAUUUUUUGUCAUCUAUUUUUAAUUCGUAGUUAAAAGGGAUUCUAUAAUCUUGACUUACUGGUUCUAUAAAAGUUGCUAUAUCUUCACAAUCCUUAUUUAUUUCAAUGUAAGGUUUAUUACCAUAUAUUUCUCCAUAAUUUGAAUUACAAAAACUAUAUAAAGCUGAAUAAUGUAUUGUCAUUAUUCUAUUUCUUUCUUUCAUUAGGUUCUUUUUUUAAUAAUUUAAAAUGUAGGCUUAGUGUUUCAUCUAUAUUCCUGUCCUUUAUAUGUACACAAUAUCUAGGAUGGCAGGUAAAUAAUAAUUUAGUAUAACACAAGUUUCCUUCUAUUGUUCCCAAGUGUCCUAUGCUAGGGUCUGUAAAUCUUUGGUCGUGUAAUGAUAAAACUAUGGGGCUAUCUAUCCCUUCUUUGAAAAGUGAUUUGAUUAAUAUUUGUAUUUCUGCAAGAUAUACAUAUUGAAUUUUUUCUUUAAUUGAUUCACUUUUUAUUUUUCUUAAUGCUAAAUCUACAGAUAUUUUAUUUAUUAGGCUAAAUCUAAUAUUUCCUUCUGCUUGUGUAAUUGUUACAGCUUUUUCUUGUUCAUAAUAUUCGUGUAAUAUUAUUCUUUUUCUUUUAAACAUAUCUCUAAAUCUAUGGAUUAUACUGUACUCUGGUUUUUCCAUAUUUAAUUUUAAAAGUUUGUUAUAUUUUUCUUUAUUAAAUGUAGCUACAAUACUAUAUCCACUUUUAUUUUCUUCUUUUUCUAUUUCUUCAAUUUCCUCUAUUUUUUCAUUCUCUAAUAAUUCUUCUUUAUUCUGAUUCAUUCUCUGAAUCUGAAUUUUUCAUUAUAUAAAUUUCUUCUCCUUCAUAAUCUGAUAAAUCAUUUAUUUCUUCUAAAUCAUCUUUUAUAUUUUCAAAAUCUUCAUUAAGAAUUCUGACUUUCUUUUUUGUACAAUCUGUACUUAUAUGUCUUAUUUCUCCACAAUUCCAACAUUUACAUUUGGAUUUAUCUAGUACUUUUCUUUGGUUUUUAUACUUCCUUUUAUAAUACUUUCUUACAGGUUUUUUAUAUUUUCUUUUGAAAUUAUUAUAUUUUUUAUAUUUAUAUUUUCUUUCCUUCUGGUAAGACUUUCUACGUUGUUUAUGAGGUAUAUAACAUCCCCAUUGAGUAGGCAUUUCCGUCUUUUCACAACAUAUUUUAGUUAUAUUUUUACUCUUUUUUAUUAAACUUCUUUGGAUGCAUAUUUCACUUAACCUUGUAUUUAAGAAUCUUAUCCUAGCUCCUAAUGUAUCAGGGAGUCUAUUAUUGCUAUUGUUAGUAUAUUUUUCAUAUUCAUUAAUGAAAUAUCCAUUCCAAGGAUAUGGUAAUUUAGAAUAGUAUAGAUUUUUAUAAAUAUUUUGGUCUUCAUGACUCAUGAAUUGUGUAUAAUAAUAUUUGCUAAAUUCGCAUGUAUAUUCUUUUACAAAACACAUAUUACAAAUUGUCAAAUUUAUUAAUUUCAUUCGAGCGUCUAACUUAUCACUUUUUGCCUCAUUUUCUGAAUUUUGUAACCAAUCUUCUCCUAAAAAUUCAUUAGCAAUGUACUCAAUUAUUCUUUCUAUGCCUAAUCCUUUAUCUCGUCCUAGUGCUAUUUUGGUCGAAUCUUUGAUUAAUUUUUGUGUAUCCUCACUUAAUCCUUUCCACCAAUUAAAUACAUUUCCUGUAAAGCUUGCUAUUAAAAUAUCAACAAAUAUAUUUAUCUUUUCUUCCUCUGUUUCUACAUUCCAAUCAUCCCUAGAUCCAUUAAAUAUAAAAAAUAAUUUCAUUUGCAUUCCCCAUUCUACCAAUGCUUUUCGAGAAUCUAUUUUACAAUCUAAGUCUAAAAAUGUACCUGCAUUGCUUAUUGGUAUUAGAUGGUCAUUAUUAGGUUGGUAUUCUUUUUUCCAAGGGGUAUUUUUAAUGGGUGGAUAAUAUUCAAAAAAUGGUCGAUUUUUCUUUUUAUUAGUCCCAUAUUUAUGGCUUGAUUCUCCUAUGUCAGGUUUUAAUUCCGGACCACCUGCAACAUUCAUUUUUAUGCAAUAUUCUUUUUCAAAUUCUUCUAAGUCGCUAAGAUUAAUAUCACUAAAUUUUUCUGUUAGUUCUUCUAGUGUGUUUUCCAUUAUUCUGAAUCGUUAGGUGUAAUUUCUUCUUUUAUUUCUAAUUUUUCUUUACCUUUUUUCUUACUUUGUAAUUCUGCUUUUAAGUUUUCUGCUUCUUCUAAAAUUUUCGGGUAUUGGGUUUUUAUAAACCAAUCAUCAUAACUUCCUAUUUGUGGUUUUACUAUUGGCUUUUUAAAGCUUGUUCCGAUUAUUCCUGACUUUAGUAUUUCGAGUUUUUCUACUUUUUUAUUUUUCUUUUGGAUCAUCUUUAUUGUAGAUAAUUCUAUUUUUAUUUUUCCGAUUUCUUGUUUAAUUUCCUUCAUUUCCUCCUUGAGAUUUAAAAGAAUUUCUUUUAAUUCUAUAAGUGUUGUUUCCAUUAAAUUUAAGGGUCCUGGUGAUAUUGUCUAUUUGGAAUGUAUGUUACGUUCAUCGUAACAUAGAGUUAGCCAUAUAUUAUUUAUGAUUUUUAAUAAACCAAUCUCCAAGCCAACGAGAUAGACACACGCAGCACGUUGUAUGCUAACAUCUCAAUCAAACAAGGCUUCCGAGAAUUGAAGUUUUGAUUGGUCUUCUUUUACCCCCACUAAAAGCACGAGGUUAAAUAAAAAUAAGGCAAUGUUGUCGGAUCAAUCCCCUGUCGAAUCUCUCACUCCACCUACUUGUUUUAAACUUUAUUUAAUUUAACAACCACCAAAUAAAAAAAGGCAAUUGUAAAUUCGUGAUUCCGUUAAACCCAGAAGCAUCCACUGUGGAGCAGCACCACCACCACCACCAGUCGAGACAGAGCAGAGACGCAGCACCACCACCACCACCAGCCGAAACGGAGCAUAGACGCAUCAGUAGCAGCAUCACCAAUUAUUCCUCAAGAGAGACGCAACAGCAGCAACAGCAGUAGUCGAUCCUUAAAAGAGAAGUCGUUGCAGCACCACUACCACCAAUCGAGAGAAGCUGGGACACGGCAGCAGUCGAUUCUGGUUGAAGAACUGUGAUGGAAAGGGAGACAGUUGUGACGAAUCGUGGUUGAAGAACUCUGACAGAGAGAGAGAUGUGAAUUUCAAUCGGGAUAAGGAGAUUAGGCUUGGGUUUUGUUUUGCAAUUUCUUUUGUGAUAUAAUUUGUGAUUCAUCUGAGAACGUGUUAAACACGUUCUCAGUUUUAUAACAAUAAAAAAGAAUAUGAAUUAUUUGUUUUAUAAUUCAUUUUUGGAUCCAGCCCACUGAACAAGAAUUACAUAUGUACUCUCAAAACGAAAAUGAAAACAGGGCCCUGAAAAUGAUACCGAACAGGCCCUAAUCUUCUUCAACUCUUUGCUCAAUCUUACUGGUUUAUCAUUGAUUUCUUGUCCCAUAACUCGACUCACGAGAUUAGAAGAGUCUUUGUUAUUAGAUCUUUAAGUUCUCCAAGCUCUUCUGAAUCUUUACCAUAAAUCAUACAUAAGUGAAUGCUUUAUUCUUAAAAUUUGUUGCCUAUUUGUGACUCUGUAACAGCACAUAAAAUAGUAGAAAGCAACAAUAAUAAACAUCAGAACCAGCAAGUAUAACAGCAGCAAACAGCAAGUUAAACAACAAAAAAUAGUAGUAAAACAUAACAAGUAAAACAACAGCAAACGAUAGUAAUAAACAGCCGAAAUAGCAAGUAAAAUGCAGUAACAAGUGAGUAAAAAGAAGCAAACAGCGAGUAAACCAGCAAAAACAGCAGCAACCAGUGAGUAUAACAGCAGCUUAAUUGUAGACUUGUAAUAUUAAGUAAGCUUAAUUGCAUUCAAUUAAGUAAAACAACAGUAAAAAUAGCAAAAACAGCAAGAACAACAAGAACAGCAAGUAAAACAACAAAAACAACAAGUAAAACAGUAGUAACCAGCAAGUAAAAUAGUAGUAAAAAACAGCAGAAAUAGCAAAAACAGCAGUAAAAAAUAACAGCAGUAAAAAAAAAAAGGCAAAGAUAACAGCAGUAUCCAGCAAGUAUAACAGCAGUAACCAGCAAAAACAGCAAGUAAAACAGCAAAAACAAUAAAAAAAUAGUAGUAACCAGCAAACAUAACAGCAAAAACAGAAAGUUAAACAGCAAUAAACAGUAAGUGAAAAAAAAAAAAGAAGCAAAUAGCAAUUGAAACAAAAAUGAAUUGCAUAUCUUGGGAACAUACUCCUAAAGCAUUAGUGGCAAUGAUAUAACAAUUCUGUUAUUAAUGCCAAAGAAAAAAAAAUAGUUAAUUAUUUAUAUCAUACAGCAUAUAAACAUCAAACAUAUUAGAAAGAGGGGAAAUAAAACAAAACAAAACAAACAAAAGCAGGACCAGCUUUGUUUGAUAAGGGCCUUGUGACUUAUAAGUGUAUCAAGCAUUACAUAGUAAUAAUUAAUAUUGGUUCUUAAGGCAUCUCUAGCUAGUUAUUAUUAAUAUUGGUUUGAUUCUCCUUUUAAGCUUUUGUGUAUAUAAAUGCAACCGGAUGAAAAAGCUCAAGUUAAUUGAAGGGAACAAGUUUCAGCCAUCAAUUAUGAUUUAAGUAUGUAUAUAUAACUGAGACUGACAUUUAAUUAACCAUCUAAUUAACAUCUUAGCAGUUCAGAUAAAAAACAUGUAACUGAAUUGCUAAGGUGUGUAUAGUAGUUAUCAAUUAAUCCAAGAUUCAUUCACUUCUUGUAAUCUUAGCUAUGUAAGAUUCAACCCAGUCAUAUAUAAUUUAUAUGUCAUAUUGCACUUCCCAUGCAAAAUCAAUAAGAAGAAAAAGAUAAAUAAGUUAUAGAGCAACAAAUUAGAGACAGUACCCAAAAUGUGUCAGUCUAACACAAGAAGUCAUAUAUAUAUAUGCUGUAUCAAUAUUACCCUCAACAGUAUAUCCAGUCAAGGUAUUAAGCCAAAAUACGACUUACAUAGUUUGGCAAAGAAAAGAUAAAAAACAUGUAACUGGGCAACUACUUAAACCAUGAUAUAUUGCAGUGGAAAUUGAACAUAGUUAAAAAAAAAAAAAAGAGAUCCCUGGCUUACAGAAUGGUCAGUAAUUGUACAGCCAUAUUCACCAGAAAUGUAGACAUAAUGUAAAAUUCGAAACGAAUGAAGUUGAAUGAACACAAAUUGCAUAUUACAAAUUGCAAACAACAAAAUAGGGCUAUGACAAAUCAAAUUAAAUCUCCAGUUGUAGCAGUGUACCCAUUGCACAUGUGCAAUUUAGCUUUAACAACCAUCUACGAGAAUAAUCUCAUUUCUCAUACACAAAGAAGGCACCAUCUCUACAACAGUUAAACCAAGUGUCAAACCAGAAACACCAUAAACUAUACACAUCUUAGCAAUCCCAGCGACAUUUUCAAUCAAAUCAAGAAUCGAAUCAAAUACCACCAUUCAGAAGCAAAUUUGAAGCAACACAACAAUGAAAAAGAACCAUAACCCACAACUCACGACAUCGCACUGAAUUGAGAUACCAAGUCAAUAAUAAUUCAUCUUAUAAGCUGGAAUCAGUUAUCCAAUGAAUCGUAACACAACUUAUAAAUUGAUUCCCAUUAACUUUAUGGCAUGAACAAUUGCAACAGCCAAGAACAUCCAAACAGCCAUAAAAAAGGAAUCAACAAGGGCAUCCAAACAGCCAAAAUAACAAAAUAAUACAUGGAAGAGAUGAGAAAGAGUACCUAAUGUGAGAAAUUGUGAAGCUAAAGAGUCGGAAAUUGCUAUGAUAACAGUGAAAGCUAAACCGAGAACUGAUGAAGCUCUCCGGCGAAUGCUAUUGUUCAAAUUCUGAACAAUUUCGUAAAGGAAGAUGGAUGAGAUAAUCCGAACGGUCUCUUGUGCUCAAACGCUGUCAGCAGCGCUCUUUAUAGCCGGUGAAAGCUGCCGGAAGUUCAUCAAUGACUUUGCUAUAGAGAUUUUGACAUUCUAUGAGUUGCAAAAUCGAAAGGAGAAUGAGGAUUAGGGUUGUUUGAUUUAGACUUCUUGAAGGGUAAACUUGGAGAUUAAAAAAUAAAUGAGGGUAGAAUAGAGAAAUAGAUCUUUUUAAUUGGGUGGAAUCCAGAUUUCCGCACUCAAUAGAGAGGAAAGUGAAUUUCUCAACUCAUGGAAAUUGGAGAAAAGUCGGAAUUUGAUUUCCAGUCAAAUUCUACCAACCGAACAGUGGAAAACUAGCAGGAACCAGAAACCCUCUCCUCUCCAGCCUUCUCUGCUGCCAACCGAACAUGGCCUUAAUGUAACUUACACCACUCACACAAAUUACUUCUUCAUAUCAUAACUAAUUAAACAACCGCUUCUUUCUUGAAGAAUCGUAAAUAUUAAAGUAAAAAGACAAAAGUAAACAAAUAUAGAAAUAUGGUCCGCACAAUAACUACACGGUAUCUAUCAUCGGUUUGCUCCCAGAAAUAGAAAAGUGCUUUUCAAGUCUUCUCUUUAAUAAAGCCACAAAUAGCAACUAACUAAAAGCUAACUGCUAUAUCCACUGAUGUUGUCACAUUGACGAUAUAAACCAAACAUUUUCCAAACCCAGAAAAAAAAAAAGGGACAUUGAUUCCACUUUAUAAAUAUAAUUAGGCAGCUGCUACUUUGAAACUGUUACAAUUGUUUCAGAUUCAGGUAUAGACAUCCAACGGUUUUGGGGACUCCUCUAUCUCAGAACUGUUUUAAGGUAGCUGAACUCAUAUAAUUAACGUAAUUACAAUAAUUAAAUUUAAUAUUAUGAUUGAUACAUAUUUAUUAAAACAAAAUGUAAAUAUAAAUAUAAAAACAACAAUUAAGAUAAAAUAAGUUUCUUUAAAACAUCACAAUGAGAAUUGAGAAGCAUCUAUUGUUAUUAUUUUAAUUUAUCUGCGAGCCCCACAUAUUCAUUUAACAAAGAAAUCAUAAAGCAUUGCCAGAAUUAAAGUUUUAUUGAAGAAGAAAAGUAAUUUAUAAAUAAUAUUCUUUUCAACUUUAGUACUGCGUGUUGAUGGGGAGACAAAAUGAAAAGUGUUGACAGGCAGAGACACACGAAUCUCAUAAAUAUUAUUAAAAAAAAUUCGUUGACAGGGAGAGACAAACGAAUAUCAUAUAUAUUAUUGAAAAAAAAAAAUCAUAGUCUGUAUCGUCUAUACAGAAUCGUAUGCAUAACUGAAAGUCUAAAACAACUGAUCUGGCUUUUAUAAAAAUAGAAGAUAAUAUUAUUACUGUGGCACCUGUACCCAGCUAUAGGAAGUGGUAGUUGCAUGGAAGCUCAAGUCACCACAAUUACACCAUAUCCCCAGAUGGACUUGGCAGCAGGUCUUGGAUGCUGCCUCAUCAGUUAGAUCAUUUGGAUUAUUAACAAUGAUAUGUUUUUAUUAGCUGAAUUGAUAACUCUCCAAGCCACGUCUGUAAGGCUAACAUUUGGAUUAUAACUGAUAGACAAGAAUAAAAAGAAAAAAACAGAGUUAAAAAAAGUUGAUAUAAUGAACCUUGUGGUCAAAUGUCAGAUCUGACUUCUUCAAACGAACUAAAGGCCAGCAAUGAAAAUUUCACAUAAAAGCAACUAGACUACCUGCAAGAUAGCUUAAAUUAAAAGUUUUCUGACUCAUUCAGCAGAGACGCCAACAAUUUCCGAAACUUUUUGUUGGACCUCACGUUUAUAAAUUCUCAAAUCUUCCUACACCAAUCUGACAACAUCACAGAAAGCAAGCAACACCACAUUUAAUUGUCUUUAAGCUACAAAAAAAGCUUCAAGCUCUGCUGAUGCCAGGAUAUAAUGAGAAACCAAUCAUAGAACAUGUCAUAAGCAAGGGCACAAGCAGAGGAAAGAUCUUCAAUGCUUCAGUGUGAUGAUAAUCACCAUGAAACAAUAUCAACAGAUAUGAUCUAGUGAUAAAUGAAAUAUAACAACCUUCAAAUGAAAUUAAUAAACAGCGACAGAACGAUAUAAAACAAAUAACUUCAUAAAGAAAGAGUUUACAUUUUUGUCGGAAAUCUGAUUACCGUUCUUUCAUUUGUAUGUAAAGUCUCUGAAAUUCCCUAGUCGUGCCCAAAUAAAUUCUCUUAUAUAUAUGAUGAAUAAUGCUGUUAAAAGAAGCCCCUGAACUUAGAAUUACUUCCACUUCUUUAAAUUCUUAGUUAUAAUAAGGCAAGAGGGAGUUUUGGUAUUUUUAGUGAGAUAUAGAAAGGUAUUUACCCUCACUUUAUCUUGCAACUUCAAAACCUGGAAAGUCUCUCUCAAAACAUGAAUUUAGACGAAUGGACUUCAACUAAAAGGAUUUUCUUACAAAAGCUAAAAAAUGCAACAGCAUAGUGAAAAUGGGAAAAUGAAAAUAUAAAGCAGAAGAAAAAGUUUCCAUCAGAUAAGACAAAUACAGAAAAUCCAAGUUCUUAUUUGCCAUGCCAAUAUUAUUCCUGCAGAAUUACUCUAAUUUAUUUUUCAGUGAAGGUUAGUAACAAUUUAUCUGUAAAUAACUGAACCAACUUGGUUAUUACGACAUUACUCUUUCUCUUCUACACUCAUUUUCUGCAUAGUUGCGGUUAAUCAACGACCACAUUCACAAACACGAGUCCACUCUCCCCGGCCCCUUCACUUAUUUCCCCAACCUUAAGGUCUCUCAAAGUGCAGCAGCAAGACAUGAACUCCGAUCAAUAUAAAGCAAUAUUAAGCCCAGCUAAAAAAUCCAACACCUAUUUGGCUAGAAAAACCCCAUAACUCAUUGCCACACUCUCUAUUUUCACCCCUUUCAUCAAAACACAAGCAUUACUUACCCAUGUCCAGACAUAAUUUCGUUUUCUGAUAUCACGUCAUUCAGGGGGGAAAAAGCAAUUAAAGGAUUUCAGUACAUAAAUUACAACAAGCUGUCAAUUCGCAAAAACAAGGAAAAUUAGCUCAAUCGAGUGAAGUAGGCCUACAAAAUGACCUCAAUGAGAUAUCAGAUACCUCAAAAAUCGAAUCAAAUUCAGUUAAACUAAGAAUCACUCAUCAAUAUGAAUAACAGAAAGAAAUUUCUCAUAAAAACUCAAUACAAAUAAAAAAAAAUUAGCUAAUCAUCCUUUUUUGGUUUAGUGACUUCGUCAGAAAAUAAGACGAAAUAGAAAUUCUGAAAUUUACUUAGGGUUUCUAGGUUUGAAAAUUUACCUUACGAGAAGCCAGGCUCUCUGUUUCUAGCUUUGUAACGUUACUAUUAUGGCCGAUCUACGCCGAUCAGCUGAGAUGAUCAGAUUUCUCGCCGGCGACGACGCAGACGUUUGGAUUUGGGUUUGACGAUAGACGAAGGAAUGUUUAGGGGUCCUGGGUGAUUUUGGGACUUAUUGAAUUGAAAGACCAAAAUAACCUUUAAAAAUUUACACAUGUAAUAUUCGGGGUAGUUAAACAGUUAAUUUUUUUUUUAACCAUAAAAACAGAAUAUAAAUCUACAUACAGAAUUUUAUUAAUAUACCCUUGUUCAUCCGGACCAUAGUACAACGACAACAACAACCCAAAAAAAAAAAAAUCUAGCCUCUGUCUGCAAGUGCUUUUUCAAGCAGAAGCCAAAGAUAGCAACUAAGCUUUCACAUCAAACUGUUCAAACUUAUUCGGGUAACAACAGACUAUAGGCCAUUGUAAUAACUAGUUCGCAAUGGAAAGAUAUAAAACUCUCAUAAUUCUACACUUUGUUAGUUUGUUACUUUAGCAGGUACUAGGACCCUACAGUGGCACCAACAAUAUCGUCUACCACAACUUCCAGGUUGUUCUCAUCAUCAUCAGUUGAGCUUGGCUGCAGGUUUUGGUUCCCGUUCAGACGGUUGAUCAUGAUCAAGAUUGUGCCAGUAAUGGGCGUUAUUAUUGCAGUGAGAUUCCGAAACCAGUUGAAAAUGUGCUGAGACAGAGAAGCUACGGUUCCAUAACGGAGUGAUGAGAUUAUGAGGCACAAAUAGGCCACGAAGAAGAGAAAUGGAGACGAAGUGACGGAGGCAACCACCGAGAUAGCCAACAAAACAGAGGUUUCUUCAAAACCCUCGGAAAUGGAGCUCCUCACAUUGAAAGCAAGUCUGAUGGGUAUGUGGCGGAAGAGCAGUACUGGCAUGGUGACGGCAGGAAUCAGGAACCGGAACUGAAGUUUUAAAAUCGGAUGCAAAAUUAUCGUACUUGUACCACCUUGGACGUCCGAAGAAUUGCCAUCCUGAGACCUGCGGAACAGAAUAAAGAUGAUAAGAUUUAGUAAUAGCAGAUAUAAAAAGCUCAAAGUGAUUGACAGAUCCAUGCUUAUGAGGAAGAUCAGGGGCCUGAAUUUUUAUUUAUUUAGUUUCUUUCUCUCUGAGGUUAAAGACGUUGGUUGAGUAUGACAAGAACUUUUGAGUUUGAGCAGGAUUUUAUAGUUGGGAAUUGCAUGGGGGAAGGUUCCUGGAAGCUGCUGCCUCUGCUUGACCAAGCCUAUUUGGUCUUUUAAUAUUGAUAAGUAAUAUUAUCAUUAAUAUUAGGUUAUUUUGGUCUUUUAACACUGAUGAGUCAUGUUAAGUGUUAUUAGGUUUUGGUCUUGAUGACUUUUCUUGAAGCUAUAUUAUAUGUAGGCAAACACAACCUUACAAUCAAUGUAUGGUACAUCCCUCACUCAUGAACAGUGUAUGAGUGGGACCCACUCACUGUUCACAUAUGUGAGGGAUAUACCAUACAUUGAUUGUAAGGUAGUGAGAUCCUUAUAUGUAUAAACUUUCCAUGACAAUAUCACCAGUGGCAUAGACCAAAAACAUCGACAUUCACGACAAUCUCUUAAGAGGAGGGAUUGUCAAUUUCCUCAUAUUAAAUUCAGAUUGAUGUAAGUUAUAGAUUUUAUAAUUUAAUAAAACGCAAUUAAUACACAUACAUAAAUGUGUGUGCUUACAUUGCAACAUUUUUUGGGCUUUCUCUUUUGGGCUAUUCAUUAGUUGUUUUUUUAGAGUAUUAAUAUAGUCAUAAAUUUGUAUAUAAAUUUAUUUUGUAUAAAUUGAUAUGGUGUGAUAAAAUUAGUUGAAUUAAAUAUCUCUUGGCUCACAUGAUUUAUUUUUUAUUAUUUUAUAUUUUCAUUCAACCAAUUUUAUUAUGUCAAAUCAGUUUGUACAAGAUAAGUUUGUACAAUAAUUUGUUACUAUAUCAUCACUCUUUUAUUUAUAUUUUGAGUAAUGAUACAGUCACAAACUUUUGUACAAACUUAUUUUGUACAAAUUGAUGUGCCAUAAUAAAAUUUGUUGAAUUAAAUAUCUCUUAGCCCACAUGAUUUAUUUUUGUUAUUUUUAUUUUCAUUCAACCAGUGAAUUAAUGUCACAUCAGUUUAUAUAAAAUAAGUUUGUACAAGAGUUUGUAGCUCUAUCACCACUCUUAUAUUUUAGUUAGUCAAUCUACUUAUAUAGAACUGGGAAAUAAAAUAGAAGUGUAGUUUAAGGAAUAAAUUUAUGGAAAAAUAAAUAAAAAGAAAAAUCAGAAUCAAGAUAAUGAAAUAACUAAAGGCUAUUGGACUCGUUGCUAAGAGCAAAUGGCGCAUUUCAUUGUCAUUAACGUGUGGAGCAAAUUUUUCAAGAGCUUUUGAAUUAAACGGCGCCCUUCUUAUAUUUCAAGUCCUUUCAUCAAGUUAGCUUCGCUUUAAUUUGGCUAUUGACUACAUAUUAUUGCCAAUUUCUUAUUAAAAAAAAAACGUUGGUUUUGGACAUAGUUAAGAGAUUAAAAAACGAAAAAUAAAAAUAUGGAUGUAUAAUCGGAGAUUUCUUGGCUCGUUGCCGAAAGUAAAAGGAGUGUUGUGAUUGGUUCAAGAAACGGAUCUGGCCUCUAUUUGAAAGUCAUAAAUAGUCACUUGGCUCGUUGGUCAGUUGAUUCAAUUUCUCAAAAGUAAUUCACAAAGAGAUUGCGACACGUGUUGUUAUAAUCUCUCGUCUCGCUAUAUCUCUCCUUCACCGUUAGUGAUCGAAUUUUCUGAAUUCACUGCAAGAGACUUCCUGCGGAAGACAUCAACUUGCAGACAGGGAAAAAAAUAAAUCAAUGAGUAAGAAAGCAUUAUGCCUUUGAACUUUUCCUUGCCAUUUUCUCUCGCAAAAUAAUUGAAUUUAAAGCUUUUAUUUUAAAUGAUAUUAAUCAAAAUGAUUAAGUUACCAUUGAAAUUGUUGAUGCGAAAAUAUGAGAUGAGUGGUGUGUAAUCAAUAACUCUUCGAGUUGGAUCGUGGCACACCAAUAGUUAUCUUUUAAAGGUCAAAUUUCAACACACAAAUAAGUCUUGUAAUGCUAAAUUAGCCUUAAAAGUUUAUGGAUUGCUUACCAUUAAAAUUAAUGUAGUUACGCGUGUACUUUCUAUUUCUUCAUAAAGUAUUUUCCCUUAUCAAAAAAUUAAUUAAAAAAAAUUAACUCUUUGACUAUGAUUAGUCCCUUGUUAUUAGGCUGCUUGGGUCCGUAUAUUAUCUUUAUCCAACCUUCGAUUAUGGGUUUGGGAUAUUUGGGUGAAUUAUUUUUAAGUCCCGGUAACUUUUCAAAAUUUCAUUAAUUUAGUAACUAAUUAAAUCAUCUUUAUAAUAAAAGCAAUUUGAUUAUUUUAUCCUUGUAACAUUAAAUUGUAAAAAAGUCUGAGAUAAUGCUUGAAUUUAUUUAAAAAAAAAUUAAAAGCAAAAACCCAUCAAUUAAUUAAAGCGAAGAACACGAUAAAGUUAACUUAAAUCAUCAUUUGAUCAUUCAUAUAAAGAUAUAGAAUACUUGUUCUAAAUUCAAAAAUUUGAGUUGCUGCUUCUUUUUUACACUUGGCUUCUCAUUCUUAUACAAUUCACGGUUUGAAUUAUCCUCGUCCACUUUUUUCACCCCACUCAUUACACAAUAAUUAUCAUCAAGCCCACAAGUUUGCAAAAAUUAUUUGAAUUGGACCAUUAGCCUACGUUUUGGCCUCGGGAUGCCCCACUCCAGCCUUUAUUUGUAAAUAUUAUUUUCCUCUUAAUGAAGUUACUACUCAAAAAGGAAAAAAAAAAAAAAGGUAACUUUUUUAUGAUCAUCUUCCUCCCUAGCAUGAUUAUUUUGUUUCAAUUUAAAAUUUAUUAAAAAAAGCGUAAUUAAAUUUUGGUUUAAAAAGGACGUUGAUGAUGAUACAUCGGUGCCAAAAGCCAUCAAAGAAAGAAAAAAAAAAAAUCCCCAUUGGUUGUGGGUGGACAGAGUUUUAAGCAUAAGAGAUUGUUUGUGUUUCAAAUGUGAGUUUAAUUAGAUAUACAUUUGUCGUUUCAUCUAAUUUUAAUGAAAGUUAAAGUUAUAAAAUACCUAAGGGGUUUUAAAAGAUAUUUAAGGUGGUGCUAAUAGUCCAACUGUGUUCGUUUUUCAUGCAGAUGAAUACUUAAAUAGGCCAUGCAUCAAGAAAAAUAAAUGCAAGAGGCAAUAGCUGAUAUUGCCAAAAGAAUCGAGAACUUUCUAAGAUGCAGAAAAUGUGACGGAUAGUGAGUAGGAAUUUGGUGGGUGGACAGAUGUAUGUUUGUAAAAUGCAGAAAAAUAAACGACCAAUGAUUCCCAUUUUCGUUUUGUUUUGUUAUGCAAGAAUUAUUUUCGACAAAGAAGCUGAAAGCCAGGAGACAUAGACAAAGGAGCGACGAAGAAAUAUUUUUGCGAAUUUUUUUUUACCACUAGCACUAGGUAGCGUGUGUUUAUUUAUUUUUUAUUUUAAAUUUAUAAAUGUAAAAUAUUAAUUUAUAAAGCUGAAUCGGUGCGUACGUAUAGAAAACAGUUAACCUGAUAACCGGUAAGUUAAAUGGGUCUGCAUUUGGCUGUUAAUAAUUUGUUCGUUGCUCCUGCAACAGGCCAAUUCUCUAUAUUCAUAUAAAGUUUUAAUGGCUAUUACUGAGUGAGUGUGUAGGGUACUGGAUAAAAAUGAAAAAAACAGAAUAAAUUUGACACAACAUUUUAUUUAAUAUACCCUUCUUCAUAUCAUAACUAAUUAAACAGCCUCUACUUUCUUGGAAAAUCAUAAAUAUUUAAAGUAAAAAGACAAAAAUAAACAAAUAUAGAAAUAUGGUCCGCACCAUAAGUAUCUUUCAUCGGUUUGCCCCCAGAAGUAGAAAAGUGCUUUUCAAGUCUCCUCUGUAAUAAAGCCACAAAUAGCAACUAACUAAAAGCUAACUGACGCCGUCACAUUGACGAUAGAGACCAAACACUUUCCAAACUCGGGAAAAAAAAAAAAAGACAUCGAUUUCACUUUAUAAAUAUAAUAAGGCAGCUGUUACUUUGGAAGUGUUGCAAUUGUUUCAGAUUUAGGUACAGACAUCCAACGAUUUUGGACUACUCUACCAUAGAAUUGAUGUAAUUACAAUUAUUAGAUUUAAUAUUAUGAUUGAUACAUAUAUAUUAAAACAAAAUGUAAAUAUAAAUAUAAAAAGAACAAUUAAGAUAAAAUAAGUUUCUUUAAACAUCACGAUGAGAAUUGAGAAGCAACUAUUGUUUGUUAUUUUAAUUUAUCUGCGGGCCGCACGUACUCAUUUACCAAAGAAAUCGUAAUGAAUUACCAGAACUAAAGCUUUAUUGAAGAAGAAAAGUAAUUUAUAUAUUAAUAUUCUUUUCAACUUUAGUACUGCGUGUUGAUGGGGAGACAAAAGUAAAAAAUUGUGAACAGAAAGAGACAUACGAAUCUCAUAAAUAUUAAAAAAAAUUCGUUGACACGGAGACACACACGAAUGUCAUAAAUAUUAUUGAAAAAAAAAACAUUCAUUGUCCGUAUCGUCUAUACGGAAUCGUGUGCAUAACUGAAACAACUGAUCUGACUUUUAUUAUUAAAUUCACUUGCUAAGAUAUUGGAGUAGUGUUGAUGCAAUUUUCUGUCAUGCCUGAAGAUUCAACUUGCCAGGAUUUCGGUUAUGCCUUCAGGUUCAAGUAUUGUUGCUGAUUAUGCGAGCUGUUGAGAUAAUUGAGCAUGGCUUUAGAUUCAAUUUCAGCAAAUGUGUGGGGAGAGGAUUUAAUCCGAAUGAUUUAUGGGUUCUGGAAAAAAAGAAAUUUUCUUUAUGUUAACUUGCAACAAUAUGUAUGUAAUUUUUUACGAUAUUAGCAAUAUUUAAUAACAGAAUAGUUGAAAUAUUUUUAAAUUGUGUUAUUUUCAAAUUAUGAGACAAAGAAAAUAAUUUUGCACAAAAGAUAUACUAACAAUACACUAAAAAUGCAUGAACGAAUAAUACAUGAAUAUUUCAAUAAAAGAAAUGUAUGUAGCACAUUUGGAACCACUCAGGAGAUACAACUCUCUUCUAAUUGUCCUUCACCUUUAAAUUUGUUCCACUGGUACAUGGAUAGACUAGUGUUGGAAAAGGAACAUGCCAAAACUAAAUUCCAAUUACAUUUUUUUUUCCUAUCAUUAAGUUUCUGUAGUUAAAUUUAAGGGUAAUUUUCGGAUACCUCCCCUGAGGUUUACCCCUGCUAUACUUAGAGAGAAUGUAUGAAUAUAUUGACAUAUAGCACCCCUGAAUGUAUAUAAGCGUUAGAGAGCCCUUUGGUUUGACAAUAAAAAUACAAUAAUGCCCUUCAUUCUACAGUACAAGAACUGACAAUUGGUCUUACAUUACAGAGUUGUCAAAUCAUCUUUUGCUUCUUGGCGCCAAGUGCAUAAGAACAUCUCUUAAUAUAUCAAUGGAACACCUAGGAGUUAAAAUGCGAACAAGAGCCUCUUCCAUUGCAGCCUGCAGUGGUAAUUUUAGCAUGAUAUUAGUCUUAUAAAAAAAAUGCAAGAGAAAACAAAUCGGAGAAUUCAAAUAUGAGACAAAACUAAAAAUCAAAUACCUGCACAAUUGAAGAAAUCAUUGUAAAUGAGGCUAGCUUUUUGCCUUCAAGACUUGCUGCAACUGAUUCACAUAGUUUCUCAACUAUCUCCUUAGCCUAAAAUGUCAGUGCUCAAGUCCAUUAGCAACUUCUUAAGAAUGAUCAGAAUAGCCAAUGAAAGAAAACUAAUAAACAUCAGAGGAAAAAGGUAAAAGAUUCAGAUACAUACAACAUUCUUGGUCAUGAGCCUAUCCUUAAGAGAUUUCAGAGCGGGUUCUAAGUCUGCCUUAUCCAAGUUUGCCUUUCCAGCAAUACUGAGUUAAAAAUAAAGACGAUUUAAUAAAUAGAACAUAUUUUUAACAAACAGAUUUAUUGAGAGAUUAAUCAAACAAAAUUGAGUCGUCAAGGAAAAAUACCUAUGGAACAUAGAUGAAAACCAGCCCGUCUUCUUAGCAUCAGGCUUGUUGUGCUUACCCACUUCUUCAUCUUCUUCGGAUUCACUAUCACUGCUGAAAACCUCUUCCUAGUCCAUCAUACUUUCACCAUGAUUUGAUGCCUCAACCUCGAUAUUACUGCCAUUUCCACCUGCAGGAUCCGUGAAGUCCAAUUUGGACUCUGGAGGCGAUUCGUCCUAAACUCUGUUCUUCUUUGUUGUCUUUUUCUUUGGGUUCGGUUUUGAACCCUUGCUAACAAUAGUAUCAGUUUUCUUACUACCUUUAUUUCUUAACUUCUGUAACUUGCAUCAAAAGCCCCAAUAUUAGAACUUGUAUUUUCUUUACCGUUAGCAAUACCUGUUACCCUAGAUUUUUCAAUCUCAACAUUGCUGACAUUAGAGUGUCCAUUCUCCAAUUUAUGGCCUCUCAUAUUAUCACUAUCCCCGUCAUCAUUUGCCGACCCACCUCCACUCCUCUUACUUCCCCUUUCAAAUCCACUCUUUUGCAGCUGUCCUCCCUGCUUCUUAAGGUUAUUCAUAGGCAUAGUAACUUGCUUUGAUUUUUUUAACUCCUCCGCCCUCGCUUCUGCCUCCUUCCUAAGUUGUCUAAACAUUUCAUCAAAAUCUGAAUAGUUAGUUCGUUUUCAUCAAAAUCGUAAAUAUCAGUCUUGUCUUUGUUCUUAUGCACUUGGCGCCAAGAAGUAAGGGAUGAUUUGACAACUCUAUAAUGUAAGACCAAUUGCCAGUUCUUGUAUUGUAGAAUGAAGGGUAUUAUUGUAUUUUUAUUGUUAAACCAAACGGCUUCCUAAUGAUUAUAUACGUUCAGGGGCGCUAUAUGUUAAUAUAUUCAUACAUUCUCUCUAAAUGUAGCAGGGAUAAACCUCAGGGGAGGUAUCCGAAAAUUACCCUUAAAUUUAAUUAUAGAAACUAAGUGAUAAUGUUAUUGUGCGAACCAUAUUCUAUAUAAUAAAUAUGCCUUCGAUGACUAAAAAAUACGACAUUCACAUUAAUCUCUGAGGGCCCAGCUUUAAGAAGAAAUCGAUUAGUGUGGAAAUAUGAGACGUGAUGGAAUCAAACGUAUUUAAAACUAAAACAUAUAAAGGGACACGUCAUGAAUCAUCUUGAGGCAGCAAACCAUCCAGAUUUUCGUUCAUCCACUACCACCCGAGCAAAAACGCAAACGGUAGGUGAUUUACUUUUAUUGCUCUUUCACUACCACAUGAUUUAUUUGCAUCUCAGUACAGAUGCAACUUGCAUUAUCCAACCAGUAGAUGGUGGGAAAAAAAAUAUAUGUUUGCCCUCACGAGAUGGAGGGUAAUUCUGGCAUUUUGAAAAUUAAGGAAGUUGCACAGAAGUUGCAACUUGCAUUAUCCAAACCAUUCUCUCAAUUUUCUUUAUGCUUUUAGUCAUACUAAUUUCACACGUAUGAGAGAGCCAAGUAACAUAGAAAAGAGCUAUAACACCAAAUGUUCCUAAAACCUUAUUAACUUUCUUUCCUUGCCCAGAAGCAAAAACAUUAUUCUCCAUUAACAAACAGCUACAAGAACUUGGAACAUCCCAAAACCUUAUUCUCUAUUUCCUCAUCUUUUUAUUAUUCCUGGUAACAUUGCACUAUAAAUGAGAUAAAUGCAUUUAUCCGCACCCAUAUUAAAAUUUCCCAUGCAUAAUAAACCAAUUACCCACAGGUACACUUAAAGUUUCAAAUAGACACAUUUAUGAAAAUGCCUAGAGCCUACCAAACUUCUUAGUUAAUCUGCUCACAAUAGAACAUUUGACAGCCACUUUUUGAUAAAUUGGGUUAUUAAUCGCCUUUGUGUUCUUUGAAACCUCAUUCUUGGAAUUGGUUGCUGAGUUUCCAAUUAUUAAUUGAACUCUAGUCAUUGAUACGUAUGAAUGCUUAUGGUUCCGUAAGAUGGAAUCUGUCAUAGACUGAUUAAUUAUUUCAUGUUUCUUUUACUGGCUAAUUGGUUUUUUAAACAUAUAUAUAAAAAUUAUCUAACACAAUGGAUAUCAUCAAAAGACUCUUUUGAUUUUACUCUUUAAAUAUCUAUUUACUUACUUAUGCAGUAAAUAGAAAAGUGAAAAAAUAAACUCUCCUUUAAAAAACUCUUCAAAUAAGAUAAGAUAAUAUUAUUUUAAUUAAAUCUUUUUCUUUACCAAAUUUAAUUACCCAUCAUUUUAUCACUCCAACUAUUUUAGUCAAAUCUUUGCUGUUACGUAAUUUUAUGUUGAUUUUAAAUGUCGUUGUCAUUGUUGUUGUUAUAUUUUAAAUAUGUUUAUCUGUUAGUAAUUCUGUUAAUAUGUUUUUAGAUUUUAUGUUGAUUUCCCGCGCCUGCAGGGUCCAUUUUGAAAAAAUUUUACUACGUUUGUGACCAUUAUUAUUAGGUUGAAUAUGUUAUUUUUUUAAUCUUAAAUUUUAAAAAUAAACGCAAAAUCUGAAUGCACAAAGCUGGUGGAUUUGGCGCAUAUAGAAAUUAGUUUUUCGAUCUUUUGGCUGUGUUUUAUUCUUAUAAUAGAUAAAAUAUCAAAUCCUACAUGUAUAUUGGUCCAUUUGGCUUCUGUUUUGGAAAAUCAUGAAUAUUACAAUGGAAAAGACAAGAAUAAACAAAUCUAGAAAAAAGCACAAGAAGCACUACGUAUCCAACAUUGGUUUGCUCCCAGAAUCAGGGAAGUGCUUUUCAAGUCUUUUCUUUAAUGAAGCCGACAAUAGUUAGCAGCUAAAGGACAAAGAUACCAUGCAGAAUCAAACACUGUUCAAACAAAAAAGUCCUGGAUUCCACUUUAUAAAUAGAAAGUACAAUUAUUUAAUUUUUGGAGAAAGUCAUAAUGGUGCUUCCUUAAUCGUUUUUUUUUUUUAAUUUUGGGGCUCGAAUAUGCGCAUUACCUUGUUUAGCAGGUGGCUUUAUGUGAAUCUGUGAUACUGCCAAGAAGCUUUGUACUUCCCAAUCCCAAUACCUUAACCACAUCCAUCAGGAACCUUUUUGAUUUGAGAUUUUUUAUUUCCGCCAAUAUUAAAUCUUUUAAUCUUUCAUUAUGUGCUCGAAAUCUUAUAUAUAUAUAUAUAUAUAUAUAUAUGUAAACGGGGACAAUUAGUUCAUGUUCAUUCUUGCCAUCCAUUUUUUACUCUUGUUUGCAAGCCCAUAUCUUCCACAGGAAGUUCACUUCGGCGGAUUGUGAAUACUUCGCCGCUAAUUAAGCGUACUAAGCAUCAACGUACUUUUUCGAAAUUGAUGAAUGAUAGAGAUCUGGCGGGACGAGGGAUAUUAUAACAACACGUGUUCCAAUAAUCUGUGUGGGAAUUACUUUUGACACUUGAUGAACUAUAGAUGGUCAGUUUAUGUAUGCUGCUGUUUUCAGUCGUGCCAUUAUCGACACUGUCAUUGGAAAGCCCGUACAUUGAACAUGGUUCGCAUUUAUUAUUAUAUCGUCAUACCGUAAUAUUAGUUUUUUUUUAAUAUUGUCACUAACAAAUCAAAAAAUAUAAAUUUUAAUACACUAACAAAUAAAAAAAUAUAUAAUUUUUAAUAUAUUAAAAUUUAUUAAGAAUAUAUCCAAACGGAUGACAAAAAGUGAACAUUGUCCCACUGACAAAAAACUUAGUCUUCCUCUUUCUGAAAAAAAAAACUUAGUCUUCCCUCUUAUUUUAAAAAAUGCAAUCUCGCCGAGUAACCCAAAAAAGAGUUAAGAGCCAGAGAACCUUAGCUUUCUAUCCUUGCCCAAAAUCAAAAACAUUUUUCAUUAGCAAAGAGCUACAAGAACUUGGAGCAUCCUAAAAUCAGUAACAUAAUUGAGAAUCAAUGCAUGUAUCCGCAACCAUUUAUUUAGUACCAAAACAUUCAAUUUUAAAUUUCUGACAGACUUGCUUAAUUGCCCAAAUUCUACUAAGUUUUUCAGUUAACCUGCUCAAAUACAAUCCACAGUUGCGUUUAAAUAAAUUGAGUUAUUUAACGCCUAUAGCCUUCGAAACCUCAUCAUAUUGCUACCAGAAUUAAUCCACACCAAACAAUCAACACAUGAAAUACAGGACCUUCAGACGGAGGAAAUACCGCUGAAGAAAAAUUAAAAACCCAUAGAAGCACUAAAUACUUCUCCUAUUACUAAUAAUGUAACAAAACAGCAUCAUUAUACGCUCAAUCUACCAUUAAAGAAAUAAAUCCAUACCAACGACAAGCUAAAUAUGACAUUUUUCUAGAAUUAAUAAUUCUGCAACCAAAAAAGCACAGCAAUUAUCUGCUUUUUAAAUAAUCCUAAAAACAGGACAAUGACUUAUUUUUGUCAUAAAAAGAACCUAUAAACACUUAUUUUUUAAUCUAUUUUAUUUCCAAGUGAAAACAACAUUCUUCUAUUCUUUCUUCAACAGGAAAACAGGUUAUGUUACAGUAGUCACUAGGCAGUAGGCAAAACACUUGAUAACUAAAUAUGUAAAAAGAAAUAAAGAAGAGUUUAAAAAAUUACAAAAAUUAAAAUAAAAAUACAAAAAAUAAAAAAUGAAAAUAUCAAACCCCUUCUUCAGAACAAUCCAAACAGGGAGUUAGCGGUUCUUAAUGUAACAGUUCUUAAAGUAACAGCAAGUAACCGGCCACUGUAACCCCAACUUUUCAACAUAGAACUUGAACUCUGGAAGAGAUAAAAGAAAAGACGUAGAUGACUGACUGAAUCCGACUGAGAGAGAGUUACCAAUAUACCGCACUGGUCAGCUCCAAGUUGAAUUUGUAAGUUUGGGUUGGAGUCCCAGUCCCACAGGUAGUGAAAGUAGGUAGUUAUCCUAACCAGCUGAAAGUAUCAAACCUGUUUGUAUAAGCCUGCACAAUACAAGUUAAUCAUCAGCAAAGGAGGAGGCUGCAGCACAUCAUGUACUAAUUAUAAAACAUGUAAAAAUAACGCAUUUUACCAGUCACAAAACCAUUUUUUCUUUAGAGAUAAUCUCCCCAUAGCAGCUAUAGAUAUGGAAAAAAAAAAAAUGACCUCAAAGUAGAGCAGUCUCCUCUUUUUCACCAAACAAAUACAACCAUUUCAAUUCACACCUGAGCUGAGAACCAUUCUAGUUUCAAUUUUCAACCAAUGAAACAACCAUAGCAUUCUUACAAAAAUUAAAAAAAAAAAAAGAAAUAACCAUAGAAUAAAAUAAUUCUACUCUAAUUCAAAUAUUGCUUCAGAAUUUAAGAUUUAUGCUAGACACAAUUGGUGUCUAGCAUAAAUCUUGGUCGCUGUAUUGUCUCUCUGCGGCUGGAUUUUUCCGUAGUAUAAAGACCUAACAAUCCAAGGAUGAAGUGGAAAAAGCAUGAUUGUUCUGAAUUACCAAUUCUUUCUAUAGAACCCUUUACUUUGUGUAUAUAACUGAAUACUGUUCUUGAUUCUUUGGAGAAACAUAUUUGUCCUCCUCCUAUACUGGAAAUGAUUAUGAUUUCUCUGGACUUUGUUACUGGAACUUUUAAUUUAUCAGGUUCCAUAAACGGGAAACACUAUCACAAUUAGAGUGUGUGUGUAUAACCAUCCUCUAACAAAGUGAGGAUCCCUAUAAAAAACCAAAAAAAAAAAAAAACAGAUUUUAUUCUCAUUUUGUUAAAGUGAAGAUGUCACUAGAAUACAAAAAAACACAUAUUUCAAUACAUUAAAAAUUGUAUCUGUUAGUGUAUUGAAUUUUUUUUUUUUAUUUACUGUAGUGCCAGACUCUUUCUACAAAAGUGAAACAGAUCAUUCUUGUUAAUUUCCCCAGAUGAUCAGUUUCUUUGGUAAACAACUCUAGCACUUAUAGCCACUGGGACUUCAUACAAUAAAAAACACAUAAUGGUGAAGUUAGACCAAGAAAAAUAAGCUAUUGGAAUUGAGUAAUACCAUGAGAACCACAUUGCUUUCCAUAACAAUGACUAGAGGCAUCAAGCAUGAUCAAAAUAACAGCAUGGGAAAUAAUCUCUCAGCCACUUAUAAGUCAUUAAUCAAAAGCAUGCACCUUUAAGAUGGCAAAAAUUUAUAUACACACACACAGUUCAAUCUCACUAGAGUUUCAGAAACUAGCAUUAUCGAGAUUAUGCCCUUCAUCUCUAUGCUUAGUCAUUGGUACACAUCCGUGUCAAAAGCUAGCCAUUCCCAAGUCCAAACGGAUGACAAAAAGUGAACAUUGUCCCAGAGACAAGAAACUUGGUCUUCCCUCUUAUCUUCAAAAAUGCAAUCUUGCCAAGUAACCCAAAAAAGAGCUAGAACAUCACACUGCCAGAGAUCCUUAGCUUUCUUUCCUUGCCCAAAAGCAAAAACAUUUUCCAUUAGCAAAGAGCUACAAGAACUUGGAGCGUCCCAAAAUCAAUAACAUAAUUGAGAAUCAAUGCAUGCAUCCGCAAGCAUUUAUUUAGUAUGAAAACCAAUUUUUAAUUUCUGACAGACUUAAUUGCCCAAAUUCUACCAGGCAUUUCAGUUAACCUGCCCGAAAUACAAUCCACAGGUGCAUUUAAAUCAGUUGGGCUAUUUAAAUGAAAUACAGGACCUACAAACCUCAUUGAAUUGCUACCAAAAGUACUCCAUGCCAAACAAUCAACACAUGAAAUACAGGACCUUCAGACAGAGGAAAUAUGGCUGAAGAAGAAAUUAAAAACCCAUAGAAGCACUACAUACUUCUAAUACUAAUAAUGGAACAAAACAACAUCACAAUACACUCAAUGUACCAUUAGAGGAAUAAAUCCAUACCAAUGACGAGCUAAAUAUGACAUUUUUCUAGAAUUAAUAACUCUGCAAACAAAAAAGCAUGGUAGUUAUCUGCAUUUUAAAUAAUCCUGAAAACAGGGCAAUGACUUAUUUAUGUCAUAAAAAGAACCUACAAACACUUAUUUUUAAUCUAUUUUAUUUCCAAGCAAAAACAACAUUCUUCUAUUCAUUCUUCAACAAAAAAACAGGUUAUGUUACAGUAGUCACCAGGCAGCAGGCAAAACACUUGAUGACUAAAUAUAUAAAAAGAAAUAAAAAAAGCUAAAAAAUCACAAAAAUUAAAAAUUGAAAAUAAAAAAAGAUUAAAAAAGAAACAGCAUUUAAAAAAUGAAAAAGUCAAACCCUUCUUCAGAAAAAUCCAGACAGUAAGUAAUAUUCCACUGAAACCGCAACCCAAUAUCUGAAUUUUUUUUUUUUGGGGGGGGGGGGGGGAGGGGGGUAAGAAUUAUUUUCAACAUAGAACUUGAACUCUGGAAGAGUUAAAAGGAAAAGACGUAGAUUACUCACUGAGUCUGACUGAGAGAGAGUCGCCAGUAUACCGCACCGGUCAACUCCCAGUUGAACUUGCAAGUUUGGGUUCGAGUCCCAGUCCGACGGGUAGUGAAAGCACGUAAUGAUGCUAAUCAGCUGAAGUAUUAAAACCUGUUUGUAUAAGCCUGCACAUUACAAGUUAAUCAUCAGCAAAGGAGGGGGCUGCAGCAAGAAACAACACAUCAUGUACUAAUUAUAAAACAUGUAAACUUAACGUAUUUUACCAGUCACAAAGCCCCUUUUCUUUAGAGAUAAUCUCCCCAGAGCAACUAUAAAUAUGAGAAAAAAAAUGACCACAAAGUAGAACCAUCCCCUCUUUUUCUCCAAACAAAUACAACCAUUUCAUUUCACAUAGAACCAUUCUAGUUCCAAGUUUCAACCAAUGAAACAACCAUAGUAUUCUUAUAAAAAUAAAAAAUGAAAUAACCAUAGAAUAAAAUAAUUAUACUCUAAUUCAAAUAUUGCUUCAGAAUUUACGAUUUAUGCCAGUUUCAGUUGCUCAAAAAUAUGGAAUUGGAAUGAUGCAUUUAUUUAACCCAAAACGUGAAUACCAAGCUUCAGAUUCUUACAUAUUGAAAUGAUCAAAUUUCAUUCAUUCUGAACAUGGGAUACAACUUCAACUAUUUCAAGUUAUUCCAAGAGAAAGCAUUAAAAGAAAUUUGUUCAUCCUACGUGGUAUAAGUAGCAUACUUCAGCUAGUAUUAUGCAUCAUCGGUUAAAUCAUUUGGAUUAUUAACAUUGAUAUUUUUUAUUAGCUGAAUUAAUAACUGUUGCACCCCUAACUUAAGGGCACUUGUGAUAAGAAAAAUUUAUCAACAUCAGGUGCAAAUAUAAGCUUUUAACAAUGAAGCUGUGACUGUUUGCUUACAAGAACAAACAUAUACUAAUAGAGAUGAAUAAAACCCAGAACUUCAAGAAAUAUUUGACGUUAUCUCCCCUAGAAUACGGAUAUUAUCCAAUAUAUCAAACCAACAAUUUUUAUACCCAGCUGCUUAAAACUUCAAAAAAUCGGUCAGCACAACAUUUAGGAUCUCUGGGACCCUAUCACUACGACACUAACAAUUAUAAGUGCGUCCUACUGAUGUUGCGUAGUUAUUAUAAAUACAUGUAUUAAAAAGCAUAAUAUCCAUAACAAGGUAGCUUACAAAGUUUACUAGGCCAGCAAUGCUAAAGUACAACCAGAACAAUAACAAAACAUACGAAGACUGUUCUUCAUUACAAAACACAACUUUCGAAAGAGGUAAUCUCCAUGUUAAGCCCCAAAUCAAAAUCAAUCCUCCACUGACCACAAUUUUUUCACCAUCAUUGCCCAAACCUGAAAAGUAAGGGCUGAGCUAAUGGCCCGUAACACAAAGGAUUUCUUUUUUUCUUUUAACACCAAAAUAAUUCACACAACUUGGGUACAUUUCUAGCAUAAGCCAUUUAUUUAUAUAUAAAUAUAUAAAUUAUUUCUUAAAACAUUUUGAGUUUGAAAGUUUUGGUAUUCAAUAGAAACAUCAUAAGACAAGAUCAUAACAUACCCUAGGGUUACUCAUACUUUCUGAAGUUACAUGUAAAGAAAUCCUAAAAUUACUCUUUCAAUAAUACAAAAUAAAAACAUGCCUGACAAGUCAGUAAGCUGUAAAUCCAACCAUAGAACAUGUCAUAAGGAAGGCACAAGCAGAGGAAAGAUCUUCAAUGCCUCAGUGUGAUGACAAUCAUCAUGAAACAAUAUCAACAGAUGUGUUUUAGGGAUACAUCUCAUAUAACAACCUUCAAAUGAUAUUAAUAUACAGCGAUAGAUCGAUAUAAAAUAAAUAACUCCAUAAAGCCAUAAAGAAAGAGUUUACAUUUGUGUUGGGGGUGGGGGGAGUUGGGGAGGAAGGAAGUAUGUAAAGUCUCUCAAAUUCUUUACUCAUGGUGUAAUAGAUUCUCCGAUAUACAUAAUGUAUAAUGCUGUUAAAAGAAGCCCUGAACUUAGAAUUACUUCCCCCUCCUCAUAUUCUUAGUUAUAAUAAGGCAUGAGUGAGUUUUGGUAUAUUUAAUGGGAUAUUGAAUGGUCUUUACCCCCAUUUUAUCUUGCAAUUACAAAACCAUGAAAGCCUCUUGCAAAACCUGAAUUUAGAUGAAUGGACUUCAAAUGAAAGGAUUUUCUUGCAAAAACUACAAAAUACAAUGGCAUAGUGAAAACGGGAAAAUGAAAAUAUAAAGCAAAAGAAAAAGUUUCCAUCUGAUAAAACAAAUACAAAAAAAUCCAAGUUUCUUAUUUGCCAUGCCAAUAUUAUUCAUGAAGAACUAAUCUAAUUUCUUUUCCAGACAAGGUUAGUAACAAUUUAUCUGUAAAUAACUGAACCAACUUGGUUACUACGACAUUACUCUUUCGCUUCUGCACUCAUUUUCUGCACAGUUGCAGUUCAUCAACGGCCGCGUUCACCAAAACGAGUCCACUCUCCCCACUUCACUUAUUUCCCCACCAUUUAAUGUCUCUCAAAGUGCAGCAGCAAGACAUGAACUCCUAUCAUUAUGAGCAAUAUAAAAAGCCCUCCUAAAAAAUCCACCACCUGUUUGGCCAGAAAAACUCCAUUACUCAUUUCCACACUCUCAAUUUUCACCCCUUUCAUCGGAACACAAGCAUUACUUACCCAUGUUUAGACAUAAUUUAUUUUUCUGAUAUCACAUCAUUCAGGGGAAAAAAAAAACAGACUUCAGCACAUAACAUAAAUUACAACAAGCUGGUCAAUUCACAUAAACAAGGAAAAAUUAACUCAAUAAAGUGAAGUAGGCACAAAAUGACCUCAAUGAGAUAUCAGAGACCUCUAAAAUCAAAUCAAAUUCAGUUAAACAAAGAAUCACUCAUCCAAGAUAAGCAAAAGAAUAAAAGCAAUGAAUAACAGAAAGAAAUUUCUUAUAAAAAUUCAAUUAAAAAAAAAAAGCUAAUAAUCUUUUCUGGUUAAGUGAUUUCGUCCGCAAAUAAGACAAAAUAGAAAUUCUGAAAUAUACCUAGGGUUUCUAGCUUUGGGAAUUUACCUUAUGAGAAAUCAGUCUCUCUGUUUCUAGAUUUGUAACUUUAGUAUCAUGGCGAAGCGACCUCACUCAGCUGAGAUAAUCGGAUUUCGCACCGGCGACGAUGCAAAUGUUGGGGUUUGGGCUCGACGACAGACAUAGGAGUGUUGGGGUUUUGGGUGAUUUAAGGAUUUUCUUUUAUUCAAGUAAAGUGACCAAAUUAACCUUUCAAAAUAAUUAAAGUAUCCCUAAGUUGUUACACAUUAAUGUCUAGAAUAGUUAAUUAAAUUUCUGCUCAUGGAUUUAUAUGGUACAAGUGAGUUCGUGUGGGGAAAAACGAAUAACAGGCUAAAAGGAAAAUUCGACGCAAAAUUUUAUUAGUACAAGCAUUACGUAAAUACAUUAUUGAAUAUGCCUUUUUUUUCCUGGGAUAAUCAUAUUAUAAGUGACAAAUAAUACAACAAAAGAAUAGAAGUACAAGUAGAAAGGCAGUAUCUAGGUUGUCUGCUACUCGGCUUCUAGUUCCACCCAAGAUACAUCUUCGUUCAGGUAACCAAGCACAGACUCUGUUACUGCUAUAACUAAUUUAUCACAUGACCAUAAUUUCCAGAACACCUUGCGCUUGUCCAAUGGGUUGUUCAACUUGAGGAGGAGCUAGCAGAUGGGCGUUGACAGAGGUGACAAUGAAGACAGCGAGACGUCGAAGCCAGUAGAGGAAUUGCUGAAACAGAGAAGCUAACAUUGCAUAACAGAGUGAUAAGAUUAUGAGGCACAAAUAGGCUACCAAAAACAGAGACGGAGCCAAAAUGACAGAGGCAACUGCUGAGACAGCCAACAGAACAGAGAGUUCUCCACAACUCACGCAAAUGGGUCGGCUCACUUUGAGAGGAACUCUGAUGGGUGUGAGGAUGAAGAGCAGUAAUGGGAUAAAAAGAACAUACAAAUGCUUAUUUUUAAUCUAAUUUUAUUUCCAACCAAAAGCAACAUUCUUCUAUAGGUUAUAUUACAGUAGUCACUAGGCAAUAGGCAAAACACUUGACAACUAAAUAUAGCAAGAAAUAAAAAAGAGUUUAAAAAAAAUCAAAAAAAUUAAAAAUUGAAAAUAAAGAAAAGAUUAAAAAAGAAACUGUAUUAAAAAAAUGAAAAUAUCAAACCCCUUCUUCAUAGCAAUUCAAACAUGGAGUUACUGGUUCGUAAUCUAACAUUAAGUAAUAUUCCACUGAAACCCCAACCCUCUAUUUGAUUUUUUUUUUUUUGGUUUCCUUUUGUAAGAAUUAUUUUCAACAUAGAACUUGAACCUUGGAAGAGAUAACAGGAAAACACAUAGACGACUGACUGAGUCUCACUGAGAGAGAGUUAAGAGAGUGUUAGAGAUAAAAGAAGAACAUGGCUUAGCAGUUACAGUCAUCAUCCACUUAUCUCAUUCAAUUGUUGGUGUAAAUGUCUUAAUAGAAAAAACAAAUAUCAUUUUGAAGGGUAAAUGUAAACAAAUUAAAAUAUUAGAUAAAAUUGUGACACUUUUAUAUUAAGUGCGUUUAUUAAGAUUUAAGAGCGAGUUGCAAGUAUACUGCAUUGGUCAGCUCCCAGUUAAACUUGCGAGUUUGGGUUCAACCGUUCAAGUCCCAAUCCCACAGGUAGUGAAAGUAGGUAAUCAUCCUAACCAACUGAAAUAUCAAAACAUGUUUGUAUAUGCCUGCACAUUACAAGUUAAUCAUCAGCAAAGGUUACAAGUUAAUCAUCAACAAAGGAGGGGGCUGCAGUGAGAAACAAUACAUCAUGUACUAAUUAUAGAACAUGUAGAACUACUGUAUUGUACCAGUCACAAAACCUUUAUUUCUUUAGAGGUAAUCUCCCAUAGCAAAUAUAAAUUAAAAAAAAAUUACCACAAAGUAGAACAGUCCCAUCUUUUUCUCCAAACAAAUACAACCAUUUCCGUUCAUAUCUAAGCUGAGAACCAUUCUACUUUCAGGUUCAACCAAUGAAAUAACCAUAGUAUAAAAAUAAUUAUACUCUAAUUCAAACAUGGCUUCAGAAUUUACGAUUCAUACCAGACUCAAUUGGCCAAACCUAUGGAAUUGGAAUGAUGCAUUUAUUUAACUCAAAAGAUAAAUAUGAGGCUUAAGGUUCUGACAUAUUAAAACGAUAAUAAUUCAUUCAUUUUGAACAUGAGAUGCAACUUGGACUAUUUCAAGUUAUUCCAAAAGAAAGCAUUAAAGGAAUUUGUUCAUCCUAUGUGGUAUAAGUAGUAUACUUCAGUUAUUAUUAUAAAUCAUCAGUUAAAUCAUUUGGACUAUUAACAUUGAUAACAACAAUAAUAAAAUAAACAUAUGUAGUUAUAAAAUAAAUAGAUAAAUUCAACUUCGAAUAAAUUUGGGUUGUUACAGUAACCCUCCAAUCCACCACUUUAUUAUAACCAAUAGACAUUUGGAUUAUAACAGAUAGACAAGAAUAAAAUUGAAAAAACAGAGUUAAAAAAGCUGAUAUAAUGAACCUUGCGGUCAAAUGUCAGAUGUGACUUCUUUGAACGAACUAAAGGCCAACAAUGAAAAUUUCACAUAAAAGCAACCACAAUACCAGAAAAAUAGCUUAAAUUAAAAGUUUUCUGAAUAGCUUAAAUUAAAAGUUUUCUGACUUGUUCAGGAGAGACAUCAACAAUUUCCAAAACUUUUUGCUGGACCUCACCUUUAUAAAUUAUCAAAACUUCCUCCACCAAUCUGACAACAUCACAGAAAGACAAGCAACACCAUAUUUAAUUAGGUUAUAAAAAAGCUUCAAGCUUGGCAGAUGCCAGGAUAUAAUAAGAAACCAAUCAUAGAACAUGUCAUAAGCAAUGGCACAGGCAGAGGAAAGAUCUUGAAUGCCUCAGUGUGAUGAUAAUCGUCAUGAAACAAUAUCAACAGAUGUGUUUAGGGAUACAUCUCAUAUAAAAACCUUCAAACGAUAUUAAUAUAAGUGAUAGAUCAUAUAAAAUAAAUGACUUCAUAACAAAAGAGUUUACAUUAGGGGUUUAAAAAAAAAAGAAAAAAAAGGUACUAAGGCUAAAGGCUGACCUCUGGUUACCGUACUUUCAUUUGUGUGUAAAGUCUCUCAAAUUCUUAUGUCAUGGCGUAAUAGAUUCUCUUAUGUAUAUAAUGAAUGAUGCUGUUAAAACUUAAAAGAAGCCCCUGAACUUAGAAUUACUUCCACUUCUUUAUAUUUUUAGUUCUAAUAAGGCAUGAGUGAGUUUUGGUAUAUUUAAUGGGAUAUAGAAACGUAUUUACCCCCAUUUUAUCUUGCAACUUCGAAACCUCGAAAGCCUCUCACAAAACCUGAAUUUCGAUGGAUGGACUUCAAAUGAAAGGAUUUUCUAACAAAAGCUAAAAAAUUGCAAUGGCAUAGUGAAAAUAGGAAAAUCAAAAUAUAAAGCAAAAGAAAAAGUUUCCAUCGGAUAAGACAAAUACAAAAUAAUCCAAGUUCUUAUUUGCCAUGCCAAUAUUAUUCAUGCAGAAUUAAUCUAAUUUGUUUUUCAGUUAAGGUUGGUAACAAUUUAUCUGUAAAUAACUGAACCAACUUGGUUAUUACAACAUUACUCUUUCUCUUCUACACUCAUUUUCUACAUAAUUGCAGUGUUCAUCAACGGCCACAUUCGCAAACACGAGUCCACUCUCCCCACUUCACUUAUUUCCCAAAUGUUUAGGUCUCUCAAAGUGCAGCAGCAAGACAUGAACUCCUAUCACUAUAAGCAAUAUAAAGCCCACCUAAAGAAUCCACCACCAUAUUUGGCUAGAAAAUCUCCAUUACUCAUUGCCACACUCUCUGUUUUCACCCCUUUCAUCAAAACACACGCGUUACAUACCCAUGUUAGACAAAUUUAUUUUUCUGAUAUCACAUCAUUCGUUGGGGGCACAAUUAACUGACUUCAGCAUAUAAAUAACAAGAAGCUGUCAAUUCACAAAAACAAGGAAAAUUAACUCAAUCAAGUGAAGUAGGCACAAAAUGACCUCAAUGAGAUAUCAGAGACCUCUAAAAUCGAAUCAAAUUCAGUUAAACAAAGAAUCACUCAUCAACGAUAAGCAAAAGGAAAAGAGAAAUGAAUAAUAGAAAGAAAUUUCUUAUAAAAAUUCAAUAGAAAUUUAAAAAAAAAAAAAAACUUUACUACUAUGCCGAGCGACGCCGAUCAGCUGAGAUGGGCGGAUUUUGCACCAGCGACGAUGCAAAUGUUUGGGUUUGGGUUUGACGAUAGUCGAAGGAAUGUUUAGGGAUUUGGGUGAUUUGGGAUUUCAAUUAUUGAAGUAAAAGACCAAAAUAACCUUUAGAAAUAAUUAAAGUAUCCCUGAGACGUGGGUAGUUAAACAGCCCCUUUUUCAUCUUCAUAGAAACAGUAAAUAAAUUUGGACACAGAAUCUCAAUAUAGGAGGAUGCUAAGUGGACAGUUGGAUCAUAAUUCUAAAACAAAAUAAUAAUAAUAAUAAUAAAAUAGAAGAAAGAAUGUAGCCUGUGUCUAUUACCGGUAAAAGUGCUUUUCAACUAAGCUUUCACAGCAUAACUGCUUAAACUUGUUCGGAUAUACAACACGCCGACUACAGAUCAUUGUAGUAACUAAUUAUAUAUAUAUAUAUAUAUAUAUAUAUGUAUAUCUACAAAAUGGAAAGAUGACAUACAUACAUACAUACACCGACUACAGAUCAUUGUAGUAACUAAUUAUACAUAUAUACAUAUAUAAAAUGGAAAGAUGACAUACAUACAUACAUACAUACAUAUACACACAUAUAUAUACAUAUAUAUACAUACACACACACACACACAGAGACAUAUACAUAUAGUACAAUAGGCACUGGGACCCCAGUCACCCCACAGUGGCACCAGCAGCAUCAUAUUACGUGAUAUCAACUUAGAACAAUUUCCAGGUUAUUCUCAUGAUCAUCAGUAGAACUUGGCUGCUGGUCUUGGAUGUGGUUCCCUUCAACUGCGUGACCGCGAAUCAAGAAAUUGCGGAAGAGAUUUCGAAACCAGUAGAAGCAGCGCUUAAGCAGAGAAGCCAACGUUGCAUAACAGAGUGAUAAGAGUAUGAGGCACAAAUAGGCUACCAAGAACAGAGACGGAGCCACAAAGACAGACGCAACCACCGAGAUAGCCAACAGAACAGAGGGUUCUCCACAACUCACUGAAAUGGAGCGGCUCACAUUGAGAGUGAGUCUGAUGGGUGUGAGGAGGAAGAGCAGUAAUGGGAUGACGACGGCAGGGAUCAGGAACCAGAACUGAAGCUUUAAAAUUGGAUACAAGAGUAUCUUAUUGGUACCAUCUUGGACGUCCCAAGAGAUGCCAUCCAGAGACCUGAGGAACAGAAGAAAGAUGACAAGAUUUAGCAAUGGCGGAAACAAAAACCUCAAAUCAAUUGACAAAUCCAUGCUUGUGAGUAUAAGGUUUGGCAGAGAUGACUGAGUUGAAAAGAAUGAGAGAAAGAGAAAGAAGAAGAAGGAGAGGGAGAAUAGAUGAAUUACAAUUAGGGUGAUUUUUAAAUGCUGGGAGUCUGAGGCUUUAUAAGGGGAGAAGUUGCGAAAGAGAGGGCAUCAAGCUUUGGAAAAAGUUGCCAAAGAAAGGAUGUCAAGCUUUGGAAAAAGUUGCGCCUAACUUUUUAUUGCCCUUAAAGUUAAAAAAUGACGAUGGGAAUAAAUUAAUAUUAAAUAAAUCUCAUACCAACGUAUGGAUGGACAAAAUGAGGCUGCUCGUUGGGUACCUUCUUGGCUUGGUCCCCUCCCGAAAGUAAAAGCGAAUGCCGUGAAUUCUCAACACACUUUGCCAUCUUAAAUGUUGCGAUAUUUGUGGCGAAUUCUCAAACACACUUUGCCAUCUUGCCUGGACAAAAUCUUGGUUGUCUUUGUCAUCUUAACUAAUGAUUCAUUGGUUGCUUUAUUUAUAUUUUUAGUUAGUCAAUCUACUUUUUUUGAACUGGGAAACAAAUUGUAGUUUAUGGAAUAAAUUUAUGUUUAAAAAAAAUCAAAAUAAAAAAACGAUAAAAAGAAUAAAUUUAUAUUAAAAAAUCAAAAUUAAAAUAUGGAUGGAUAAGAUUUGGCAGAGAUGAUUGAGUUUAAUUAUUAUGAAUGAGAUUUGGCAAUGGCAGAGUUGAAUAAUUGUGGUGGAGUUUAAGCUCCAUGAUACUAUGACGAAAUAAAUAUUUACAGUACCCUUUACAAAAUUUUGGUUGCCUCUGUUUAACUUAACCCAUGAUCAGUUAAUUUCACUCUUUUUGAUUUAACUCUAAUUAAAUCCUUCUGAUUUAAAUAAAAAAGAUUAAACCUCAACCAGUGUUUCCCCGUGGGCUGUAGCUCCUCAUAAGCGACUUAACAAGUGUUUUGUGAAUGGAAAACUAUGUAAUCAAAAAGAAAGGAGAAAAACUAAAUAAUAUCCAACAUAAGUGACUUAACAACAAAGUCAUACACAAAAUAGAAUCCUGAUCCAGGAUUUAUAGUUUUUGACAAGUCACAAUUUGUCUUGACUUUGUGAGCCGGGAUUACCUCUGAUGAAAUAUUAUGGAAUAUAAAUGUAAAAGAUGCUUUCAAUUUUCUGGUGUCUAGGCCAUGAUAUUCUGGAAUUUGUGCAUGAAGGUUGAGGUCACCUCUUAGCUUUUACGUUAGUGUGUUACGUGAAUUUUGUGAUCCAAUUUGUCUUGACUUUGUGGUCCAACUCACACACUUGGGCAUGUAAGUGCUGUAACUAUUUGAGGACAUCUAAAUUCUUGACGAUUGACGAGUCCAUAUAUCUGCCAAAUGUGGAUGAUAGAUUUGAAUUGAACCUACAAAGCAUCAGCACUUUUCCCUAAAGCCAAGGUUUAUUUUCAAAUUAUGAGAGGAAAAGGAAAAAUUGUGCAGAAAAGUAAUGAAUAGUAUACCUUCCACAAAUAGAUGCGUGUAUCAAAAUAUUGAAGAGAUUUUGAAGUCCUUUUCAUGAUUAAUUUGGCAAGUCCUUUUCAUUAAGUUAAAUUUGCUUUAAUUUGGCUAUUGACUACAUAUUACAUUCCAACUUCUUCUUAGAAAACGUUGGUUUCUUAAGAGAUUAAAAACUGAAAAUUAAAAUAUGGAUGGAUAAUAGGAGGCUUCUUGGCUCGUUCCCGAAAAAAAAGGGAAUGCUGUGCUUGGUUCAAGAAACAGGCUUCUAUCUGAAAGGGAUAAAAGAAGAGAUGAAUUGUAAAUAAAUUCAAGCGUGCAAAAUAAAAGAAUAGUCUAGAGCUUCCAAUCAUGCACAACUUAUUCUAACACUGAACAGAAAAAUGAUUUGAAAUGGAGUCUUCGAAGGCAACAGCUUGUUUUCAAUUUUAUAAAUUAUAUACUCUCAAAAUAAUUUUGAUACAAAAAUAGGUUGCUUUUCUUACAAUUAUGUGAAUGGAGCAGAUUAUUGUCCUUCAAGAAAGUUUAAUCAAGAAUAAAUAAGCCAAUGACCCUUUGGCCCAGCGAUGAAUCCUUACUUCCAGAGUUAAGAAAGAUUGUAAGAGUAUGGGUUCAAGUCUACUGAACUCAAAACUCUCUCAAUUUAGCAUUAUAAAUGAUUGUGGGGUUUAUUUGUAAGUCUUUCUCCUUUGCAAAAUGCGAGUGGAGUAUAAACAUCCCUCGAAGUAUAAACAUUCUUCCUUUGCGAGGGUUACUUGUCAGUAAUCUGAUGUGUAUUCAAUAUUAAAAAAAAUCAACAAUAAUUUGUAAGUUUUUCUGUUUUACGAAAUGUGAGUAGAGCAAAGACACCCCUUCUCUGUGAGGGUUACUUGUCUAAAUUUUAAUAUGAUGUGAAAUCAGUAUUAAAAAAAAUCAACAACGGUUUGUAACGGGUCACUUUUAACAACGGGUCACUUUCAGAGGGACCGAACUGCACCGCUCAUGACAAAAUUCAAAACAGACGUCACCAUUUCACACAAACUUGUGCAAAUCAGUGCUUUCACUUUUGAAGACAUUAAUUAGCAUUACAUUACAGGUUCGCCAAUGUUCUUACAUAAACAAGUGAGUCCAAAAGUUCUUACUCCUCAGUCAUUGCAAAUGCAAGAUGAUCAAUAACAAAAAUGUGCGAGUUUUACACACUUUAGUGAACCAAAAGAAGAGGAAAUUUGGAUAAUGAGGAGCACUUGUAGGUAGACAAGAAAGAUAAUUUAUCAAGCACCAGUUCAUCAGAUAAGCUUCAGAAUGUCUCAACUCAGGAUAUGAGCUGAAAUUGUUUACCUACCUACAGUUGUUUAAAAAGAUGGACACUGAUUUACCAUCAAGAGAAACAUAUCAACUAUACAUAUAUAAUUGCAAUACAAGCGCAUCCGAUUAUCAACAAAAUCACAUUGUUUGCUGAGUACACAUGUAAUAUACUCACUCAAACACCCAGUACACGCUGCACUCGACUAAUGCCCCUUUUAAGAGUAAUGAAGGGGGUUGAACUUAGAUGCGGAGGAGUAGAAGUGAACAGCUUGUUUUCAAUUGGAUUCACUGGCAUUGGGCUGGCAAAGACAGUAGGUUCCUGCAUAAAAGAACAAUGCAAGUUAGUGAAAAAAAAAAUCAGUUUAAAAAUUUGAAUUUACCAAGUAAAAGCAGCAUACACUUCAACCUGCACAUCAUUGCUUUUACUAGAAGGGUUGUAAUUCUCCUUUGAAGCCAAUGCCAUUACAGGUUCCACCAUGGGGACACUGCUAACAGUUUUCAAUUGACAAGCAAGGGGAUCAAUGUUUUCAGCAUUCCUUUUUGCUGGUACUGGUGUUCUCGUGUGCUGAGAAAGCUCCCUGUUGUUUAUACAAAGAGUAAAUAUGUUCUGAAUUCUUAACCUUCUGGAGGACUCUGUGUCUUCAGGUUUCUGGGGGGAAGAUGCCAAUAACCCUGUAGUAAGAUUGAGACUGGGAAUAUUUCCAUCAGCUAACCCACUUGAACAGACCCUUUUCUCCUCUAUUAUAACCUUCUCUACUUCAUCUUCAGCACUUUCUUUAUGAUCGUCCUCCUUGUCUUAUAACACCAAACCUUCGUCCUGCUAACAAAUUGACCCUUGUUACAAAACACAAGAACGUACGAUAUCAAUAUCAUUAAAUUAAACAAUAAGCACCAUAAGUGCCAAAUUUUGUAGCUACGCUGUUACCGAUCAUGCAAAUCAAAAUGGAAAUUACCGAAGAAUGUAUUAAGAACAAGCUGAAUCCCUCACAAAACGUCCAUAUAUUCACCAUUUAACCAUGACCAACUUUUUCGUUUGAGGCAAAUGAAAAAAAGAGACAGAAAGUUAAAAAGGAUAAAAAUUGAAAGCCGAGGGCAGUAAUUUGGAAGACGACAGCAUUUUUUAUCUCUUUUUAACAAGUAGGCUGGUGGGCCUCUCGUUUGCAUUUUUCCCGGCCAUUGGAGAAUUGAAAUCCCCAUUAAAUAAUAAAAAAAGUAAAAAUAGAAAUACAAUUAAAAAAAAAAAAAAAACAAUCUCCAUGUAACAAACGAUGAUGUCACGAGCUCGCAACACUUGUUGUUAUAAUACCUAUGGUCUCAAACCAACAAAGUGUUGGUUCCACUGGCAAUGGAGUCCCCUUAAGUAGCUUGACUGGGUUUGCUCCCCAGUUCGAGUCGCAGGGAAGUCGCCUUUGUUGGGAGAACCUGUGCCUCCCGGUUCGAGCGGGGACUUCUAGUCUGGGUUGUGGUACGGGCUUAAAGGUGCCUCCCACAGUUGGGGCCCUCCCCAGGAUACCUCGUGAUUAAUAUCAAAAAAAUAAUACCUAUGGUCUCACAAGGCCAAUAUCCUUUUAUUAGUUUGUUUUUCUUCUUAUACAGUCAAUACAAACAUCAAAGUCUAUAAAAUUUAAGAGUUUAAAAUUUCGUCUAACACAAAUCUCUUUAUUUUUUUAGGAUAUGAUCUAAUCUCUUGUGUUAUAAUACAGCUGAAUUUACAUUAGCUAAUUUUCUCCUUAUACCUCAUAUACUUAACUGUUGGAAUUCAUUAAAUAAAGCAAUCAUAUUAUCCAAAUAAAAAGAAAAGUUAAAUUUGUCCAAAGCAGCAUUGGAAAUAAAAUUCCACCUAAAAGACACAUUUCAUCAAGAUUCAUAUAAAAUUCAGUUUUUAAUAAUAACAUAAGUUUUCUAUUGCUUCAACUUCAACCGUUUUGUAUGGAUCAUAAAUGUAUUGUCUAUCAUAAAUGUAUAUUUCACAAUCACUUGCCCUUCAGCAACUUAAGCAACAGACUGAUGUGAGUAGGGAUAGUCGCCACUACACCGCACUGGUCAACUCCCAGUUGAACUUGCAAGCUUGGGUUCGCGUCCCAGUCCCACAGGCAGUGGAAGUAAGUAAUUACCCUAAUCAGCUGAAGUAUCAAAACCUGUGUAUAAGCCUGCAGAUUACAAGUUAAUCAUCAGCAAAGGAGGGGGCUGAAGCAAGAAACAACAUAUCAUGUACUAAUUAUAAAACAUGUAAAAUUAAUGUAUUUUGCCAGUCACAAAACCCGUUUUCUUUAGAGAUAACCACCCCAUAGCAACUAUAAAUAAGGGCACAAAAAUGACCACAAAGUACAACAGUCCCCUCUUUUUUCUCCAAACAAAUACAACCAUUUCAGUUCACAUUGAACCAUUCAAGUUCCAAGUUUCAACCAAUGAAACAACCAUAGUAUUCUAAUAAAAAUGAAAAAUGAAAUAACCAUAGAAUAAAAUAAUUAUACGCUAAUUCAAAUAUUGCUUCAGAAUUUACGAUUUAUGCCAGACUCAGUUGCUCAAACAUAUGGAAUUGGAAUGUUGCAUUUAUUUAACCCAAAAGGUGAAUGCCAAGCUUAAGGUUCUUACAUACUGAAAUGAUCAAAUUUCAUUCAUUCUGAACAUGGGAUGCAACUAGAACUAUUUCAAGUUAUUCCAGAAGAGAGUACUAAAAGAAAUUUUUUCAUCCUACGUGGUAUAAGUAGUAUACUUCAGCUAGUAUUAUGCAUCAUCGGUUAAAUCAUUUGGAUUAUUAACACUGAUAUUUUUUUUAUUAGCUGAAUUGAUAACUGUUGCACCCCUAACUUAAGGGCACGUGUGAUAAGAAAAUUUUAUCUACAUCAGGUGCAAGUAUAAGCAUUUAACAAUUAAGCUGUGACUGUUUGCUUACAAGAACAAACAUAUACUAAUAGAGAUGAAUAAAAACCCAGCACUUCAAGAAAAAUUUGACAAUAUCUCCCCUAAAAUAUGGAUAUUAUCCAAUAUACCAAACCAGCAAUUUUAAUACCCUGCAGCUUAAAACUUCAAAAUAUCAGUCAAUACAACACUUGGGGUCUCCGGGACCCUAUCACUACAACACUAACAAAUACAAGUGCAUCCUCCUGAUGUUGCGUAGUCAUUCUAAAUACAUGUAUUAAAAAGUAUGAUAUCUGCAACAAGGUAGCUUACAAAGUUUACUAGGCCAGCAAUGCCGAAGUACAACCAGAACAAUAACAAAAAUAUACAAAGAUAUAUAUAUUUCUUUAAACCUUUUAAGUUUGAAAGUUUUGGUAUUCAACAGAAACAUCAUAAGACAAGAUCAUAACAACAUACACACUAACAAAUAUAGGGUUGCUCAUACUUUCUGAAGUUACGUGUAAAGAAUCCUAAAAUUACUCUUUCAAUAAUACAAAAUAAAAACAUGCCUGACAAGUCCCCCGGGGCCACCGCCCAUGAUUUCUUUUGCAGACUUUAGAAAUCUGAACAAUAUCAAUUCAGCAUAGCGUACUUUUGAGGCAUUAUUCCCAAGGACCCUCGCCCAUAAUUUCCUUUCCGAGCUUCACUGCAGGACAGUAGUCUGACCAUGACCAAUCAACCUUCUCAAACCUCAAUUUGAAUGAAAGGAAUAAAAAUUAUUAACUCAUUCAAUAGCAUCAAUGUAAGUUUCCUUACAAUAACACACCACAUCCAUGAUAUUUCUCAAUAACAAUAGCCAUAGAUAACAGAAUCUCAGCACAUCCCCAGUUUAACACCACAUCCACAAACUUAAAUGCAAUCAAAGCACCAUAUCAUUGCAGGAUACAUUAACACAAUUCAGCACCACUACAUAUUCCAAACUUGGCUCAUAUCGCCGUAAAGUUCAAUUCUCAUUCAUGACUGCAUCAACCCAAAUUAACUGAUUCAAGUAAUUUCAAUACAUGGUCUUCAAUUAAAACUCGCAAUCCUGUGAUAAUUCUAGCAUGUCAAUUUUUUAUUUUAGCCAUGUAGCCAUGUAAUUAAAUGGCUAACCACACACCCACUGCAUUAAUUCUUAAAGGAAGCAAUUAAGCCAUUAACACAUUAAAUCUAUGGAAAACAACUUAUAAGGACCCAAAAUAAAAAUUCAGAUUAUCAAGCAAGAAAAACAACCUGAUUUUUCAGUUUUGAGUAACAAAAUCACUCAAUUGCAUAUAACCACAUACCUUAAAUCCUGCACCAACAGCUCCUAGCUCUCCAAACACUUCUCUAACUCCACUUCCUACUGGUAAUACUGCAACAAAAAUUAACCAACUAUUCUGCCAAUAAUUUAAGGAUCCCAAAUUCAACACAAUCCUAAACUUGCUGAAAGUUACAGCAAGGAAACAAUUAAGAAAAUUAAGUGAAAAAACAUUCCAUCGAUAAAAGUAAGAAGAUUUCAAAAUUGAACCAUGCAUGCACACAAACUUACCCAAACCAGGUCUAAAGGCCAACAAUGAAAAUUUCACAUUAAAGCAACCAGAAUACCCGAAAAAUAGCUUAAAUUAAAAGUUUUUGACUCGUUCAGAAAGACACCAACAAUUUCCAAAACCUUUUGUUGGACCCCACGUUUAUAAAUUCUCAAAACAACUUCUUCCACCAAUCUGACAACAUCACAGAAAACUGGCAACACCACAUUUAAUUGUCUUUUAAGUUAUAAAAAAGCUUCAAGCUUUGCAGAUGCCAGGAUAUAAUGAGAAACCAAUCAUAGAACAUGUGAUGAGCAAGGGCACAAGCAGAGGAAAGAUCUUCAAUGCCUUAGUGUUCUGGACCUCCAGCAACAUUCAUUUUUAUGCAAUAUUCUUUUUCAAAUUUUUCUAUAUCGCUAAGAUUUAUAUCACUAAAUUUUUCUAUUAAUUCUUCUAAUAUAUUUUUCAUUAUUCUGUAUCACUUGGUACAGGUUCCUUUAUUUCUAAUUUUUCUUUUCCUUUUUCCUUUGUUUUUAAUUCUGCUUUUAAUCUUUCUGAUUCCUCUAAUAUUUUUGGGUAUUGAGUUUUUAUAAACCAAUCAUCAUAACUUCCUGGCUGAGGUUUUGUUAUUUGUUUUUCAAAACUUGUUCCUAUUAUUCCUGAUUUUAUUAUUUCAAGUUUUUCCACCUUUUUAUCUUUUUUCCGAUUUAUCUGUAUUGUAGAUAAUUCUAUUUUUAUUUUUCCUAUUUCUUGUUUAAUUUCUCUCAUCUCUUCUUUAAGAUUUAAAAGUAUUUCUUUUAAUUCAAAUAACGUAGUUUCCAUGAAAGUUAGGGGUAUUGAUGGAUAUUAUUUCUUUUGAGUGUAUGUUACAUUUAAAGUAACAUAGUGCUAGCCUUUUUUUUAUUUUAAAUUUAUAAAUGUAAAAUAUUAAUUUAUAAAGCUGAAUCAGUGUGUACGUAUAGAAAACAGUCAACCUGACCUGACUGCCGAUGAGUUAAAUGGGUCUGCAUUUGGCUGUUAAAUAAUUUGUUCGUUGCUCCUGCAACAGGCCAAUUCUCUAUAUUCAUAUAAAAUUUGAAUGGCUAUUACUGAGUGAGUGUAUAGGGUACUGGAUAAAAAUGAAAAACAGAAUAAAUUUGACACAACAUUUUAUUUAAUAUACCCUUCUCCAUAUCAUAACUAAUUCAACAGCCACUACUUUCUUGGAAAAUCAUAAGUAUUAAAGAAAAAGACAAAAGUAAACAAAUAUAGAAAUAUGGAAAGAAAGCUUUCAAGUCUUUUCAUCAAUAAAGCCGAAAAUAGCAUCUAACCAAAAGCUGAUAUUCACAGACACUGACCAUAUUAAACCAACCAUUUCCAAAACGGAAGAAAAAGAUUUAGAUUCCACCUUAUAAAUAUAGUUAAUGUAAUUAAAAUUAUUAAUUCAAAAUGCUAAUCUGACCAUCACCGACCAACAUUCUCAAACCUCAACUCAAAUUAUUAACUCAUUCAAAUAGCAUCAUAUGUAAGUUGCCUUACAAUAACACAUCACACCCAUGAUGCUUGUCAAUAACAAUAGCUAUAAAUAACAUAAUCUCAGCACAUCCCCAGUUUAACGACCCGUCAACAAACUUAAACUGCACCAUAUCAUUGCAGGAUACUUAAACACAACUCAGCUAAACUACCCAUUCAAAACUUGGCUCAUAUCACUGUUAAAGUUUUAACUCUCGUUCAUGAUUGCAUCAACCCAAAUUAACUAUCAUAACUGAUUCAAGUAAUUUCAAUACAUGGUCUUCAAUUAAAAAUUGCAAUCCUGUUGAUAAUUCUAGCAUGUCAAUUUUUUAUUUUAGCCAUAUAGUCAUGUAAUCAAAUGGCUAACCACACACCCACUUCGUUAAUUAUUAAAGGAAGCAAUUAAGCCAUUAACACAUUAAAUCUAAGCAAAAUAACUUAUGAGGACCCCCCUCCCCCCCCCCCCCCCCCCCCCCCCCCCCCGGCGGAAGCAAAAAAAAAAUUAUCAAGCAGGAAAAACAACCUGAUUUUUCAGUUUUGAGUAACAAAAUCACUCGAUUGCACAUAAUAGCAUUUCUUUUUUCUACUUGCUGCUGUUCUCAGCUCCCUUAGGUGCACAACUACUCUCUCUAAAACCCAAUUGCUCUCUUUCCCUCCAUUUCCUUUUCUUCCUCUUCUCUCUUUUUUAAUUUUUUAUUUUCUUCUGUUACAUGAGUUCCUUUCUCAUCAAUUAGUGUGGAGAAAAACGAAAACAGGAUAAAUUUCGACGCAAAAUUUUAUUAGUAUGCGUAUGUAAGUACAUUAUCGAAUACGCCUUAAACAACUGCCUUUUUUUCCUGCAAUAAUCACACUAUAUAUAACAAAUAAUACAACAAAAUAAUAGAAGUUUAAGUAGAACGGCAGUAUCUAGGUUGUCUCUGUACUCGGCUUCCAGUUCCACCCAAAAAACUGCUCAAACAUCUUCGUUCAGGUAACCAACCACAGACUCUGUUAUUGCCAUAACUAAUUUAUCACAUGACCAUAAUUUCCAGAACACCUUGCGCUUGUUCAAUGGGUUGUUCAACUUGAGGGCGAGCUAGCAGAUGCGCGUUGACAGAGGCGACAGUGAGACGUCGAAGCCAGUUGAAGCAGCGCUCAAACAGAGAAGCUAGCGUUGCAUAACAGAGUGAUAAGAUUAUGAGGCAUAAAUAGAGUACCAAGAACAGAGACGGAGCCAAAAUGACAGAGGCCACUGCUGAGACAGCCAACAGAACAGAGAGUUCUCCACAACUCACGCAAAUGGGUCGGCUCACAUUGAGAGGGACUCUGAUGGGUGUGAGGAGGAAGAGCAGUAAUGGGAUGACGACGGCAGGAAUCAGGAACCAGAACUGAAGCUUUAAAAUUGGAUACAAAAGUAUCUUACUCGUACCAUCUUGGACGUCCCAAGAGUUGCCAUCCUGAGACUUGAGGAACAGAAAAAAGAUUAUAAGAUUCAGCAAUGGAAGAAAUAGAAACCUCAAAUCGAUUGAAAUAUUCAUGCUUAUGAGUAUAAGACUUGGCAGAGAUGAUUGAGUUUAAUUUUUAUGAAUAAGAUUUGGCAAUGGCAGAGUUAAACACAGGCUGCCUUUUGCUUCCUCUCUCUCUUCUCUCCGCUUUUUUUCUCCUCUCUCUCUCUUCUCUCAACACAUGCUUUCUUAGCAUUUAGCAUUUUUGUUUCUAAAAUACGGUGAGUCUGGGGGCAUUUUUAUAGAGGUUUUGGGAUGAAAUCUUUUUGCAGCCAAUGCCAAAAAAAUUAGAGGUUUGGACAAAGUGAAAAAAAAGAAAGAAGUGCAAAGCCAAAUGGAGCCAUGCAUGUGAGAGUGGGACGACCCAAGACAUUUUUUCGAUCCUUUGAGUUAGUGGGAGAAAGAGAUUAGCCUCCUCCGCAUUAAGAUUUGAAGAUUCCGUUGGUUUGACUGAUUCAGCACAUAACAUGCUUAAAUUGCAAAAGCUGUCAAUUCACAUUAACAAGGAAAAUUAACUCAAUAAAGUGAAGUAGGCACGAAUUAGAGUGAUUUUUAAAAUGCGGUGAGUCGGGGGCUUUUUAUCGUGGUUGAGGUCCAUGAGGAUGAAACGUUAUUGGUUCGAUACACGUCUUCAAUAAUAUUUGCGGAACCAAUUAGGAAGAUAAUGGAGUCGGGGAUUUUGGGGCUGAAUUUUUCCCUUUUUUUCUUAAUUUUGUUUUUACUGUGUGUCACGUGCAAAACACGUGAGACUAUUAAAAUUUCAAAACAGUUGUUUCAGUCUUCUAGGGUUUUAAAAACCUCAGUACGUUUUUUUUUUCCUUUUUUCUGUACAGGUAUUUUUAAACUUACCUUUUCAAAGUUUAUAUAUAUUUUGCACACUGCGCACAAAAUAUAUAUGAACGAAUGAUACAUGUUCCAAUAAAUAGAUGCACCUAACAAAUUAGAACUAUUCAUGAGAUGCAAAUUAAGUUAGUGUUAGAGAGAAAUAUACUGAGACUAAACUACAAUUAUGUGUAAUUAAUUAAGCUACCUUUGUUUUCAUGUUAGCGUGACCAAAAUGAGAUUAUGCACAACAAGUAUAACUAUAUGAAACAAAGUGAUAUAAUAAUAAAUGCCAACCAUAUUAUAUGUACAAGUUUUCUGUGCCAAUAUCACUAGUGGCAUGACCAAAAACACCGACAUACACAAUAAUCUCUCAAAGGAAAGAUUGUCAAAUUUCUUCAUUAAAUUCAGAUUAAAGUAAAUUAUAAAUUUUUUAACUUAAUAAAACCCACUUAAUACACACAUAUAAAUAUUAUAUGCUUACAGUACAAUCAUUUUUUGGACUUUCUCUUAUGGGCUAUUUUUUUUUUUUUGGGAUAAAUUUAUGGGCUAUUCAUUAGUUGCUUGGGUUCCUCUAUGAUGUUAUAUUUUUUUUUGCAAUAUCAAUAAUGUAAGAAAUAUGUACCAUUAUUUUUAUUAAUAAAAAUUUAUAUAAUUUCCAAAAAAUUAAAGGUUUGGACAAAAUAAAAAGCGAUUAGAAAAGAAAAUAGAAAAAAAUACAAAGCCAAUGGGACCAAACCUCCAAAGAUAUGUUUUUCCAUUCUCAUCCAACACCUUCCCAUUUGUUUAUUAUUUUUUUAUUAAUUUAUUAACUUUUUUAAUGGGGAGGAGGCUGAUGCCUCCCACUAACUCUUUCUCGAGGAAGCUAAGCUAGCUGCAUAAGUAUCCGCUAAGUUAAUAAAUUAAUAAAAAUAAUAAUAAACAAUUGAGAUGAUCAAAAGUUCAAAAUUUCUUACCAUCGCACAUGCAAGAUGAUCAAUAUUUCCAUCGCUCAGUAUAUGUAUACGUAGGUAGCAUUCACAUUUUAAAUUAGUGUGAGAAUCUUAGAUUAUCUCCAAAAGACUCUUUAAAUAAAAUUAUACUUCUUAUUUGAAGAGUCAUAUCAAUAUUAAAUACUUCAAAAGACACGUUAAUUUAAAUUCUUCAAAUAAGAUUUGUUUCUUUCUCUUCAAUAUUGACGAGUGAAUUUCUCUCUCUUCUAUUAAUAUUUUUUUAUUAUUUAUUGAAAAGAUAAGACUGUAAUAAUUAUUAUUUAUGUUUCCUUUCAAAAACAUAACAGCAAUUCAAUUUAAUAGUAGAAAGAUUUAAUUAAAAUAAUAUUAACUUAUUCUUAUUUGAUGAGUCUUUUGGAAGAAAUUGUAUUUUUCAAUCCACUUAUUUGCCACAUCAGUAAGCAAAUUGAUAUUUGAAAAGUAAAAUCUAAAAAGUCUUUUGGAGAUGCUUUUAGAUUUCAGAGUGUAGAGAGGGGUGGGAGUGAAUUGUUUAUUUUCACUCUGAAAUGAGAGUAUGAAAUCGAAAUUAGAAUUCAAUUUUUGUGUUUUCCUUAUCUUAAAUUGGGAGUAAAUAGUUUCAAAUUACAGUUUUACUUUUAUUUAAAAAAUUAUAAUUUUUAAAUACAAAAUUAUAAAAAAAUAUAUUUGAAAUAUAAAAUAUUUAUUUUUAUUUUAUUUAUUUGUAAAUUUACCUAUGUUUAGAAAAAAAAAAAAAACUAUUAACUGCCCUCAGCAUAUAACAUACAACAAGCUGUCAAUUCACAAAAACAAGGAAAAUUAACUCAAUCAAGUGAAGUAGGCCACAAAAAGACCUCUAAAAUCGAAUCAGAUUUAGUUAAAACAAAUAAUCACCCAUCAAUCAUAAGCAAAAGCCAAAAAGAAAUGAAUAACAGAAAGAAAUUUCUUAUAAAAAUUCAAUACAAAUAAAAAACAAAUUAGCUAGUCUUCUUUUUUGGUAUAGUGAUUUCGUCAGCAAAUAAGACAAAAAUUGAAAUUCCGAAAUAUACCUAGGAUUUCUAGCUUUGGAAAUUUACCUUACAAGAAACCGGGCUCUCUGCUUCUGGCUUUGUCUUUGUAACGUUACUAUUGUGGACGAGCCACUCCGAUCAGCUGAGAUGAUCGCAUUUUGCACCGGCAACGAUGCAAAUGUUUGGGUUUGGAUUUGACGAUAGACGGAGGAAUGCUUAGGGUUUUGUGUGAAUUUUUGGAAUUUUUUAUCGAAGUGAAAAUAUCAAAAUAACCUUUACACAUUUAAUAUUCAGGGUACUUAUACAGUUAAAUUUUUCUUUAGAAUUAAAACAGAAUAUAAACUGAGACUCAGAAUUUUAUUAAUAUACCGUUGUUCGUUUGGACCAUAAUACAAAAACCAAAAUAAAUAAAUAAAUAAGAAUAUAGAGUGUGUCUGCUACUGCUAAAAAUGCUUUUCAAACAAAAGCCGAAAACAGCAACUAAGCUUUUACAGACUAUAUAUAUAUAGAUCAUUGUAAUAACUAACUAGAAAAUGGAAAGUUAGCAUAUAUUCAUAAAACACUCUUAGUUCUACCCUAUGUUAUUUUAUUAGGCAGGGUUUAUUUACGAAAUAAUAUAAUUUUAAACAUUUUAUUGGGUGUAUUUUAUAGCUAAGAUGGGAUGGAAAUAUUACUAAAACACUCGUGGCACUGGCACCAGCAAAAUCAUACACUUUAAUAGGUACUAGGGCCUAACAGUGGCACCAGCUAUUUCAUACAUACAUACGUAUAUAUUCUCAUCUUCAUCAGUUGGACUUGGCUGCAGGUUUUGGAUGUGGUUCCCUUCUACUCCAAUAAUGUUCUCUUCAUCAACUUGAUUCCCGUUCGCACAUGCAGUUGAUCACGAUCAAGAUUGUGCGAGUAAUGGGUGUUAUUACUGUGAGAUUUCGGAGCCAAUGGAAAAUGUUAUUACAGUAUGAUCAAUAUGAAUUGACCAAGAUUCUUUUGCGGGUUGGCGAGAUGCUUUUGGCAAGCCCCACCCAGUCUUUGCCCACUCAUUUUUGUUUAAAUUAAAUUAAGUAAUUAUUUAAUCAACCUAUUGAGUACAAAGGGCAAUUUGACUUGAUUCUCCUUUUGUUGUGGCUAAGACGUAUUGCACAAGCUUCUUCUUCUUCUUCUUCUUUUUCAAGUUGUAUUGCGAGCUCUUAAUAUAAUCACAAACUUUUUUUACAAAUUUAUUAAUUUAUUUUCUUCCUUUUUUUUUUCUUUUCUUUUCUUUCUCUCUCUCUCUCUCUCUCCCGGGACUGGGGAGCUUGGGUUUUAUUUAGUUUUAUAGCCUAUAGAUAUAAUAUUGAGUAGUGAUAGGUUUUGACCUUGAGUGCUAAUCAGUGGGGAUCAAUAUUAAUUAAUCAAGAAUCUUUACAAAAAGCAUCGACUCCCAUUGGUUCCUCGGGUUGGGGAAGUGCUUUUGACAAGCCUCGCCGAGUCUCCGCGACUCCGCCCACUAAUUUUUGUUUAAAUGAAAUUAAGUAAUUAUUUAAUUAACCUAUUGAGUACAAAAGACAACUGGAUUCUCCUAUGUUGUGACUAGGUUGUGUUGCACGAGCUUAGCUUAACUUUAAUGACUCUAAUUUAUAAACAGAUGCUAGUAACAAUAAUAUAUUACUUUCCAAUUCGAAGUGGAGCCUUCGAAGGCAACAGCUUUUUCAAUUUUAUAAUUAUAUACUCUCAAAAUAAUUUUGAUAAAAAAACAGGUUGCUUUUAUAUACUGUUGAUGACAAGCGUUGUGCCGUCUUCUUCGUUGAGAAGAAUUGGACCGUAUUGCAAUGCCUUCUGGUUUUCUCUUUCCAAGUUCAACUUCUUUGUCGACAAUAAUUCUUACAGAACAAAAACGAAAAAAAAAAAUCAAAUAUAGCGUUAGGGCUUCAAGGGAUUCUCCAUGGAGUGAUCUUUAAAUAAAAAACAAGCGCCACCCUCCGUUUGAUUUCUCCUGAAGAAAAGAUUUGAUCGAUUUUUUCUUUCUUUUUCACCUUUACUCUUUUUUAAAAAAAUUUCUUUCUUUGCUUAAAAAAUGUUUUGCCUACAGCUGGAACCGAACAUUUAAAAUUUAAAGAGUGCAUGUUAAGGUAUUAAUUUUUAUUACCUUGUAAUCUAGUGAUGGCAGACAUAUUAAUUCAUGAAAUCGAAGAAUCUUGUGGAAUAUUGACUUGUGGAUUUGAUCCUGAUCCGGUGGCUUAUUGGGAAAUAUCUGAAGUUGUUUGGUCCACUAAUCUUAGCUUUAGGAUAAGUAGUGAAAAUUUCUUCUUCGGUCAUGAAUUAAGAUCCAAUCAUAUAGCAUAUUCGAUCUGACUGUACCAUAAGCAUAUGUGUGUGUGUAUUAAUGACUGGAGUUCAGUUAAUGACUGCAAACUCAGCAACCGAUUCCAAGAAUGAGCUUUGAAAGAAUCCCAAUUUGUCAAAAUGUGACUGUUGAGAAGUUUCUUUUGAGUAGAUUAACCGAGAAGACCGUAGGCAAUUACCUGUAUACAUCUAUUUAUUGAAACUUUAAUUACCUGAGGAUUAACGGAAAAAUGAAUAUACAUUGCAUUUAUAAAUAAUCGUUUUCCCUCUGAUAACUUGAAAAAUACAAUAAUUUAAUCCAUUGUCUAUUUGUAAUAAAUAAUCUAUUUUCUAAAUACGUACGGCGUUGUGGAAAGUUGAACCGUAUUAUUUUAUGCAAUUAACCCAAUACAUCAAAAUACAUAUAUAAAACAUGUGGACACUAUUUUAAGAGAUUGAUUGAGAAAUUUGGUAUAAUUUUAGGCAAUUAAAUAAAUAUUUUUGAAAUUUACAUGUGUUUUGGGAGAUAAUUGUUGUGUAAAUCAGUGCUCGCGCAUGUAUAAAAUUAAUCUCCAUUACCUGGGAAGUUUCUUGGGGUGACACAAGUGGAUAUACACUAUUCGUGAUGUGCAAGACAACAUGAUGAACAGUGAACUCGAAACUCAAAGUGAUACAAGUCGUUUAGAGGUUACAAGCUCAGAUGACAUGUCGCUUGAGGAGUUCUUCAGAGCAAAACCGACAUAAACUCAUUCAUCACUCAAAACUUAAGUAAUACAUGUGGUUUGCACGUGUGUUAAAGCUGAAUCUCAUUUAGAUCAAGAACGACGUCUGUGAUUGCCGUUUUAAGCUCACUUAUGUUAGCUUGUGAUAUGCAUGUGAGAGAGGAGCAUCUUGGUUGGAUUUGGCAGGAAGGGUGGUUAGCCUAACAACCCAAAAACAGAGGUUAAAAGGUGCAAGCUCUGCAAUCAUCUCCAUUAUUGGGAAACACUGAGAGUAGAGAGAAGAUAGAGAGAGAAAUGGGUUAAUUAGUUAUUGUUCUCUGUAAACCAUCUUUUGUUCUUGUAUUGUUUCGAUCUCAUUAAAGUGAAAGUUAUUGCUUUGUUUCCAGUGGAUGUAGGCACCACUUCUUGGUGCUGAACCACUUAUAUUUGGUGUCAUUUUGUUUCUUUUAAAGCUUUGAUUCUUGUGUGUGAUUCUUGUUGUGUGAUAUGUGUUGAUUGGUCUUGGAUCCUUGAUACAAAAUUACUUCUUGGGGUGAAUUUGGUUAGCCUUAUAAGGUUAAAUUCUCAACACAGCAUUAUCAGGAAAACAUGAGAAAUUUUAGAAUACCUCAGAUGUACUACAACCAAUUGAUGCAUGCAUGACAUGUGUAAUUGAUUUUAAUACAAUCACUACUUGCAUGAUAGUGGUUCAAAAUAAAUGCACACAUGUCAUGACAUCAUUGCUUAUUGUAUGGAUGACAUGAUACCUCAUAUGUAUUUUAGAAUUUCUCGGAAAACAGAUAUGCCAAUUAGUAAUCUUGUGUGUGUAAGAUUUCAAGAUAGUUUCAUGUAGAAUUUAAUGGUUAUGUGUUUCUUCGGCUCCUUCCUCAAAUCCAGCACAAUGGCAUAGUCACAUGCAUGAAGAUUUUGGAGUCUUUGGCUGCACAAUUUUUCUGGACUUUAAUUUGAAUUAGUUAUUGGCUUUUUUAUAUUGCUCUUUAAUCGGCUUUUUCAGAUUAAAUAUUUCUGUAUUAGUUUUCGAUUAACAUAGUCCUGGCCUCCUGGGAAGUUAUGGUACUAAUCAGAUUCUUUUGUCAACAUUUGACAAUUUCUUUUUCAAAGCUUGAGUUUUGAGGGUUUAUAGCUUUGAGUUGUGGAAUCAAUGAAAGAAGAAAUUAAUGUAAGAAGAAUAAUUAAAUGGGUACUCUCUUAGCCCCUUUAUCUGGUUAUAUAAAGAUUUUUUAAUACAUUUUUGGUGUGGCUAGUUAUGCUUGAAGUUGUUCUACAGUGUCUCGCUUGAAAAGUCCGAUACAAAAAAUUAAAAAGAAUCAUCUUCAUCAAUUUAGUAGAAAGCGACAGUUUGACAACUUAUUAUUAUAUUCUCCAAAUGCAAAUAAAAUUUGCCGCCUAAAUAAAAGUGGCAGCAAACUGCUUUUUUUUUUUAAUAUUAAGAAAAGACCUUACCCCUUCAGCACAUUCAUCUUUUAAACCGUAAGUAAUCAUCCUAGAGGAUGCAUCGUGGGACCUUCGCUGAUCGCUGAGUGUAUUGACUCAAAAAAGAACUCUUAAAUUCAUUACAGGUUUCAUAAGAUCAAAGCUGAGGGUAGAUUAAUUGAACAUAUAAACUAAGCUUGCUGUGACUAUUAAAAAUAUGUUCAUGACAUUAUACUCACAGAAAUUUAUUAAGGCAGUCAUAAUUUUGCCAUUUAUGUAUAGAAUAUUGAAAAUUAUUGAAUUUCAUUUAAAAAAAGGGUUAAAUUAUAGAAUUUCAUUUCAAAAAAAGUCAAAUUAAACUUAUCAUAAAACAACCUUAACUAUCAAUCCAAGAUCUAAGUGACUAAAAAAAGAUUAUGAGAAUAAUUUAAAUGAUUAAUUAUCAAUUCUUUUUUAUAUGUAAAAUUGGUAUUGUACAAGUUAAUUAUAAUUAACUAACGGAAAUGUAGUAAAAUAUAGGGUUUAUUAGAGAUAUUUAACAAUUCCUAAAGUAUUAUGGUAUAAAAUGUUAUACCCUAAUAUUUCAUGCACCGAUUUAUUUUACAAUUUCUAAAAUAGUAAAAUGAAUAUAACGCAUAAAAUUAAUUAAAUUAUUAACAUAGCUUCUGUCCUUUAUAGUAAUUUCAUUAGAUGUUUCAUGAGAUCAAAGUUUUGAGGGUGAACUAGUCAAAGAAAAUGGUUGUGGAUGGUUAUAACAUUUGACCAAAAAUAAUAUUAUUAUUUGGUUGGAGCCAUAGUAGGGUAGGCCCAGUCCCAGUCCCUUGCGCCCGCUCCGGUAAUUGGCAAGACAGUCUGCCAUGCAAGCAAGCGAAGGAGGAAAAUGUGAGGUAUUUUUACAUCACUUGCCAAAUGUGUAAUAUUUGCUUACUUGGACUUCAAAGUCAGUAGUUUAAUGAAAUUGGAACAUUUUCGAGAUUUAGGAUUGUCUCCUAACCUUAUCUUCUUUUGAGUAAAUUUUAUUAAUAUGAUUGGUGGUUAAUAAAUUAAAAAAUAAAGGUAGUUAAUAGAUAUUAAGUAGGUUAUUGGGUAACAAUUAUUUUUCUGUAUUGGAUUUGAGUCUUAAUAUUUUGACACGAUUAGUAAAUGGGUUAAAUUUGGGUUAAACUAAAUUUGACACAACACGAACAUGAUCUAAUAACCCGUUUUGCUAGCUUUAGCCAUAAGAUGUGAAUUUUGCUAAGGAUAUUAUCUCAAACAGGAGGGAAAUAGUAACUAGGGUAACAAUAUAAACAUGAGGAAUUUUCUAUUUUUGAAGUAGUUCUUGGGUUGAAUUAGACCGUGGGUUUCUAAAGUCUAAAAAUCCCAAUAAAUUCAGCCCCACAUACAAAGGCUUACCAAAUUCAAAGAAUUUUUAUGAGUGAUUGUCGUGUAAAUGAGUGAUUGCAGACGUACAAAAUGAUCUCUAUUAACUGGGAAAUUUCUUGAAGUGACACAAGUGGAUAUAAUAUUAUAUUAUUCAUGAUGUGCAAGACAAAAUUAUCGAGAAAACAGAUGUGCCAGUUAAUAAUGAAGAACUAGCAGUUGAAGAUGACCAAAGAAUUUUUAUGUGUGUGAGAUUUCAAAGAUAAUUUCAUGCAGAAUUUAAUGGUUAUGUGUUUCUUUGGUUCCUUACCCAAAUCCAGCACAAUGGCAUAGUCACAUGCAUGAAGAUUUUGGAGUCUUUGGCUGCACAAUUUUUCUAGACUUUAAUUUGCAUUAAUUAUUGGCUUUUUUUUUUGUAUUGCUCUUUAAUCGGCUCUUUCAGACAAAAUAUUUAUGUAUUAGUUUUCGAUUAACAUAGUCCUGCCUUCUGGGAAGUUAUGAUACUAAUCAGAUUCUUUUAUAUAAUGUCAACAUUUGAUUCUCAUUUUGGCUCCAUCACUUUUCUUGGUGGCCUAUUUGCGGUUCACAAUCUUAACAUUCUGUUAUGCCGUGUUAGCUUCUCUGUUUAAGCUCUGCUUCAACUUGUUUCGACGUUUCGCUGUCAUGGUUUCGUUCACUAAUUAUUUUCAAUAAACCAAUUAAUUAAUAUAUAUAUAUAUACAUGUUGUCGUCGUUUCUAUGAAAGUUUAAGCAGCUAGCAGUUUCUGGAGUCAGUUCAGUCAAAGACUCGAAGCCUAGCAGCGAUCGAUUAAAGAUGCUGUGGUUGCUUUAGUAUUUUUCUAAUUUAAUUAGAAAUCUGCUGUAUAAUAAUUUCUAACCAGCAGCCAUGGAAAGUUGCAAACAACAAUAUAUCUAUAAAAGCUGUUACAGAUUUAAUGCCCCGGGUAUAUAAACGGUUAUUUUUCCUUUAGCAUAAAAAUUUAGACACAGAAUUUAAUCAAAUAUACCGUUGAUCAUUUGAACAGUAAUGCCAAAAAAAAGGAAAAAAAAAAAAGAAUCUAGCGUGCUUUUCAAACAAACGCCGAAGGUAGCAACGAAGCUUUCACAGCAAAACUGCUAAAACUUGGUCGGGUAACAACAGACUAAUGUUAUUUUAUUAGGCACUAGGACCCUACGGUGGCACCAGCAACAUCAUAUAUAUAUAUAUUCUCAUCGUCAUCAUCAGUUGGACUUGGCUGCAGGUUUUGGAUGUGGUUCCCUUCUGCUUCAAUAAUGUUCUCUUCAUCAACUUGAUUCCCGUUCGCGCAUGCAGUUGAUCGCGAUCAAGAUUGUGCGAUUAAUGGAUGUUGUUACUGUGAGAUUUCGGAGCCAAUGGAAAAUGUUAUUACAGUAUGAUCAAUAUGAAUUGAUCAAGAUUCUUCUGCGGGUUGGCGAGAUGCUUUUGGCAAGCCCCACCUAGUCUUUGCCCACUAAUUUUUGUUUAAAUGAAAUUAAGUAAUUAUUUAAUUAAUAUAUUGAGUACAAAGGGCAAUUUAAUUCUCCUUUGUUGUGGCUAAGAUGUAUUGCACGAGCUUAUCUUAACUUUAAUGACUGUAAUUUAUAAAAUUAAUUAUAACCUAAGCAAACGUGGACAAGGGAUUUGUGGUUAUGUAUAUUUCAGUUUUUUUUUUAAAUCAAAGAAAAUCUCAAAUAAUUUAUAAGGAUUUUAUCUUUGAAGAAUGAUAAACUCUUAUCUAUAUAAAAAAAGAGAUUUUAUGGUGAAUUAAAAAGUUUGUUAAUGCUAAAACAAAAAGAGGGUUUAAAAUUAGAGAAUAAUGAGUUUAUAAUUAUGUUCGUAUUUUGAGAAUACUAAAUAAAACGUGAAAAUCAUUUAUAGUUAUUCCUGAAUUUAUAGAAAUACAAAUAAAAUAUUAAUUGUGGAAUUAAAAAUGAGUUCAUUUAUAACUGAUAUGGGGUUUAUAUAAUUUCAAGUGCGAUAAUAUAAUCACAGACUCCCAAACUUAUUAAUUUAUUUUCUUCCUUUUUUUAUUCUUUCUUUCUCUCUGCCGGCACUCGGGAGCUUUGGUUUUAAUUAGUUUUAUAGCCUAUAGAUAUAAUAUUGUGUAGUGACAUGUUUUGACCUUGAGUGCUAAUCAGUGGGGAUCAGUAUUUAAUUAAUCAAGAAUCUUUACAAAAAGCAUCGACUCCCAUUGGUUCCUCGGGUUGGGGAAGUGCUUUUGUCAAGCCCCACCGAGUCUCCGCGACUCCGCCCACUAAUUUUUGUUUAAAUGAAAUUAAGUAAUUAUUUAAUUAACCUAUUGAGUACAAAGGACAACUGGAUUCCCCUAUGUUGUCGCUAGGUUGUGUUGCACGAGCUUAGCUUAACUUUAAUGACUCUAAUUUAUAAACAGAUGCGAGUAACAAUAAUAUAUUACUUUCCAAUUUGAAGUGGAGUCUUCGAAGGCAACUGCUUUCUCAAUUUUAUAACUAUGUACUCUCAAAAUAAUUUUGAUACAAAAACAGGUUGCUUUUAUGUACUGUUGAUGACAAGCCUCGUGCCGUCUUCUUCGUUGAGAAGAAUUGGAACGUAUUGCAAUGUCUCUGGUUUUCUCUAUCUGAGUUCAAUUGAAGUUUAACCAAGCUAUUUAUGCUUGUUUGGUUGCAGAGAAAAUGAAGGAAAAUUCAAUGAGCAAUAAGAAACUAUGAGAAAAAAUAGAUCGAAUUUUAUUCAAUGAAUUAUGAAUACAGAGGUUGAUCUUAUAUACUAAGAUCCAGAACCUUUUGCAUUGCUCACACACGUGUUGAGAGUGAGCUGUGAUUAACAAACUUCUCAGCUCUAUAACAAACUUACAAACUAACAAAUAACAACCUUGCUUACUCAGCUGCCACAUCAGCAGAAUCAUUACAAAAAUAUUCUUUAUAUUAUAACUCUAACAUCCCCCCUCAAGCUUGAUGUCGUGAAAGGACAUUAAGCUUGCUGCGCAAAUAAGCAAACUGAUCAAAACAGAGGGGCUUAGUAAGAACAUCUGCUAAUUGAUCUGAACUGGGAACAUAAGUAACUGAAAGCUGUUGUUGAGCAAUAUGCUCUCUGAGAAAAUGGAGGUCAAGCUCAAUAUGUUUAGUACGAGCAUGAUAUUUAGGAUUACUGGCCAAAGCUUCAGCACUCUUGUUAUCACAAUGCAGAAGAGGAAUCUAAUCAAAAGAUAUGUUAAGCUCUUGAAAUAAGUAUGUAAUCCAGAGAACUUCAGAGGUAGCCAUAGCAAGAGCUCUAUACUCUGACUCAGCUGAUGAUCUGGACACAAUAGGCUGCUUCUUAGAGGACCAAGAGAUGAGAUUGGAACCUAAAAACACACAAUAACCUCCAACAGAUCUGCGAUCAUCAGGAUCUGCUCCCCAAUCAGCAUCAGAGUAGGCAGUUAACUUUAAAGAACCAGAACUGAAAAACUGAAGACCAUAAUCAGCUGUACUUUGAAGAUACCGUAACACCCUCUUGCAAGCUUGCCAAUGAAGAAUGGUGGGAGCUGAUAAAAAUUGACUAAGCUUGUUGACUGUGAAAGCUAAGUCUGGUCGAGUUAACAGAACAUAUUGAAGAGAUCCCACAAUGCUUCUGUAUAAAGAUGGAUUUUCAAAUGCAGCACCUGUAUCCUUGUGCAGCUUCUCAGAAGUACUCAUAGGUAUAACACAACCUUUACUGUCCAGUAUAUUUGCCCUUUUAAGAAUAUCACCAAUGCACUUAGUUUGAGAUAGAUGAAUACCGUGAACAGAUGGAGUAACUUCAAUACCAAGAAAGUAAUGAAAAUCCCCCAGCUCCUUCAAGGCAAACUCAGAAUGUAAUUGCUGAAUAACAUUUCCUAUGAGCUUUGAAUCUGAACCCGUGACUAAAAUAUCAUCCACAUAAAUGAGAAUGAGCAAGAUAUAUGUCCCUGCAUGCUUAAUGAACAGAGAAGUGUCAGAUUUGGAGACUCGAAAACCCCAUUGAACUAGUGACUCCUUUAAUCGAUCAUACCAGGCUCUUGGAGCCUGUUUGAGACCAUAUAAGGCCUUGUUAAGCUUACAAACAAAAGAAGGGUAAGUGGAAUCAACAAACCCUUGUGGUUGAUGCAUGUACACAUCUUCAGUAAGAAUGCCAUUGAGGAAAGCAUUGUUUACAUCCAGCUGCUUAAUAGGCCAGUGAUGCAUGACUGCUAAGCUUAAAAUGAUUCUGACAGUACAAGGCUUGAUCACAGGGCUAAAUGUCUCAAAGAAAUCAACCCCAUAAGUUUGAUGAUAUCCCUUGGCAACCAACCGAGCUUUAUACCGAGAGAUGCUGCCAUCAGCAUUAUACUUAACUCUGUAAACCCACUUGUUGCCAACAAUUUUCCCAGCUGAUUCAGGAGGCACUAAAGUCCAGGUUUGAUUUCUUUGGAGAGCUUCAAAUUCUUCUUUCAUAGCUGAGUACCACCUAGGAUCUGUCAAUGCUGUUUUGACAUUGGAUACUGGUGGAGAAGAAUUUGAAGAUCUUGAGGGUUGAUCUAGAGAUUGUGAAUGAACAGAAUAGGAUCUGUCAAUGCUGUUUUGACAUUGGAUACUGGUGGAGAAGAAUUUGAAGAUCUUGAGGGUUGAUCUAGAGAUUGUGAAUGAACAGAAUGUGGCAAGGAAUGAGACUCUGAUGCAGGAGACAGAGCAGGACUGGAGACUGCAGCUGAUGGCUCUUCAUUGCUACUGUGACUAAGAACAGGUGUUUGAGGAAGAAAGAAAUGAACUGAAGAUGGAGUGGAGGUAGCAGAAUGAGAUAAGGUGUUGGACUUGGUUUUCAAAAACAGUUCAGAAUAUGGAAAUUCCAGUUCAUUGAAAGUAGCAUGUCUGGCAACAAAGACUUUCCCAGUUCGAUCAAGACACUUGUAGCCAUUAUGAAUGGGGCUAUAACCAAUGAAGACACACUUUUGAGUAUGGAAAUCUAGCUUGUGAUGAUGAUAAGGUCGAAGAAAAGGAAAACAGGAACAGCCAAACACUUUAGAAAACUUGUAAUCUGGAAGCUGAUUGUAUAGUUUCUGAAAAGGAGAUAAAUUGUUUUGAACAGGUGUUGGCAUUCUAUUCACUAAGUAAGUGGCUGUAUGAAAAGCUUCCCACCAAAAAGAGAGAGGUAAAUGAGCUUGAGCUAAGAGUGUGAGUCCAGUUUCAACAACAUGCCUAUGCUUCCUUUCCACCACACCAUUUUGAUGGUGAGUGUGGGGGCAACUAUAUCUAAAUUGAAUACCCUCUUGUUGGAGAAAUGAUCUGAAGGCUAUAAACUCACCCCCCAUAUCAGUUUGUAGUGUUUGGAUGGAUAAAGAAAACUGUUUUUCGACAAGAGAUUUGAAAUAUUUGAAGGUGUCUAAUGCCUCAGAUUUGAGUGUGAGUGGAAAUACCCAACAAUAUCUUGUGAAAUCAUCAACAAAAGAAAUAUAGUACUUGUAUCCAUCCAUAGACAACACAGAAGCUGGACCCCAUAAGUCAGCAUAUAAGAGUUGGAGAGGAAAUUUUGAUUUUAUAUUAGUGACUGGAAAAUGGAAUUGAUGUAAUUUACCAUAUUGACAAGCAUCACAAAAAUUAAGAGAUUGAGAAUGGGUUGAAUGCAUAGGAAGACUUUUCAUUAUUGUUUGCAAGACAUGUUUGGUUGGAUGACCAAACCUAUUGUGUAGCAACUGCAUAGACUGACUACUGGAAGCUAUAAAACUGACAUAAUUCUCAUUAUUGGAAUUGAUCAAAUUUGAACAGACAUUUGUUUGGUGAUUCAACUCUUUCAAAGAGUGUACAUUCUCUUUAUUAGAAAAAACAGACAACAUUGAACUAGGUUUGAGACCCAAGGCUUUAGAAUCAGAAAGAGGUGUAUCUUGAGUCAGUAGCUUAAAGAGACCAUCCUCAGCAAUCCCUUGUGCCAGCAAAGUUCCUUGCAUCUUGGCCUUAAUGAAACAAAGAUUAGAAACAAAUUCAAUGAUUAUAUGAUUGUCAGAGAGAAGUUUAGAUAAGCUAAUCAGAUUCUUGGUAAUUUUGGGCACACACAGAACAUUGGAAAUGUUUAAUUGAUUACCAAAGGAUGUAAGGAGACAUAUAUUGCCUAUAGAAGUAAUUCUAAGACCUUGUCCAUUACCAACUAAUAGCAACUGAGAUCCAAGAUAAGGUGUACCUUCAGCUAGGUUCUCCAUAUUGUUUGUGAGAUGAUGUGUUGCUCCACUAUCCAGAUACCAUCCUUGGUCAACAACUCCUUCUGAUGUAGCCAUGAAAGCAGCUUUGGAAGUUUGAUUCUGAUCUGGAAAGUUUCCUUGCACAGAAAAAUUAGGAACAAAAUUUCUGUUAAAUCUGUCUUUGCAAUCAGCUGCAGUAUGAUUGUGUUUGAAACAAAUCUGACAAACAAUAUUUCCUUUGCCUCCUCCUCUUCCAAAUCCAUUAUAGCCACCAGGAAAUCUACCAGAAAAAUUUCCAGCAGCACCAGCAAAAUUGCCUCUACCCUGAUUUCUAUUCCAGUUAUUCCAAUUAUUAUUCCAUUGUCCUCUACCUGAAUUUUGUCCCCUUCCUGGAUUGAAACCUCCUCUGUUUGUAAAGUUUCCAUUCCAGUUAUGAAAUCCAGGUUUGUUUCCAGUGUUUCCAUUCCAGCCUCCUUGACUAUUAUUAUUCCAGCCUCCCUGAUUGUUAACUUUCUUUUGAUUAUUCUCAGCCUGAGCUAAGUUAGCAGCAUAGUUCUGUUUCACUUCUUUGAAAGAAUUAGAUUGAUUGCUUUCUAAACGUGCCUCAUGUGUCAACAACAUUGAAUAAGCCUCAUUAAUACUCAUUUUUAGAACAUUUGCUUCAAUAUACACAACUACUGGAUAAUAAGGCUGACCUAAUCCAGAGAUGAGAUGAGUUAUAAAAUCCAAAGAACUAACAGGACUUCCAGCAAUAGCAAGCUCAUCUGUAACUGACUUCAACUUACUAAAAUAUUCUGUCAUAGUCAUAGAUCCUUUCUUCAGAUUAUUCAACAUCAUUUUGAGAUGAACUUUCUUAGCAGCAGUUUAAGAUCCAAAUUGUUGCUCUAAACUAGACCACAGUUCAUAAGAGGUUUUAGAGUUUACCACAAGGCUGAGGAUUUCAAUGCUGAUAGAGGAUAGCAGCCAGCUCAGCAGCAUCUGAUCUUGCUUCUUCCACACAUGAAACUCAGGAUUCUCUUGUGAAGUAACAGUUGAACUUGCAGAAGCAAUGAACAUAGCAUCUGAAUUUCCUUGAGUGCUUGAGAGAAAUUGAUCUGGACAGAUUCUGGAUCCAUCAAGCAAACUCUCAAGCUCAUUUGCUCGAACUGAGGAUAGAAUUUGAGAUUUCUAGAUUGAGUAAUUUGAUCGAUCAAGUUUUAUUGGAGUUGUGAAAGUAAAGGUUGUUGCUGAAGAAGAGAUGUUUGUGGUCAAGCUUGAUAAUGCCAUGAGAUUAGACUAGAUGUGGCUCUGAUACCAAAUUGAAGUUUAACCAAGCUAUUUAUGCUUGUUUGGUUGCAGAGAAAAUGAAGGAAAAUUCAAUGAGCAAUAAGAGAAACUAUAAGAAAAAAUAGAUCGAAUUUUAUUCAAUGAAUUAUGAAUACAGAGGUUGAUCUUAUAUACUAAGAUCCAGAACCUUCUGCAUUGCUCACACACGUGUUGAGAGUGAGCUGUGAUUAACAAACUUCUCAGCUCUAUAACAAACUUACAAACUAACAAAUAACAACCUUGCUUACUCAGCUGCCACAUCAGCAGAAUCAUUACAAAAAUAUUCUUUAUAUUUAUAACUCUAACAAGUUCAACUUCUUUGUCGACAAUAAUUCUUACAUAACAACAACGAAAAAAAGAAAAAAGAAAAAUCAAAUAUAGUGUUAGGGCUUCAAGGGAUUCUCCAUGGAGUGAUCUUUAAAUAAAAAACCAGCACCGCCCUCCGUUUGAUUUCUCCUGAAGAAAAGAUUUUAUCGAUAUUUUCCUUCUUUUUCACUCUCACUCUUUUUUUGAAAAAUUUCUUUCUGUACUUAUCAAAAGUUUUGCCUACAGCUGGAACCGAACAUAUAAAAUUUAAGGAUGAUUUAGAAUGUAUGUUAAGGUAUUAAUUUUUAUUACCUUGUAUUCUAGUGAUGGCAGACCUAUUAAUUCAUGAAAUCGAAGAAUUCUGAAGUUGUUUUGGUCCACUAAUCUUAGCUUUAGGAUAAGUGCUGACAAUUUCUUCUUCGGUCAUGAAUUAAGAUCCAAUCAUGUAGCUAGUAAAACAAACAUUCUGUAACUAAUUAGCCUAUAACAGAUUCGAUCUGACUGUACCAUAAGCAUAUGUAUAUGUGUAUUAAUGACUGGAGUUCAAUUAAUAAUUGCAAACUCAGCAAUAAAUAAUCUGUUAAUGGAUUCUGAUGUGUGUUCGUAGUGGAUUUACGAUGGUACUCAAAGUUCUCCAUGUUGAAUGAAAUUUCAAUUUGUAUUGAUAAAUACAAAUGACUUGCACAAUACAAACGCGGGACCCAAGUGGCCAAAAAGUUUUUCAUUACUCGCUUUAUCUCGCACUAGAAAACAUUUACAGCAAGCCGAGGCCUAAUUAAGAAGACCAAAAGGUUCAUUACGAAUAUGAAACUACAAGUUUAAGAGGGGAGAUAAGCCCCUUGCCCACUAUCUUCUUGUCUCCUAUCGAGUCCUGCUAUCCCAUCAAUAGCACUCAAUUUGAAGCAGCCAAAAGGUGGCGCAAUUGGAUUCAACCCACAGAUUGCCUACCAUUACAUGUAUCAUCUCCGAACUGUGCCGUAAAAUGGGAAUCUUGUUGAGGAUAUUAUCUCAAGGAGAAUAGUAACAAGGCUAACAAUAUAAACUCGAGGAAUUUUUAAAUUUUGAGCUAGUUCUUGAACUUUUGAGUUGAAUUAGACCAUGUGUUUCUAUAAAUUUAAAAACCGCGAUUGGAUUCAGCCCGACUGACAAAGGCUUAUCAAACUCAUUUGAGACCAAAGCACGAUUACGAGAUCCCCGCAGAAAUCUUAUUUGUUAAUAGAGCAGAAAAUGGUUUGUUCAAGUGAGCAUGCUAAAGAUUGCUGGCAUCUUCCCCUCGUAAACCUGAAGAUAUGGCUAAUCUUUCAUAAAUGUUUGAGAUGCCAAAAGGCAGUAAAAGUUGUCUAAUAGGAAAUUUGAAAUGAGGAUGCUGUGAAGUCUCUUAUUUUUAGGAAUAGUUGGAUUAAGAUAAAGCAUGAAAUGAUUAUAAUUUUACUGAAGUUGCAGUUAGAAGUUUAUUGAUUUCUCGUGUUCUAUUUUCUAUUUUCUAUUUUCUAUUUCCUAAUUUUAUAUUUCAAUAAAAACAGUCGGUUUGUAUCACUCUCACUCUUGUUGAAUCAAAAAUCAAAAUCACUCUUUCUAAUUAAGACUGUGUCCAGUGCAAAAUAUAUUUAUUUAGAUAUCAUUCAACUUUAUCUAUUUAAAUUGUAAUAAAAACAUAUCCUUCAUUCAUAAUAGCGGCCAAGAUUCGCACAAAGGAACACCAGCUCGACUAUCGUGCAGGGAAAUAAUUGAUGACAAGAUUCUUACGUUCUAAACACGUACGGCAUUGUGGAAAGUUGAACCGUAUUAUUAUAUGCAAUUAACCCAAUAUAUCAAAAUACAUAUACAAAACAUGUGGACACUAUUUUGAGAGAUAAUUGAUUGAGGAAAUUCGGUAUAAUUUUAGGCAAUUAAAUAAAUCUUUUUGAAAUUUACAUGUGUUUUGGGAGAUAAUUGUCGUGUAAAUCAGUGCUCGCGCAUGUAUAAAAUUAAUCUCUAUUAACUGGGAAGUUUCUUGGGGUGACACAAGUGGAUAUACACUAUUCGUGAUGUACAAGACAACAUUAUCAGGAAAACAGACGUGCCAAUUAAUAAUAAAGGACUAGCAGUUGAAGCUGACCAAAUUAAUUUUAUGUGUGUAAGAUUUCAAGAUAGUUUCCUGUAGAAUUUAAUGGUCAUGUGUUUCUUCGGCUCCUUCCUCAAAUCCAGCACAACGGCAUAGUCACAUGCAUGAAGAUUUUGGAGUCUUUGGCUGCACAAUUUUUCUGGACUUUAAUUUGCAUUAGUUAUUGGCUUUUUUAUAUUGCUCUUUAAUCAGCUUUUUCCGAUAAAAUAUUUCUGUAUUAGUUUUCGAUUAAAAUAGUCCUGGCCUCCUGGGAAGUUAUGGUACGAAUCAGAUUCUUUUAUCAACAUUUGACAAUUUCUUUUUCAAAGCUUUGAGUAGUGGAAUCAAUGAAAGAAGAAAUUAAUGUAAGAAGAAUAAUUAAAUGGGUACUCUCUUAGCCCCUUUAUCUGCUUAAAUAAAGAUUUUUGAAUACCUUGUUGGUGUGGCUAGUUAUGCUUGAAGUUGUUCUACAGUGUCUCGCUUGAAAAUUCCGAUACAAAAAAUUAAAAAGAAUCAUCUUCAUCACAUAGUCGACAGAACAUACACAUAUUCAACAGAGCAUACAGAGCAUACAGAACAUACACAUGUUCAAAAAAAUUUAUAUUGCGAUCAGACUUGACUCUUGAGCCUUGGUCAUUCCAUCACUAUCGUAGUUCCCCAUGAUACGUCAUGAGGGGAACUCAGUCAUUCCAAGACGGGUACAGUCAUCUUGUAAGGAGAUGAUUUAAUUUUACGACAUUACCCCUUCAGUGCACUCAUCUUUUAAACCGUAAGUAAUCAUCCUAGAGGAUGCAUCAUGGGACCUUCGCUGAUUGCUGAGUGUAUUGACUCAAGAAAGAACUUUUAAUUUCAUUACAGGUUUCAUAAGAUCAAAGUUGAGGGUAGAUCAAAGCUGUGACUAUUAAAAAUAUGUUCGUGACAUUAUACUCACAAAAUUUAUUACGGCAGUCAUAAUUUUGCCAUUUAUGUAUAGAGUACUCAAAAUUAUUGAAUUUCAUUUAAAAAAGGUUAAAUUAUAGAAUUUCAUUAAAAAAAAUUUCAAAUUAAACUUAUCAUAAAAAAACCUGAACCGUCCAUGCAAAAUCUAAGUGAUUAAAAGAGAUUAUAAGAACAAUUUAAUUGAUUAAUUAUCAAUUCUUUUUUAUAUGUAAAAUUGGUAUUUUACAAGUUAAUUAUAAUUAACUAACAGAAAUGUAGCAAAAUAUAGGGUUUAUUAGAGAUAUUUAACAAUUCCUGAAGUAUCAUGGUAUAAAAUGUUAUACCCUAAUAUUUCCUGCACCAAUUUAUUUUACAAUUCCUAAAAUAGUAAAAUGAAUAUAACGCAUAAAAUUAAUUAAAUUAUUAACAUAGCUUCUGUCCUUUAUAGUAAUUUCAUUAGAUGUUUCAUGAGAUCAAAGUUUUGAGGGUGAAUUAAUCAAAGAAAAUGGUUGUGGAUGGUUAUAACAUUCGACCAAAAAUAAUAUUAUUAUUUGGUUGGAGCCAUAGCAGGGUAGGCCCAGUCCCAGUCCCUUGUGCCCGUUCCGGUCAUUGGCAAGACAGUCUGCCAUGCAAGCAAGCGAAGGAGGAAAAUGUGAGGUAUUUUUACAUCACUUGCCAAAUGUGUAAUAUUUGCUUACUUGGACUUCAAAGUCAGUAGUUUAAUGAAAUUGGAACAUUUUUAGGACUUAAGAGACUCUCCUGAUCUAAUCUUCUUUCUAUAAUUUUGAAGUAGUUCCUAAGUUGAAUUAGAUCGUGGGUUUCUAAAAUCUAAAAAUUCCAAUAGGAUUCGACCCCACAUACAAAGACUUACCAAACUCAUAAUUUUUAUGAGUGAUUGUCGUGUAAAUAAGUGAUUGCGGACGUGACCAAUUGGGCUUUAGCCUAAUGGUGAACCGCUACUUUCAAAGUUAAAAAGAAGUAUAAGAGUAGUGAUUCGAGAAUCCAAUUGGGAUUUUUAGAUUAAUAGAAACAUUUGGUAUAAUUCAACUCAUGAACUAGAUCAAUAACAGAAAAUUCUUUAAGUUUAUAUGGUUGGCCUAGUUACUAUUCUCCAUUGACGUGAGAUGAUAUAUCCACAACAAGAUUCCCUUUGUACUGUGCAGUUCGUGUUGGAAAUUUUCAAAAUAAUUGUGUCUUAUGGUAAAGACAUGUCCUAUUAAUUGUGCCUUAUAGAAAAGGUACCUUUCACUAAAGACUUGUCUAAUUAAAUGAUGUCUUAUUGUAAGGACAUGUCCAUUUAAUUGUGUCUUGUAGAAAAGGUAUCCUUUUACUAAAUGAUAUAACUUUUCAUGGCAACAUUUCACUUAGAGAUGCAUCAUUUCAUAGUGACAUUUCAUUUGAAAUGGUGAUGGUUCAAUUUAGACCAUUGAUUAAAAUCAAAUCUAGAUCCAAUGGCCAUGAAUGAAGGGGUAUCAUGAAAGAUGAUAACCCAAAUGAGGAGGCACAAGUAUAUCUAUAAAUAGGGGUCAUGUUUAAGCCAUUUAGACAUGAAAUGAAUGAUCCUACACCACUCUUUUCUUAGCAUUCCUUUCUAGUACGAAUCUCAACACAAAACACCCAUUUCUUUUGUGCAUUCACAUUCCAAUAUAUUGUUUUCUGCAGGAACAAUAUAUUAUUUCUUGGUAGGCUUGCAACAUUCAAGAGUAUUCUAGUUUGCUUUCGUCGAUGCACAACGCAAGCAAACAAACAAGUGCUUCAUUGUAUCCUGGAGGCGUAUUUGCUUAACCCAUGUGCAUCACUCAAUUGGUGGGGGCAAAUAACGUCUUAAGGAAAGCGACAUUUGUAACGUGCCUUGAAGCACACAAAAUUUCUGCAGUUUCUUCCUACAUACAGAGUUAGUUGUAAACACAUUAUUUUACAUAAUAAAGUUCCACCAUUAUUGUUGUAUUUCUCUACAUUUGUCAUUCCCCACAAAAUUUACCACCAACAAUCUUAAGACGUUAUUUCUACAACAAUGGCACCAAGUUCAUCUCUUCGACAAUUUGCAGUAGAUUUUGUCAAAUUGGAGCGGUUUGAUGGUGGCAACUUUAUUCGUUGGCAGAAAAAGUUGCAUUUCUUGUUGACAAGCCUCAAUGUGGUCUAUGUUCUCACAACACCAAAGCCUCAAGAACGUGAGAAUGAGACAUUAGCGGAAACCAGAGUGCGACAUAAGUGGGAGCAAGAUGACUACGUGUGUAAGGGACACAUUUGCAAUGCCAUGUCUGAUACUUUGUUUGAUCAAUAUCACAACAAACCUACAUCAAAAGAGAUAUGGGACUCAUUAGAGGCUAAGUACAUGAUGGAAGAUGCCACAAGUAAGAAAUUCUUGGCUUCUAAAUUUUUUAAUUAUAGAAUGGUUGAUAAUAGACUCGUGGUUGAACAAUAUAAUGAGAUUUUGCAUAUUCUUGAUCAAUUCAACCAACAUAACAUGAAAAUGGAUGAGUCUAUUAUUGUCUCUUCAAUUAUUGAUAAACUUCCUCCCUCUUGGAAAGACUAUAAGAAAAGUCUUAAACAUAACAAAGAGGAAAUUAGUCUGGAUGGCUUAGGCCAAAGUCUUCGUAUUGAAGAGGAACUCAAGCUUAAUAGUCUUGAGGAUCAGACUACUAUGUCCUCUAAAAUUAAUGUCGUAGAGGAAGGGAAGGAGUUUAAGCAUUCUAAUCACCCUAAGAAUAACCAAAAGAGAAAGUUUGAUUCCAAAGAGAAUCAAAACAAUAAGAAGAAAAAGAAGGGUACAUGCCACCACUGCGGAAAACCUGGCCAUUUCAAAAGAGAUUGUCGACUUCUGAAGAAACAAAAGGAAGUUUCGAACACAAAUCUUGUGGCCAUGAUAUCUGAGAUUAAUGUUCUUGAAGAUGAUAAUGCAUGGUGGAUAGAUUCUGGUGCAACCAAGCAUGUAUGCAAGGAUCGUAGCCUUUUCAAAUCUUAUAAAGCAAUGGAUGAUGGAAGUGUUCUUUACAUGGGAAAUUCCUCCACUGCAAUAGUUAAAGGAAAAGGCAAUGUGCAACUAGAGUUCACUUCCGGAAAAACUUUAACUCUUACAGAUGUUUAUCAUGUUCCUGAAGUUAGGAAAAACCUUGUAUCUGGUAGCCUUCUUAAUAAGUUUGGCUUCAAACUUGUUUUUGAGUCAAACAAGUUUAUAUUAUCUAAGGGUGGUACCUUUGUUGGGAAAUGAUACAUGUAUGAAGGAAUGUUUAAACUCAAUAUCAAUAAUAUGAAUGUUUCUUCUGCUUAUAUGGUUGAUUCAUUAUCUUUGUGGCAUAAUCGUUUAGGACAUGUGAAUGUUAGAAGAUUGCAUGAUAUGGCUAAUUUAGAAUUAAUUCCUAAGCAUGAAAAUGAUAUGCAUGAAAAAUGUAAAGUAUGUGCACAAACUAAAAUCACAAGAUCUCCUUUUCCAAAAAUUGAAAAAACAUCUUCUUUAUUGCAUUUAAUUCAUAGCGAUGUGUGUGAUAUGCAUAGUAAUCCUUCUAAAGGUGGUAAAAAAUAUUUUGUAACAUUUAUUGAUGAUUUUUCAAAAUAUUGCUAUGUGUAUUUAUUACAUUCUAAAGAUCAAGUGUUAGAAAAAUUUAAAACUUAUAAAAAUGAAGUUGAGAAUUUUUGUGACACUAAAAUUAAAUGCCUUAGAAGUGAUAAAGGAGGUCAAUAUGCUUUUUCUGAUUUUUGUGAAUCUGUUGGCAUUGUACACGAAACUAGCACUGCAUAUACUCCACAACAAAAUGGUGUAGCUGAAAGGAAAAAUAGGACAUUAAUAGAAAUGGUUAAUGCUAUGCUUUUUAAUGCUGGGCUUGGUAAAGGUUUUUGGGGUGAAGCUAUUUUAACUGCAUGUCAUAUCUUAAAUAGAGUGCCUAAUAAGAAAACAAAGGUGACUCCAUAUGAAUUAUGGAAAAAGAAAAAGCCUAAUCUUUCUUAUCUAAGAGUUUGGGGUUGUCGAGCCAUUGUAAGACUACCAGAACCUAAGAUAAAGAAAUUAGGAGAAAGGGGCAUUGAAUGCAUAUUCUUGGGAUAUGCAGAGCAUAGUAAAGCUUAUAGGUUUCUUGUAACAGAACCUAAUAGCUUUGUUGAGAUCAAUACUAUAGUGGAAUCUAGAGAUGCAAUAUUCUAUGAAAAUAGAUUUUCCACUAUACCAAAAAGUAUUGAUUCUCAAGAGAAUGAUAAACAAAUAGAAAUUGGUCAAAAGCGUAAUGCUAAUAAUGAGCAAAAUCAUUUGAGAAGAAGUAAAAGAAUAAGGACUCUAAAAUCUUUUGGACCAGAUUUUAUAGUUUAUUUAGUUGAAGGGACAAGAGACUCACAAUCAAAACAGACCAUGAUCACAUCUACUAUAGAGUCUGAUCCCCUCACCUAUGAAGAGGCAAUGAAGUCUCAAGAUGCUGCUUUUUGGAAAGAGGCCAUUAAUGAUGAAAUGGACUCUAUUGUGGGUAAUAAGACUUGGAAAUUAGUUGAUUUACCUCCUGGCUCUAAUCCUAUAGGUUGUAAAUGGAUUUUCAAAAAGAAGAAGAAAGUUGAUGGAACAAUUGAAAGAUUUAAAGCAAGACUAGUAGCAAAAGGCUUUACACAAAAAGAAGACCUUGAUUAUUUUGAUACUUAUGCACCUGUUGCAAGAAUUGCUACUAUUAGAGUCUUGAUUGCUUUGGCUUCAAUUUAUCAAUUUGAAAUCCAUCAAAUGGAUGUAAAAACAGCUUUCUUAAAUGGAGAAUUAGAUGAGGAAAUUUACAUGAAACAACCAGAAGGGUUUGUUAUGCCAGGACAAGAACAUAAAGUUUGUAAACUAGUCAAGUCUUUAUAUGGUCUUAAACAAGCUCCAAAGCAGUGGCACGAAAAGUUUGACAAAGUGAUUGUCUCAAAUGGAUUUAAUAUUCAUGAAUCUGAUAAAUGUGUCUAUAGCAGAUUCAAUGGAAAUAAAGGUGUGAUUAUUUGUUUAUAUGUAGAUGACAUGUUAAUUUUUGGUACUGAUAGUGAGAGCAUUGAACUCACUAAAUUAUUAUUGUCAUUUAAUUUUGAUAUGAAAGACAUGGGACUUGCUGAUGUGAUUUUGGGGAUUAAAAUUAUAAAAAAUGAGAAUGGCCUAGUAUUGACCCAAUCACAUUAUAUUGAGAAAAUUUUAAAGAAAUUUUAUUAUUAUGAUUGUAAGUCUGUGUCAACACCUUUUGAUUCAAAUAUAAAACUGUAUCCUAACACUGGCAGAUCAGUAUCCCAAUUAGAAUAUGCACGUAUUAUUGGAUGUCUUAUGUACGCAAUGACUUGUACUAGGCCUGAUAUUGCUUUCGCUGUUGGAAAGCUCAGUAGAUAUACUAGUAAUCCAAGCCAAGCACACUGGCAAGCAGUGUACAGAAUUCUAAAAUAUUUAAAACAUACAAUGGAUUAUGGUAUAUACUACACUGGAUAUCCUUCAGUUUUGGAAGGAUUUUCGGAUGCUAGUUGGAUUACUGAUCGAGAUGAUCAUACAUCCACAAGUGGUUGGAUUUUUAAUCUUGGUGGAGGAGCUAUUUCAUGGGGCUCAAAGAAGCAAACUUGUAUAGCAGACUCCACCAUGGCUGCAGAAUUUGUAGCUUUGGCUUCAUGUUGCAAGGAAGCUGAAUGGUUAAGGAAUUUGCUUAUAGAAAUUCCUAUUUGGUCUAAACCAAUGCCUCCUGUAUCUAUUCACUGUGAUAGUGAGGCAACUUUAUCAAGAGCAUAUAGUCAAAUCUAUAAUGGAAAGUCUAGGCACAUUGGUCUAAGACAUAGUUAUGUAAGACAAUUACUUACAGAUGGAGUAAUCACAAUUGACUUUGUGAAAUCAUGCCAAAAUUUGGCAGACCCCUUAACUAAAGGCCUUGCAAGGGAUAUUGUAUUUAAAACUUCUGAGGGGAUGGGACUGAAGCCAGCAUCAUCUUAUCACCAAUGAUGGAAACUCAACCCAACACUUGAAAUAUCAAGAUCUUGGGUUCAAUGAGCAAAAGUACAUCAUAUGUUGUGAUAGCAAGCACUAUAAUAUUUUUAGAUGCGUCCCAAAGGUUAGUGCUUGAUACCUGUAACAUAUGGAAAAAGUUAAGCUACUUAGCUUUUAAUGGACUUAUAAAUGUUUUAGUUACAGGGACAUUCUAGAUAAGUCCACCUAUGUGAGUGUAGGAGGUGGUGCCGCUUCCUAUGUAACUUGGCUGGUUACUAAAGCGCUCAUGAAAACAGGAUAUAGACACAGGGCCAAUCCACGUGUCGGCUAAGGAAUACUUGAGAAUUUGAAAACUUAUGUGUGAGAUAUAUCCGGUUAGUCGAUUAAGGUUGCUGGUUCAAAGCUUGCCUACCAUGCCACCUUGAUUAACUUUGAUGUAUUGUCGCUAAGUGAAGGUUCAAGUCCAAAAGACACCUUCAUCUAUGCCUAAGUUUUCCAAGCUUGUGCAAGAUCAUUUUUCCAAAUUCAUUUAUUUUGAAAAUGGUGGGGGAUUGUUGGAAAUUUUCAAAAUAAUUGUGUCUUAUGGUAAAGACAUGUCCUAUUAAUUGUGCCUUAUAGAAAAGGUACCUUUCACUAAAGACUUGUCUAAUUAAAUGAUGUUUUAUUGUAAGGACAUGUCCAUUUAAUUGUGUCUUGUAGAAAAGGUAUCCUUUUACUAAAUGAUAUAACUUUUCAUGGCAACAUUUCACUUAGAGAUGCAUCAUUUCAUAGUGACAUUUCAUUUGAAAUGGUGAUGGUUCAAUUUAGACCAUUGAUUAAAAUCAAAUUUAGAUCCAAUGGCCAUGAAUGAAGGGGUAUCAUGAAAGAUGAUAACCCAAAUGAGGGGGCACAAGUAUAUCUAUAAAUAGGGGUCAUGUUUAAGCCAUUUAGACAUGAAAUGAAUGAUCCUACACCACUCUUUUCUUAGCAUUCCUUUCUAGUACGAAUCUCAACACAAAACACCCAUUUCUUUUGUGCAUUCACAUUCCAAUAUAUUGUUUUCUGCAGGAACAAUAUAUUGUUUCUUGGUAGGCUUGCAACAUUCAAGAGUAUUCUAGUUUGCUUUCGUCGAUGCACAACGCAAGCAAACAAACAAGUGCUUCAUUGUAUCCUGGAGGCGUAUUUGCUUAACCCAUGUGCAUCACUCAAUUGGUGGGGGCAAAUAACGUCUUAAGGAAAGCGACAUUUGUAACGUGCCUUGAAGCACACAAAAUUUCUGCAGUUUCUUCCUACAUACAGAGUUAGUUGUAAACACAUUAUUUUACAUAAUAAAGUUCCACCAUUAUUGUUGUAUUUCUCUACAUUUGUCAUUCCCCACAAAAUUUACCACCAACAGUUCGGAGAUGAUACAUGUAGUUCAAAAACAGAAAAUUCCACAAUUUGAUCACCGCCACCUUGGGGCUGGUUCAAAUUGGAAAUUAUUGAUGCCGCAAUAAAUGAUGAAUCAGACGGCUGGGUUAGCAGGAUUUAUGAGACCUCAAGAUUCUGGGCUUGUUCUUUUCUUGGGCUUCUCUCCCUUCUAAAACUUGUAGUUUUAUCUUUGAAAUGAACCUUAGGACCUUCUUAAUUAGGCCCAGGCUUGCUAUAACCCCACGGCAACCCCGCAAAACAAAUUUUUAGGCAACUUAGGUCCUGCAUUUCUAUAGCACAGAUCAUUCUUCUUAGCCAAUUGUCUACAUAUACUAUUUAAUUUGAAAUAAAUUGAAAUUUCAUUCAACAUAGAGAGAUUUGAGUGCCGUCGUACAUCUUCUACAAACACACAUCAAAAUUGAUUAACCGAUUAUUUAUUACAAGAAGACAAUGGAUUAAAUUAUUGUACUUUCAAAUUAUGAGAGGAAAAAAGAUUAUUUACAAAUGCAGUGUACAUUCACUCUUCCUUUAAUCCCCAAGUAAUUAAAGUUUCAAUUAGAUGUGUACAUGCCUCUCGACCUUUUUUGAGUGGUGGGCUGCUGUCCUCACACGGUGUGAGUUCUAAUGGACUCAACUCUCUCUCAAUUAAGAAUAAUUGAGUGGAGACCAUUGCAGUCUUUUUCCCUUUCAAAAAUUGUAAGUGGAGCAAGAAUCCCUCAAAUAUUAAUAUUAUUACUUUUGGAUAGUAUUGUAGCAGGUGCUGUGGUGAUACUUUUGGAUAGUAUUAUUAUUUUAAAAUAUUAAUUUUUGGUCUGUUAAAAAUAUUUCAUACUUAAAUUUGAGAAUUGAUAUUGGAUCGAGAAUUGGUGUUGGACUUGUAGUUUCUUUUUUUGGGACUAAUGUUGAAAUUUUAAUUUUCCAUUUACAUUGAUGAAAUUUAGAAUUGAAUAUUUUAUGUGAAAUUAUAGGUUAUUGUUACAAAUUUUUAUAUUGAGUUAUUUAAUUUAAUUUUUUAGGUAUUAUUAAAUGUAUUUUUUUAACAUUUGUGAUUUUAAAUGUGGGAACGCACAAAAAAUCCAUUGAAUAUCAUUGCGGUUUUGGUAAUUGUCAAAAUUCGUAGUUGGUGAGUUUUCUUAAAAAAAAUUAAAAUCCAUAGCAGGUUGCAAGUAAAUUUAAUAAUUGAAAUUUUAUACGAGUAUAAGUUUAGUAAUAAUAAACCUGGGGACUAUGCACAAUUGCACAUUGCCAUCCCUAUCUCAACUAGUUGUCUGAUUAUAAUGCCGGUAGUUAUCUGCAAUAAUAGUAAUUCCUAAAUAUCUCUUAUGUAAUAUUAAGUUGUUUAAUUGUACCGGUAUAUAUAAAAAAAAAGAUGUAUACAUGUAAAUAUGUAAUUGCCUAAAGUCUACCAAGCUUCUAAGUCAGUCUAGUCAAAAUUGUCAAAAGAAAUUUCAUAUUUCGCAAUGGAAGAAGUUGUGCCUGCCUUUUGGAUGAGGCCUCAAAAGUGCAUGCUUUUUGGAUUGAGGCCUCAGAGGUAGAAUUAACUAUUAAUUAAAGAACAAAAACAAAGCGCUCUCAAAGUAAAGUCAACCAAACCAUUAUUUUUGGUGCUGUACAUACUAAUUAUUAUUUUAUAAUCAACAAUGACAUCGGCAGCUCUUUUAUCCACUAGCCAAAUACAAACUUUGAUUCUUAUUCAAUUAAAAGAAUUCCUAAACUUUAAUAAUCAUAUUUUUGUUUAAUACUAAUACUUUUUUUCAUUUACCAUUUUUUUCCAGUCUAAGGAUAGUCAAAAGGAAAUCUCGAAUUCGCCCAUUUUGUUAAAUUAAAAUAUUAAAACUAAUUAUUAUUUGCUGCAAGGAAUCUCCAGUUUGACACAUUCAGUUAGACACACUAAUAAAAAAAGAAAAAAAAACGUGGGUAUUCUUCCAUUUCAGAUUUUUUAUUAUGUACAACAAAUAUAACUAUAUGGAACUAAUAUAACUACGUGACAAAUAUAAUAAUAAAUGCGAACCAUAUCAUACGUAUAAGCUUUCGAUGACAAUAUCCCUAAGAGGCAUGACCGAAAAUAAAGGCAUGCAUAAAUUGACAGGCCACAGUUCACCAGACAGACAUCAAUUCUCAGAAGCAAUUCACAAAGAGAUUGCAACACACGUCUUGUUACAGUAUCACUCGUCUCACCAGAUGACAGAUGUACAUCGUUCAUCAAUUAUAGAAAGUAAGUUGAUGCUUAGUGUGAUCAUACUUAAAUAUCACUAUGUUAAUUGAAAUUACAAUUUGACCAUGGACCGACAUAGAAAUGUUUCAUAUUUCCUUUCUAUUUCUGCCUUUUUAGUUUUUACCCACUAGAGGGUUGUUUCACGAUGCACGAACGUUGAAAUCAAAGUCACCUUAAUUAAUCGAACCAUUAUUGAUCAUUAUAUCCACUAAAGUUGCAGCUUAGCUCGAUAUGAUAUUGAUUCUGCAUGACUUAAUUCUCAUGAAUCAUGAUACUAUUGUACGUACUAAAUAGUAUCAGAUUGGAUUGAGCACCUACAGAGGAAUCUCUUCGUUGCGGGGCUUUGAUUUUGUAAUAUGCAAUGAAAGCAACAAAUCAAAAGUAACUCCACCAAGUUUGAAAAAGACUUACCAAAAGAAAUGAGCAAUAAUAUCUGGUUUGGUGAAAGUGUUCUUAAUUUUUUAGUAAAUAAUGGAAGAACUAAUAAGGCACAACGCGUCUUAUUGCCAAUGAUUUUCAGCAACUUGCAUUACCGAAGUCAUCCUCCCAAUUUUCUCUAUGCGUAGUCUUCAAUUUAUCCCUUGCUUACCUAGUCAGAUUUCUUUCCUUUUUGGUCUAACAAUUGGGAGUUUAAUAAAGAAGGAAAAAAAAACCUUGAAUCAACAAAGUGUUGGCUCCACUGACAAUGGAGUCCCCUUAAGUGGCUUGACUGGGUUUGCUCCCCAGUUCGAGUCGCAGGAAAGUCGCAUUUAUUGGGAGAACAUGUGCCUCUUGGUUCAAACGGGGACUUUUAAUCUGGGUUGUGGUACGAAUUUAAAGGUGCUUCUUACAGUUGGGGCCCUCCCCAGGAUACCUCGUGGUCAAAACCAAAAAAAAAAAAAAAACCUUGAAAGGUCUUUUAUUUGCAACAGAAGUCCAAAGGAUGGGCGACGCCGAAUGUGAACUGUUUUCACCUAUGGGAGAGAGACUUAAUCUUCUCUUUUAUCUUCAAAAUUAGCGAUUCAUUUAUUUUACCAAGUAACCAGGAAAAGAGCUUGAACAUCACAGUGCCCAAGAACCUCAGUGCCCAAGAACCUGAUUAAUUUUCUUUACUUGCCCAACAGAAACAUUAUCCUCCAUUAAUAACAAAGAGCUGCAAGAACUUGGAACAUCCCAAAAUAUUAUUUUCCAUUUCUCCAUUUCCUCGGGCUUUUAUUAUUCAUGGCAACAUUGCACUGUAAUUGAGAUAAAUGCAUUUAUCCGCACCCAUAUUAAUUGAGGAGACAGGUUAGAAUUUCCCGUGCAUGAUAAACCAAUUAUCCAAUGGUACAAUUAAAAUUUCAAAUAGAUAUAUCCAAUUAUGUAAUUGCCUAAAACCUACCAAGCUUCUUAGUUAAUCUGCUAAACAUAGAAUAUUCGACAGCCACUUUUUUGAUAAAUUGGGUUAUUUAACUCCUAAAAUUAAGCUUCAAUAGAAUAUUCUUAGUUAACCCAUAAAUGUAUUAGGUACUUCUCCUAAAGCUUAUUUUAAUGGAACAAAACAACUUCAAAUCAAUUCCGCAAGUCAAUAUUCCAAAAAAAUUUUCCUUCUCAUGAAUUAAUAGAUCUGCCAAUAUACAAAAAAGAAUAUUUCAUGUACAUGUACGACCCAGUUUGGAAAAUCUUUUCUACUUUGUCCGUUUGUGACCAUUAUUAUUACUUUGAGUAUGUUAUUUUUUAAGCCUAAAUUUAAAAAUAAAUGCAAAAUCGUAAUGUAUAAAGCCGAUUUAUUUUUCCCAAAUUGAACAUAAUGAAUUUUCAACCAUGCUUCCUUACAACUUAAGGAAUUAAGGAGUUGGAGUGUGUGUGUUCCGCACUUCCACUAAAGAAGAAGCACUGGAUUUUGCUGACAAAAACGUCCUUGUUUAUGAGAUCUUUUGGUCAAUCUCCAUUUGGUAUUCUCUCCCUUUUUUUUCUCUUUAAUGUUUCUAUUCAAGUGAUGCGAUAAAAUUAGCGAACGAGUCCAAGUGUUGAUUCUUUGAUCCAAUAUUGUCAAUCUGUCCGGUUCAAGGCAGCAUAAUUGAAUGUAACACGAAAUCAUUUUAACUCAGAAUUGUUAUAUAUCAAAGGGGGAGAUUAUAAGUUAAUAUAUAGUCAAUACUCCUCCCAGAAUAAUUUUACAGUAUUUCCAUUAUUUUCAAAUAUAUUUUUGCUUAUAUUUAUUAUAAAUUAAAUAAACCAUAUGAAUAGAAAUUAAAAUAAAAAAUUUAAGAAUUAAAAAUAAGAAAUAUAAGUUUCAGUUUGAAUAAAAAAUAAAUAGUAAGAUAAUUUUUCUUAUACUUUUUUUUUAUUUUUUAAAUAAUUUUCUUAAUACACACACACUCAAGAUAAAUUACCAAACAAAUGACCGAUUUUCCUUUAAAUUUUUGGUGCCAUGAGAGGUUUUGGAUUUUAUGAAAACAACAUGCGAUAAAUGAUAUAUAUUGAUUUCAGUAGAGCUCAGAAGACCAACAAUCUUCCCAUAUCAAACCUAUUUGUAGUUUUUUUUUUCUUAUAUUUAUAUUCAUGUUUUACUCUUCUUUUAUUAACAAAUCUGUGUUAAGAGAAGGAAAUUUUUUUUAUUUUUCACUUACAAGCAUACCCUAAGACGCUUGGUGCUUACAAAUUUAGUUAGCUGUUAAUGAUUUACUGUUAAUUCUUUUUUUAUUUUUUAAAUUCACUAAGUUUUUCAGUGGCAAGAACAAGGAAAAGUUGUCGGUUAGAAUUGUGUUGUAUUGUCAAACAUUAUGAAUAUUCUUCUUUUGACUGGAAAGCGAUUUCAUCUAUAGUAGUUGAGGUAGGUUCCUCUUCCUCUACUAUUUCAUUAGAUUGAAAUGUAUGAAAUCAUUUAGUCUCCUUUAAAUUAUUAGAAAUUUGUAGUGUUUGAAGUUAUAUAUUAUUAUUAGGCAUUGUCCUAACUUCAUAUUGAGUCUUAGGUAUUAUCCCAUAAUUAUACUUAAACUUGAUGUAAUAUUGUGUGACGUUGUGUUUUAUCCAUUAUUGCUUUUCUAAUGAAAUGCAUACUAACUAUUAAUUUAUAAUCAACUGACGCCAAGGAUAGUCAAAAGGAAAUCUCGAGUUUGACGUAGAGAUGGCAAAAUCCUGGGCCGGGUCCGGGUAUUGCCAUGACCGGACCCUGCCCGGAUGCAAUCGGUCCGGGUCCGGGUUCGGGCCGGGUUUUGAUUCGGGUACCCGGAUUUUAUAUUUUUUAAUAUUUAUGUGUAUAUAUUUUUUAUUUUUUUAGUAAUUUUAUAAGUUUUAAAUUUAUUUCAAUAAAAUUUGACAUGAAAAUAUAAAUUUUAAGUGUUUAAAACUUUAUAUAUGUAUAAUAAAUAAGUCAAAUAAAUAUAAAAUAUUUAAAAUAAUAUAUAUUUUAUAAUUGUUUUUAAUAAAAUCCGGGUUCCGGGUUUAUCAAGUGAUGCCCAAGACCGACCCGGCUUCAUACCCGGGCGGGAUAUUACCCGGCCCGCAAUGCCCGGGUACGGUCCGGGUCCGGGCCGGGCGGGUAUUUUUACCACCUCUAGUUUGACGCACUCGAAAAUUUGCCAGCUAGACUCAGUAAUAAUAAACAUGUGGAAAUUCUUCCAUUUCACAUUUUUUAUUAUGUACCACAAAUAUAACUAUAUGGAACUAAUGUAACUAUGUGACAGAUAUAAUAAUAAAUGCGAACCAUACUAUACAUAUAAGCUUUCCUUGACAUUAUCCCUAGGGGCUUGACCGAAAACAAAGGCAUACAAAAAUUGGCAGGCCAUAAUUCAUCAGACAUCAAUUCUCAGAAGCAAUUCACAAAGAGAUUGUAACACACGUCUUGUUAUAAUAUCUCUGGUCUCACCAGAUGUAAAUCGUUCAUCAAUUAUAAGACGUAAGUUGAUGCUUAGUGCGAUCAUAAUUAAAUAUCACUAUGCAAUUUGACCAUGGACUGACGUAGAAAUGUUUCAUGUUUCCUUUACUUUAUAUUUCUGCUUUUUCACCCACUAGAGGGUUGUUUCACAAUGCACAAACGUUGAAAUCAAAGCCACCUUAAUUAAUCGAACCAUUAUUGAUCAUUAUAUCCAGUAAAGUUGCAGCUUAGCUCGAUUCGUUAUUGAUUCUGCAUGAGUUAAUUCUCAUUAUACAAUUGUACGUACUAAAUAGUAUCAGAUUGGAUUGAGCACUUACAGAGGAAUCUCUUCGUUGCGGGGCUUUGAUUUUGUAAUAUGCAAUGAAAGCAACAAAUCAAAAGUAACUCCACCAAGUUUGAAAAAGACUUACCAAAAGAAAUGAGCAAUAAUUUCUGGUUUGAUGCAAGUGUUCUUAAUUAUUCAGUAAAUAAUGGAGGAACUUUUGUCGUCUCUCACAAAUUUAUGUUCUAUUGAACAAGUUUCUGCAAGUUAAAAGGAAUUCUAAUUGUUAUUGUCGUUUUUUGGGUUACGUAUUAUUCCCCCCAUUUUGAAGGACCAUUAGAACGAAAAUAAUGUUAAAAGCAAAAAGAGAAUUGAAGAAUAAGAGCAUCUUUUUAUACGAGGCCCGAGCUUGAGGAACUGUUUGAAUUCUUUCAAUGCGGGGCAGGUUUUGCUUAAUUUGUAUACCCAAUUUCUAAAACGGAUCAGCUUUAAAUAAUAUUAAAAAGAAAAAUUUAUCAUUUAUCUUAUCAUCUUUGUAUUUGAUUGUGAGUUUGUAACAAAAACUAAGCUACGAGUAUGCGUAAGGGCUAAGGGCCACCUUUUUAUCCUAUCAAUGUGACCGCAAGAAUUUCUCGGAACCCUUAAAUCAAUGUGGAGAUAUGUGAGAUAUCAAGGAAUUAAGCAUCUUUAAAAGAAAAAAAAAAUAUGGGAAAAUAUCCACCGUCCACCCAUUUUUUAUACCUUUUUCAAAAAUACACAAUUCUUUCAUUUUUUGGCUGGAAUCCACCUAAAGUUACAUUUUUUUCACUUUUCCACUUCCGUUUGGAAUCCGUUAAGAAAACUAACGGAAACUUAAAAAAAUGACCAUUUUACUCCCAAAACGAAAAUUACAAUUUCACCUUAAAAAUUAAAAAAAAUAAUUAGAUUAAAUCUAAUUAUUUUCCCCAUCGGUCAAUAAAUAAAUUAAUUCCACAACCAUCAAAUGCAUGUUUUUUUUUAAAUAUGUCUGUAAUUAGAAUGCUAAAUUAUAACAGUAGUAUUAAAAAUAGCCCAAUCUCACAAAUCAUCAAUUGAAUUUAAGAUAAGUAGAGUUUUAUUAUUAAUUGAGUUAUAAUCUCUAGUAGUUAAGAUUUUUUUGUACUUCAUUAAAGUACCAAUAAUGAUAUUCAUCAUUAAAUCUUAUUAUUUUUGGUAUUUUUUAAGGUGAAAUUGUAAUUUUCGUUUUGGGGGUAAAAUGGUCAUUUUUUUAAGUUUCCGUUAGUUUUCUUAACGGAUUCCAAACGGAAGUGGAAAAGUGAAAAAAAAUGUAACUUUAGGUGGAUUCCAACCAAAAAAUGAAGGAAUUGUGUAUUUUUGAAAAAUGUGUAAAAAACAGGUGGACGGUGGAUAUUUUCCCAAAAAAUAUUUAAGGUAUUAAUUCUUUUGGAUUUUCAGCCACUUGCAAUCUUGCAUUGCCCAAAUCAUUAUCUCAAUUCAAUUUGCCCCUUCGUUAACAGUAAGGUUUCGCACACGAUCCAUGCUCUUGAUGAUUGACCAGCAUACAUAUCUGAUUUCAUGAAAACUUUUUCUGAAUGAUGGAUUCCAUCCUAGGACGCAUCGCUACAUUACCCUUCCCAAUACGUUACACGGUUUUAUCAUUUAAUGAUCACAUUUUAAUCUGUAAUUUCUUCCAAGACAUUUCUUUGCGACUGAUACUACACAAUCCCUAAUUGUAUUCCCAUCAUACAAGGGUCGUCCAUCCUUUAAAGAAGAAGGGGGGAGAAAAUUAUGAAACUUAUUAAGUAAUUAAUUAGUAGAAAAUCUUGGGGAAAAUACUUCAAAAAACAUAAAUUGUGUAUGACAAGAAACAACCAUGCAUGUUUAAUCUUUCGCAAGCAGAGCUCAUGUAUCAACUUUAAACAUAAGGAAAACAAUUUCCUUGCAAAAAUAUGAAUGAAUCUACAAACACCUGAAAAAGUUCCACCAAUCAAUGCAGUUUACAGAUGUUAUGAGACACAUUCAAUCAAUUUCCCUGACUUCCAAACUUCAAUUUAAUGCAAUCACAGUCAUCACCCUCCUAUCCUUACAAUAGGAUAUGAAUUUCCAUUUAUUGUAUAUUUAACUGCAGUGCUAGACUCUAUUGUUUUGGAGAUUGUCUGCAAAAGUAAGACAGAUCAUUCUUGUUAAUUUCCCUGGAUGAUCAGCUUCUUUGGUAAAAUAACUCUCGGGCUCUAGCACUUAUAGCCGCUGAGACUUCAUAUAAGAGAAAACACAUAAUGGUGAAGGUAGACCAAGGAAAAAAAUGCUAAUGGAAUUGAGCAAUAUCAUGAGAACCACAUUGCUUUCCAUAAUAAUGACUAGGGGCAUCAGGCAUGAUCAAAAUAACAGCAUGGCAAAAUCUCACCGCCAUUUAUAAGUCAUCAAUCAGUGUGAAAAUAAGAGACAGGAAGGAAGCAUGCACCUUUAAGAUAAACAAAAAAAAAAAUACAUACAUACAUAUAUAGAUAUAUGCAUAUAUACAUAUAUACAUACAUACUAAGAUAUAUAUACACACUCACUCACGCACAAAAUAGCUCAUUCUCAUCAAAGUUUCAGGAACUAGCAUUAUCAAGAUUAUGCUCUCAAUCUCUAUGCUUAGUCGUAGAUAUAGAACCAUGUAAAAAGCUAGCCCUUCCAAACUAAGUCCAAACAGAUGACAAAAAGUGAACAUCGCACUGCCAACUGGCAAGAAACUUGGUCUUCCCUCUUAUCUUAAAAAAUACAAUGUUGCCACGUAACCCAAAAAAGAGCUAGAACACUGCAGUGCCAGAGAACUUUAGCUUUCUAUCCUUGCCCAAAAGCAAAAACAUUUUCCAUUAGCAAAGAGCUACAAGAACUCGGAGCAUCCCAAAAUCAAUAACAUGAUUGAGAAUCAAUGCAUGUAUCCACAAACAUUUAUUUAGUAGACAACUGAUUCCCAAACCAAUUUUAAAUUUCUGACAGACUUAAUUCGUUGCCCAAAUUCUACCAAGCUUUUCAGUUAAUCUGCUCAAAAUACAAUCCACGGGUGCAUUUAAAUAAAUUGGGUUAUUUAAUACCUAUAAUCUUUAAAACCUCAUCAAAUUGCUAUCAAAAGUAAUCUAUACCAAACAAUCAACACAUGAGAUACAGGGCCUUUAGACAGAGAAAACACUGCUGAAGAAAAAAAUAAAAACCCAUAGAAGCACUAAAUACUUCUCCUAAUGUUAAUAAUGGAACAAAACAAUAUCAUAGAACACUCAAAUAUACUAUUAGAGGAAUAAAUCCAUACCAAUGAUAAGCUAAAUAUGAAAUUUUUCUAGAAUUAAUAAUUCUUCAAACAAAAAAGCACAGUAAUUAUCUGCAUUUUAAAUAAUCCAAAAAAAAGGGCAAUGACUUAUUUAUUUCAUAAAAUAAAAAAAAAGCUACAAACACUUGUUUUUUAAUCUAUUUUAUUUCCAGGCAAGAACGACAUUCUUCUAUUCUUUCUUCAACAAGAAAACAGGUUAUGUUACAGUCACUAGGCAGUAGGCAAAACACUCGAUAACCAAAUACAUAAAAGGAAAUAAAAAAGAGUUACAAAAUCACAAAAGUUAAAAUUGAAAAUACAAAAAGAUUAAAAAAGAAACUGCUUUUGAAAAAUGAAAAUAUCAAACCCCUUCUUCAGAACAAUUCAAACAGGGGGCUGCGGGUUCUUAAUCUAACAGUAAUUAAAAUUCCACUGAAACCCCAACCCUCUAUUUGAUUUUCCAUUUUUUUCCCCCACAAGAAUUAUUUUCAACAUAGAACUUGAGCUUUGGAAGUGACAAAAAGAAAAGACAUAGAUGAGUGACUGAGUCUGACUGAGAUAGAGUCGUCAAUAUACCACACUGGUCAGCUCUCAGUUGAAUUUGUGAGUUUGGGUUGGAGUCCCAGUCCCACAGCCCACAGGUAGUGAAAGUAGGUAAUUAUCCUAACCAGCUAAUGUAUCAAAACCUGUUUGUAUAAGCCUGCACAUUACAAGUUACUCAUAAGCAAAGGAGGGGGCUGCAACGAGAAACAGCACAUCAUGUCCUAAUUAUAAAACAUGUAAAAAUUAACAUAUUUUACCAGUCACAAAACCCUUUUUCUUUAGAGAUAAACUCCCCAUAGCAACUAUAAAUAUGGGAAAAAAAAAAUGACCACAAGGUAGAACAGUCCCUUCUUUUUCUCCAAACAAAUACAACCAUUUCAGUUCACACCUAAGCUGAGAACCAUUCUAGUUCCAAUUUUCAACCAAUGAAACAACCGUAGUAUUCUCAUAAAAAUAAAAGAAUGAAAUAACCAUAGAAUAAAAUAAUUAUACUCUAAUUCAAAUAUUGCUUCAGAAUUUAUGAUUUAUGAUAGACCCAACUGGUCAAACCUACAGAAUUGGAUUAGGCAUUUAUUUGACCCAAAAGGUGAAUAUCAAGCUUAUGGUUCUUACAACACUGAAAUGAUCAAAUUUCAUUCAUUCUGAACAUGAGAUGCAAAGAAUUAUUUCAAGUUAUUCGAAGAGUAAGCAUUAAAAGAAAUUUGUUCAUCCUACGUGGUAUAAGUAGUAUACUUAAGCUAGUAUUAGUGUAUUAUGCAUCAUCGGUUAAAUCAUUUGGAUUAUUAACAUUGAUUUAUAUUUUUUUUAUUAGCUGAAUUGAUAACUGUCGCAUCCCUAACUUAGAUGCACGUGUGAUAAGAAAAUUUUAUCUACAUCAGAUGCAAGUACAAGCUUUUAACAAUUAAGCCGUGACUGUUGGCUUACAAGAACGAACAUAUACUAAUAGAAUGAAUAAGACCCAGCACUUACAGAAAAAUUUGACAUUAUCUGCCCUAAAAUGUAAGAAUCCCAAAUUUAACACAAUCCUAAACUUGCUGCAAGUUACAGCAGCAGCAAGGAAACAAUUAAGAAAACUAGGUGGAAAAAAAAAUUAAUAAAAGUAAGAAGAUUCCAAAAUUGAACCACUCAUGCACAGAAACUUACCCAAACCAAUUCUAAAGAGUAAGAGUUAUGAGAAAAUCCAGCGAAAUCCACGUUGAUUUCCCAUAAAUUUCAUACUUGCUGUUGUUCUCAGCUCCCUUAAGUGCACAAUUAUUCUCUGUAAAAAUCAAUUGCUUUCUUUCCCUCCAUUUCUUUUUCUUCCUCUUCUCUCUUCUUUUGUUUUUUUCCUCGUUCUGUCUCUGUUGUAUUUUUUACCGCUUAUUAUUAUUAUUAUUAUCGUCAUCACCCGAACGUUGGUUUUGUUUGUUAUAGAACUUCACAAAAGAAUAGAGAGACCUUAUAAGUUGGUUGUGGGCUGGGCUUAGCUACAGAUUUUCUUCUCAAAAACACACACACGCGCGCGAGAGGAAGGUGGUGUUUAUUUUUUUAUCUGAAAUCUGAAUAGAUCUGAAUUAGUCUGAAUUCUGAAUAAAUUAUCUGAAUCUGAAUAAUAUAUUUAUUUUUUCGUCUGAAUCUCAAAAAAUAAGUAUUAAGUUGUUUGUUUUUUUCAACUUAAAAAGCUAAAAAUAUAUACUUUUACAUUUGUAUCCUUAUUAAAUUUGAAUGUCAAAUAAAUAAUAUAUUAAAUACCACAAUAUUUUAA
rnacentral:lncRNA from 1 species